rnacentral:lncRNA from 1 species
UUGUUGUUGGAAGUUAGACAGAUGGAAGACAAUAACUUAUCUUUUGCCAAAAUCAUUUUCCCUUAGUUCUGGUACAAGUUUGUAGUAUUUCUACAGGCACAAUCCGACAUUCUGACUUGGACCAAUCUAACAAAAUGAGAUUAAUGUUGGAAGCUGAUAUAAAUACAGUCAGAGGAUUGACCAUGGAUUUUCAGCAUGAAUUCAUCAUAAAAUUCGCCUAGCUAGAAUUAACAAGUCCUGACCCAAAUCAUACACAAAAUCAGCGGAAAAGAAAGCACAGCAGAACCCCAUGUUGUUACCUGGUUGUCAACCCAACAGAACCCCCAAUCAGCCAAUUAGGCAGAUAAGUAUGGCGCACCAAUUAGCUGGCUGUCGCAGAACCCUAUAGGCAGAUAAGCAUGGCGCAUCAGCAAUCAGUCGUACUGUUUGUUAAAAGAGUAUUUUGUCCAUGUGUAGAAGCAAAUAUAGAAACUGAUCUUGAUAAUAUUUGGCAUACCGCAUACCCAAUAACAGAUUAAGGUGCAUAUUUGAUAGCACAAGCAGCAAUUUUUCCCCAAAAUUAAAAAUAAGAUUACCAAGCUACAGACUAACCACAUCCAGCACAAGCAAUUUGUCCCAUCAAAUGUUUACUAACGGCAGUAUAGGCACAACAGCACAACCUUACCUAGCGCCAUGGCCAUUGUUCAGGGGCGGGGCAUGCUUAUGUUGUACUGGCGCUUCUCCUUGGAGUUUGAGGAUGAGGAGCAGCACACGCACUCGCCGCAGCUGUCGUCGAGCAGGACAAGCCACGGUGCCCACCCUCGUCCCGGACGGGCGGCUGCAGGUGCGCCGCGUCCAUGGAUCCUACGGGAUGAGGUCCUCCGUGCUGCCCUGCUCGAGGUGGACCAUCAGGAAGCGAGGGCGCGCGUGGGGGCGCUGUAGACGAUGGAGAAGAGGCGCCAUAGGCGGCCGUAGAAGGGCCGACGAUGAAGGCGAUGCCGGAUGCCGAAACCCUAGCACGGGAAGUGGUUUUGGGAAAGCAGUUGAGGUCGAGAGGGGGAAAUCUUGCCGGAGGGAAGGAUGGAUCCGAGCGAGGCGAGCUCGGUGGUGUGCUCCACCCCGGCAAUAUCCGCCGGAAUCGCCCGAAUCGGGAGCGGCGGCUGUGGCGGCUGAGGGAACGGAGGAGAGGAUGGGGGUUAGGGUUACAUGGGUGUGGACUUUGGAUUAAAUAGGCUGGCUCGAAAUUUUUGCCACCGCCCGCGUCAGCGACUUAAAAUUUUGCACGUCCACGCGCUCUCGAAACUUCUGGCGCGUCCGCUUUUUUAUUUUUAUAUAUGCAUAUAUACUGUUGACUACAUUCAACUGAAAUAUGGGCCAACCCACCAGCCACACACUACACAUCAGUAGGAGUCAUCGGUGACGGACUGGAUAAUGUAUAAAAAAUCGAAUGGCUUGACCGAGUAAGUUGAUUUGUGACCAUUUUCAUGACAGUCCAUCAUGUCCAUCAUAAAAGGGCUACCUUCUUAGGUGGGCAGUCACAUUCUAUUGAUCCACGACGGUUUCCAUGACGGAUAGUAGAAAACCGUCAUCACCGGUGACGAUUUCUGAGAACGUCAUCAGAAAUCCGUCACGUAUUAACAGGUUUCUUGUAGUGUUCGUGUUUGCCGGUGAUCUACAACUACAAGUGGCAUCAGAGCCUCGGUGGUGUUCGGUCCAUCCUGGGCGCCGACGGUGUUUGAUCCGUCGGAGAGAUGGUCGGAAGCGACGAGGAGAAGGAACAGAAGAAGCUAAAGGAGGAACAGGCCAAGGCGGAGGCCUCGGCACUUGGGAAGUCCCUAGCCCGUCUCUCCACCGAGCAGGGAUGGAGCCAGAAAAUGAAGAUAGGGGGGCAAGAACUCGAAGCACUAAAAUCAUAGUAGGAUACAUGAUCAUAUACCUAGUAAAUAAUGAAAGAUCUAGAUAGUAAAUAUAUGUCUGUUGUUCUAUAAUAAUAAAAAAUUCAUAUCUAUUACCCCGCAAAAAAAUUUGAGUUGGUGUUUAGUUGCAUUUCGUUUGCAUCAGCAUCAUGUUCACAUGGCAGCGAGCUGGAAACAAUUGGCUUAAAAAUAUGAAUUGAUUCAGCCCUUUCUCUUUGUGUCUACACAGAUACAAUCAGGCGUCUAUUGAACGAACGUUCAGACAAUAUCCAUCUCGCAGGAUAGAAUUUGUAUAAUCUGAUUUUGCUAGCGCGACGUGAAUGCGUGAUUACGAACACAUAUUGCUAGCACGCCAUUGGCAAAUACGCCUGCACACCAUAGCACGCGCCCUAGUAGAUUCCUUUGACAAUUAGACUAAUUAGAAUUUACUAGUUAGUUGUAAAUGUUUCCAGUUCUAUAAUUCCAUUUAUACAAUUUGAAGGCAUAGAUAAACUAAUCUAAUGCUGAAAGUAAACUAACCCCUUUUUCUUUUGGUUUGGUCACUCCCUGUGGCCAGCCGGCCGGCAGCGCGCUCGUGAUCAUGGAUCGGCGACACUACCGCUGCCUGUCCCCUCCCCUCAACGAAGAGAUUCGACUCAGGAUCUCAGGCGGCCGGCGGUACGCUCGAUCUCAGGCGGCAGGAGUAGUGGGGAGGUUGGAAACGAAGCGAUUAGAGGAGAUCUUAAUCAUGCGUACGUUUUUUUAGGGAUGAAACUAUGUUUUUUUUGAGGCAAACCAACAAAGCUUUAUUCACCCGUCACACAGUUUACAGGGACGAACAAAAGAUCCCCAGGGUGGCCUAACCAUACAUGGCGGCCAACCCCGAGCGUUAACGCAUGCUUUGCUAGUCUGUGAGCCUCNNNNNNNNNNNNNNNNNNNNNNNNNNNNNNNNNNNNNNNNNNNNNNNNNNNNNNNNNNNNNNNNNNNNNNNNNNNNNNNNNNNNNNNNNNNNNNNNNNNNUGGCAAGCCGACAGGAAAAGUGUUUCAUGCUAAACCGGUCACCGCUUCACGUGGCCAUGUCAACUGUAUCUCUGCCGAAGAAGCUCAAGAAGAUCCCAACGUCGUUCUCGGUACGCUUCUUGUUAAUUGCCACCCGGCAUCUGUUCUUUUCGAUACAGGAGCCUCUCAUUCUUUUAUAUCUGAAAAUUAUGCUCGUUUGCAUAACGUUGCAUUCUGUGACUUGCCAUCCUCCAUGGUAAUUCAAACUCCGGGAUCCAAAUGGCAAACUUCUAGAGUAAGCCAUGGAAAUGAAAUCCAAGUCGAUAGACUUGUUUUCCUCGCAUCUUUGAUAGCCCUUAAAUCUUCAGAUAUUAAUAUCAUUUUGGGUAUGGACUGGAUGUCAGCUCAUCAAGCCAAAAUUGAUUGCUUCUCUAGGACUGUUCAACUCACCCAUCCUUCGGGAAAGAUAGUCAAUGUCUUGACCCGAAUAGCCAAGCGACAAUUAUUUUCUCUUAACGCCAGCCCUUUGCCAGACCUUGAGGACGUUCCGGUAGUCCGUGACUUCCCGGAUGUCUUUCCAGAGGAAUUGCCAGGUAUUCCACCUGACAGGGAUGUUGAGUUCGUAAUAGAUCUCAUUCCAGGAACCGUUCCGAUUGCUAGAAGACCUUAUAAGAUGGCACCCCUAGAACUAGCCGAGCUUAAGAAACAACUCGAUGAAUCCUUGAAAAAGGGUUUCAUCCGCCCUAGUUCAUCUCCGUGGGCUUGCCCCGUCCUAUUCGUUAAGAAAAAGGAUGGUACGGACCGGAUGGUUGUAGAUUACCGACCUGUCAAUUUGGUCACAAUCAAGAACAAAUACCCACUUCCCAGGAUCAACGAUCUGUAUGAUCAGCUCGCUGGAUCCUCAGUCUUCUCCAAGAUGGAUUUGAGGUUGGGCUACCAUCAAAUCAAAAUCAGAAACGGGGACAUUCCUAAAACGGCCUUUGUUACUCGUUAUGGCCAAUACGAGUACACCGUCAUGUCCUUCGGUCUAACCAACGCUCCAGCCACUUUUUCUCGGUUAAUGAACUCAAUCUUCAUGGAGUAUUUGGAUAAAUUCGUCGUGGUUUACCUCGAUGACAUACUCAUCUACUCCAAGAACGAGGAAGAACAUGCCGAACAUUUAAGGCUAGUGUUGAAGAAACUUCGAGAGCAUCGCCUUUAUGCCAAAUUCUCAAAAUGUGAAUUCUGGUUGUCAGAAGUGACCUAUCUGGGUCAUGUAAUAUCGGGUAAAGGUAUUGCUGUUAACCCUGAGCGAGUUCAAGCUAUCCUUGAUUGGACUCCACCUGAAUCGGUCAAGCAAGUUCGGAGUUUUCUAGGCUUAGCAAGCUAUUGCCGUCGCUUUGUCGAGAACUUCUCCAAAGUUGCUAAACCUCUAACCGAACUCCUCAAGAAAGAUAAGAAGUUCGAAUGGACUCCACAAUGUGAGCACAGCUUUCAGGAACUGAAAAGACGCCUGACCUCCGCUCCCGUACUGGUACCGCCAGACUUCUCCAAGGACUUUGUUAUCUACUGCGACGCCUCGCGACAAGGACUAGGUUGCAUUCUCAUGCAAGAUCGACACGUAAUUGCCUACGCUUCACGGCAGUUGCACCCACAUGAGGAGAAUUAUCCUACUCAUGAUCUAGAGCUUGCAGCCGUAGUCUAUGCACUUAAAACCUGGCGACAUUACCUCCUCGGUAAUCGUUGCGAAAUAUUCACUGAUCACCAAAGUCUGAAGUACAUCUUCACCCAACCGGAUCUGAAUCUCAGGCAAAGACGUUGGGUUGAAUUGAUCACAGACUUCGACUUAGGCAUAACCUACACCCCGGGGAAAGCCAACGUCAUGGCUGAUGCGCUAAGUCGUAAAUCUUAUUGUAACAACCUGAUGUUACAACAAAGUCAACCGCUUCUCCAUGAGGAAUUUCGGAAGCUUAACCUUCACAUUGUACCUCAAGGUUUUCUUUCCACCUUGGUAGCAAAACCUACUCUUACGGAUCAAAUCAUCGCUGCCCAAAAGCGAGAUAAGGGAAUAUCUAAAAUCAAAGAGAACAUUGCUAGCGGAGGUGCUAGUUGUUUCUCCACAAAUGAUCAUGGUGUUGUGUACUUUGAGGACCGUCUAGUGGUUCCCAAGAACCAGCAUCUACGGCAGUUGAUCCUUAAGGAGGCUCAUGAAUCUCCUCUCACCAUUCAUCCCGGUAGUACUAAGAUGUAUCAGGACCUACGCCAGAGGUUCUGGUGGACUAGGAUGAAGAGAGAAAUUGCUCAGUAUAUUGCCAAUUGCGACGUCUGUCGUCGUGUAAAGGCAGAGCAUCAACGGCCUGCUGGCACCCUUCAACCCUUAGCUAUUCCUGAAUGGAAAUGGGAUAAAAUUGGUAUGGAUUUCAUUACCGGUUUUCCUAGGACCAAAAGAGGGAAUAAUGCCAUUUUCGUUGUGGUCGAUCGUCUUUCCAAGGUAGCUCAUUUCCUACCUGUUCGUGAGAGUAUAACCGCUAGUCAGCUGGCAGACUUAUACAUCUCCCGAAUAGUGUCCCUCCAUGGUGUUCCUUUGGAAAUCAAUUCGGAUCGAGGAAGUCUUUUCACCUCUCGAUUUUGGGAAAGUUUCCAAAAUGCUAUGGGAACCCGUCUCUCCUUUAGCACCGCUUUCCACCCUCAGUCAAGUGGUCAAGUGGAACGCGUCAACCAAAUUCUAGAAGACAUGCUUCGAGCCUCUGUUAUCUCGUUCGGAAUGGACUGGGAGAAGUGCCUUCCAUUUGCCGAAUUCGCUUACAACAACAGCUAUCAAUCUAGCUUGGGUAAAGCCCCUUUUGAAGUUCUCUAUGGACGACGAUGUCGAACACCCCUUAACUGGUCAGAGACCGGGGAAAGACAAUUCUUUGGCCCGGAUAUGGUUCAGGAAGCAGAAGAACAAGUUCGUAUCGUUCGUGAAAAGUUGAAAACAGCCCAAUCCCGUCAAAAGAGUCAAUAUGACCGAAAACAUAAGGCUAUGACCUUCGAGGUUGACGAGAAGGCUUAUCUUCGGGUCACCCCUCUGAAGGGAACCCAUCGCUUCGGUAUCAAGGGCAAAUUGGCUCCUCGUUACAUUGGACCUUUUCGCAUUCUUGCCAAACGAGGAGAAGUUGCCUACCAAUUGGAACUACCUCCGCACCUCUCCAGAGUUCACGAUGUCUUCCACGUCUCUCAACUCAGGCGUUGCUUCUCGGAUCCUAUCCGUGAAGUGGACCACGAAACGCUUGAUCUCCAAGAUAAUCUUACAUAUCGAGAGUACCCCAUUCGUAUCCUCGAUCAGGCCGAGCGUACCACUCGACGUCAUAAUAUCAAGUUCCUCAAAGUUCAGUGGUCUCAUCAUUCUGAGGAUGAAGCAACUUGGGAAAGGGAGGAUCGUCUUCGACUCGAGUAUCCCGCCUUCUUCUCGGAGGAACCCAAAUCUCGGGACGAGAUUCUUUUGAGUGGGGGUGAGUUGUCACACCCUAGCUAGUCAUGCAUUAGAGUGUUGCAUCAUGUUUACUCUUUCAUCAGAAACUUGAAAUGGGGAUGACAGAACCCCCAGUCCCCUCUGAAACCAACUAGGGUUUACUAAAAUAAUUUUCAAUGAACCUGAAAUGCCCUUCUAAAAUGCCCAUCAUUUUUGUCUUGGUUCAGAACCUCUGCCAAAAGUGGUGCACAUUUUCCUAGGCCAUCCUAGGGUUUUGAAUUAAAUCAUAACUAUUUGAAUUUGGGCAUUUAAAAUAAUAUAAAAUAUUUAAAUGNNNNNNNNNNNNNNNNNNNNNNNNNNNNNNNNNNNNNNNNNNNNNNNNNNNNNNNNNNNNNNNNNNNNNNNNNNNNNNNNNNNNNNNNNNNNNNNNNNNNGGAGCCAGCUAAGAAGCCACCCCCUCAGGCUUCAUCUCCACUGCUAACUUUGAGCUUCCCAAGCCUGCGCGCUGCCCCUGACGCGGGUUCGGCUGGAGAGGUGGGCCGACCAGCAGUGUGCCUUGAGCCUGGGUCUUUGCCGCCUUUCCAUCGCGACCUUGCCCGGGACGUGAUCAGCUUGCCCUAGGCCCCUCCUCUGAUCGUGAACAGUGAAUGGUUGAAGUCGAUCUUCGGCUCUUCUUCUGGGGAUGGAUCUGCACUGGCCUGGGUCCCUUGCGGGGCCCAUCCAGCGAUUGUGGGGGCACCAGCCCCUAGCCCCCUGUCGAGAGGGGGCGAACCACUUCAGGGCCCUCCGCCAACACCGGCGGCGGAGGACGAUAUCGACGACAUGCUCAAGCGUGUGUGGGAGUGCAGCGCCAUCCGCUAAGAGUUUCUCCGGAAGGCGACAGACGCGAUGGGCCAGCUCGGUGGAGAGCUCGCGGACGUGGACGCGUGUCUUGAAGCCGAAGGCCUGCGGCUGGUUGAGGAGCGGUGCAAGCUAAAGGUGGGAGUCAUCCUUGCGUGUCAUCAGCGUGAUCUUGAAAACACAAAGGCCGAAGCAUCCCUUGUGGCCUCGCGAAAGGCCUUCUCCCGAGCCAUUGAGGACGCUCAGGAGGCAGACCGAUGUCGCGAGAUCGCGGAGAGGCGCGCGUGGCAGCUCCAAGCCUGGAGUACUUCCCUGGAGCAGCAAGUGGAGCUGCGCCAAGCUGCCCUUGCGUUGCUGAAGGGGAUGCCUGUCGAAGAGGAGGAGCUCCAGAAGCGCGAGGAAUCGCUAACGCUGGAGGCUGCCGAGCGCAACCUCGAUCUUGAGCGGUUGGAGACGAGGGAGCACCAGGUUACCCAGGCGGAGGACGACGUCGGUGCGCGGGAGGCCCGAAUCCAAGAAGAGAUCGAACGCCGCGUAGCGGAAGUCCACGCGGGCCUUGUGUGUGAGUAUGGUGAGAAGUUGGAGCUGAUCGAAGUCGAGGCUGCGAGCAGGACUGCCGCUCUCAGGACCAAGUUGACCGAAGCGACGCGGUGCGCGGAGGCCACCACAGCUGCCCUAGCCACGGCGCAGGCCGAGUGGGUCUCGUCCCUUGUUGAGUUGCUUCUUCUCCAACAGAGGGUCGAUGACGCCGAGGCCAUUGCUCGGCGGAACGAAGAAGAGAUUGCCAGACGCUGGAGCACAUGCAUGACCCCAUGCUCCAAACGCUCAGGGACAGGGCCAACACGGACCUUGGCAAUAUCUGUGAUGCGACUGCUAGACAACCUCAUGUGACCAAGUAUGCCGGCAAUCUCCAGUUAUUCACUGACGUGGUGACGCAUAUGGAGAAGGAACAAUGCUACUAUCCUUUUUACCACACUUGUGCUUUAAAGUAGCACGAUGAUCUUCAUGAUAGAGAGUCUCCUAUGUUGUCACUUUCAUAUACUAGUGGGAAUUUUUCAUUAUAGAACUUGGCUUGUAUAUUCCAAUGAUGGGCUUCCUCAAAAUGCCAUAGGUCUUCGUGAGCAAGUGAGUUGGAUGCACACCCACUUAGUUUCUUUUAUUGAGCUUUCAUACAUUUAUAGCUCUAGUGCAUCCGUUGCAUGGCAAUCCCUACUCACUCAGAUUGAUAUCUAUUAAUGGGCAUCUCCAUAGCCCUUUGAUACACCUAGUUGAUGUGAGACUAUCUUCUCCUUUUUUGUCUUCUCCACAACCACCAUUCUAUUCCACAUAUAGUGCUAUGUCCAUGGAUCACGCUCGUGUAUUGCAUGAAAGUUGAAAAAGUUCGAGAUUGCUAAAGUAUGAAACAAUUGCUUGGCUUGUCAUCGGGGUUGUGCAUGAUUAAAUACUUUGUGUGAUGAAGAUAGAGCAACAGCUAGACUAUAUGAUUUUGUAGGGAUAACUUCCGUUAGCCAUGUUAUUUUGAGAAGACAUGAUUGCUUUGAUUAGUAUGCUUGAAGUAUUACUAGUUCUUAUGUCAAUAUGAACUUUUAUUUUGAAUCAUUUGGAUCUGAACAUUCAUGCCACAAUAAAGAAAAUUACAUUGAGAAUUAUGCUAGGUAGCAUUCAACAUCAAAAAUUCUGUUUUUAUCAUUACCUACUAGAGGACGAGCAAGAAUUAAGCUUGGGGAUGGUUGAUACGUCUCCAAAGUAUCUAUAAUUUUUUAUUGUUCCAUGUUAUUAUAUUACCUGUUUUGGAUGUUUAUGGGCUUUAUUUUACACAUUUACAUCAUUUUUGGGACUAACCUACUAACCGGAGGCCCAGCCUUUAUUGAUGUUUUUUUUGCCUAUUUCAGUAUUUCGAAGAAAAGGAAUAUCAAACGGAGUCCAAAUGCAAUGAAACUUUCGGGAGUGUGAUUUUUGGAAUGAACGUGACCCAGAGGACUUGGAGUGCAAGUCAAGAGGCAGCCGAGGCUGCCACAAGGGUGGAGGGCGCGCCCACCCCCUGUAGGGCGCGCCCCCUAUCUCGUGGGCCCCUCAGGCGGCCACCGACCUACUUCUUCCUCCUAUAUAUACCCACGUACCCCGAGAACAUCAGAACAAGCCAUGAAAACCUAAUUCCACCACCGCAACAUUCUGCAUCCGCGAGAUCCCAUCUUGGAGCCUUCGUCGGUGCUCCGCCAGAGGGGGAAUCGACCAUGGAGGGCUUCUACAUCAACACCAUAGCCCCUCCGAUGAGUUGUAAGUAGUUUACCAUAGACCUUCAGGUCCAUAGUUAUUAGCUAGAUGGCUUCUUCUCUCUUUUUGGAUCUCAAUACCAUGUUUACCCCGAUCUUCUUGGAGAUCUAUUCGAUGUAACUCUUUUUGCGGUGUGUUUGUCGAGAUCCAAUGAAUUGUGGGUUUAUGAUCAAGUUUAUCUAUGAGAAAUAUUUGAAUCUCCUCUGAAUUCUUUUAUGUAUGAUAUAGUUAUCUUUGCAAGUCUCUUCGAGUUAUCAGUUUGGUUUGGCCUACUAGAUUGAUCUUUCUUGCAAUGGGAGAAGUGCUUAGCUUUGGGUUCAAUCUUGCGGUGUCCUUUCCCAGUGACAACAGGGGCAGCAAGGCACGUGUUGUAUUGUUGCCAUCGAGGAUAAAAAGAUGGGGUUUAUGUCAUAUUGCAUGAGUUUAUCCCUCUACAUCAUGUCAUCUUUCUUAAUGCGUUACUUUGUUCUUAUGAACUUAAUACUCUAGAUGCAUGCUGGAUAGCGGUCGAUGUUGUAAAGCCCAGGUAAUUAAGCUACAGUAAUCCCACGCUAAUGGUGCCACGUCACCACAGUUAUUGUUGUUAACCGUGCGAUGAUUCAAAACCAUUUCAAAAUUUAAAUUUAAAUUAAUGUCAACAAUAAAAGUUUUCAAAAUUUAAAACAAAAUUGUUCGGGAGGUGCCAUAUUUUGCAUAAGUAAAUAUGGUGUAAUAAACACAUUUUUAUAAAAUGCCUAGAUAAUUUAAAAUAAUUUAAAACAAAAAAGAAAUUACAAAAUAGAAAGAAACAAACAACCAAAAUAAAUAAAUAAAUGGACCCCCCCACUGGGCCUCGACCCAGCCGGCCCAAUCGGCCCAACCAUCCCGCACCCCCAUAACCUUCCCCACUCCUCCAGCUCGCCCACCGACACCCACACUCCCCCACCCCCGAAAUAUCCCCCCUCUCCCCCGAUUGGAUCGUGAUCGAGGGGGAGCCGCUCACCGCCGCGUCCCGAUGCCGUCUCGCCGCGAGGCCGCACCGCCAUCGCCGUCACCAUUCACCGGAGGAGCCUUGCCAGAGCUCNNNNNNNNNNNNNNNNNNNNNNNNNNNNNNNNNNNNNNNNNNNNNNNNNNNNNNNNNNNNNNNNNNNNNNNNNNNNNNNNNNNNNNNNNNNNNNNNNNNNGGAGCCAGCUAAGAAGCCACCCCCUCAGGCUUCAUCUCCACUGCUAACUUUGAGCUUCCCAAGCCUGCGCGCUGCCCCUGACGCGGGUUCGGCUGGAGAGGUGGGCCGACCAGCAGUGUGCCUUGAGCCUGGGUCUUUGCCGCCUUUCCAUCGCGACCUUGCCCGGGACGUGAUCAGCUUGCCCUAGGCCCCUCCUCUGAUCGUGAACAGUGAAUGGUUGAAGUCGAUCUUCGGCUCUUCUUCUGGGGAUGGAUCUGCACUGGCCUGGGUCCCUUGCGGGGCCCAUCCAGCGAUUGUGGGGGCACCAGCCCCUAGCCCCCUGUCGAGAGGGGGCGAACCACUUCAGGGCCCUCCGCCAACACCGGCGGCGGAGGACGAUAUCGACGACAUGCUCAAGCGUGUGUGGGAGUGCAGCGCCAUCCGCUAAGAGUUUCUCCGGAAGGCGACAGACGCGAUGGGCCAGCUCGGUGGAGAGCUCGCGGACGUGGACGCGUGUCUUGAAGCCGAAGGCCUGCGGCUGGUUGAGGAGCGGUGCAAGCUAAAGGUGGGAGUCAUCCUUGCGUGUCAUCAGCGUGAUCUUGAAAACACAAAGGCCGAAGCAUCCCUUGUGGCCUCGCGAAAGGCCUUCUCCCGAGCCAUUGAGGACGCUCAGGAGGCAGACCGAUGUCGCGAGAUCGCGGAGAGGCGCGCGUGGCAGCUCCAAGCCUGGAGUACUUCCCUGGAGCAGCAAGUGGAGCUGCGCCAAGCUGCCCUUGCGUUGCUGAAGGGGAUGCCUGUCGAAGAGGAGGAGCUCCAGAAGCGCGAGGAAUCGCUGACGCUGGAGGCUGCCGAGCGCAACCUCGAUCUUGAGCGGUUGGAGACGAGGGAGCACCAGGUUACCCAGGCGGAGGACGACGUCGGUGCGCGGGAGGCCCGAAUCCAAGAAGAGAUCGAACGCCGCGUAGCGGAAGUCCGCGCGGGCCUUGUGUGUGAGUAUGGUGAGAAGUUGGAGCUGAUCGAAGUCGAGGCUGCGAGCAGGACUGCCGCUCUCAGGACCAAGUUGACCGAAGCGACGCGGUGCGCGGAGGCCACCACAGCUGCCCUAGCCACGGCGCAGGCCGAGUGGGUCUCGUCCCUUGUUGAGUUGCUUCUUCUCCAACAGAGGGUCGAUGACGCCGAGGCCAUUGCUCGGCGGAACGAAGAAGAGAUUGCCAGACGCUGGAGCACAUGCAUGACCCCAUGCUCCAAACGCUCAGGGACAGGGCCAACACGGACCUUGGCAAUAUCUGUGAUGCGACUGCUAGACAACCUCAUGUGACCAAGUAUGCCGGCAAUCUCCAGUUAUUCACUGACGUGGUGACGCAUCUGGAGAAGGAACAAUGCUACUAUCCUUUUUACCACACUUGUGCUUUAAAGUAGCACGAUGAUCUUCAUGAUAGAGAGUCUCCUAUGUUGUCACUUUCAUAUACUAGUGGGAAUUUUUCAUUAUAGAACUUGGCUUGUAUAUUCCAAUGAUGGGCUUCCUCAAAAUGCCAUAGGUCUUCGUGAGCAAGUGAGUUGGAUGCACACCCACUUAGUUUCUUUUAUUGAGCUUUCAUACAUUUAUAGCUCUAGUGCAUCCGUUGCAUGGCAAUCCCUACUCACUCAGAUUGAUAUCUAUUAAUGGGCAUCUCCAUAGCCCUUUGAUACACCUAGUUGAUGUGAGACUAUCUUCUCCUUUUUUGUCUUCUCCACAACCACCAUUCUAUUCCACAUAUAGUGCUAUGUCCAUGGAUCACGCUCGUGUAUUGCAUGAAAGUUGAAAAAGUUCGAGAUUGCUAAAGUAUGAAACAAUUGCUUGGCUUGUCAUCGGGGUUGUGCAUGAUUAAAUACUUUGUGUGAUGAAGAUAGAGCAACAGCUAGACUAUAUGAUUUUGUAGGGAUAACUUCCGUUAGCCAUGUUAUUUUGAGAAGACAUGAUUGCUUUGAUUAGUAUGCUUGAAGUAUUACUAGUUCUUAUGUCAAUAUGAACUUUUAUUUUGAAUCAUUUGGAUCUGAACAUUCAUGCCACAAUAAAGAAAAUUACAUUGAGAAUUAUGCUAGGUAGCAUUCAACAUCAAAAAUUCUGUUUUUAUCAUUACCUACUAGAGGACGAGCAAGAAUUAAGCUUGGGGAUGGUUGAUACGUCUCCAAAGUAUCUAUAAUUUUUUAUUGUUCCAUGUUAUUAUAUUACCUGUUUUGGAUGUUUAUGGGCUUUAUUUUACACAUUUACAUCAUUUUUGGGACUAACCUACUAACCGGAGGCCCAGCCUUUAUUGAUGUUUUUUUUGCCUAUUUCAGUAUUUCGAAGAAAAGGAAUAUCAAACGGAGUCCAAAUGCAAUGAAACUUUCGGGAGUGUGAUUUUUGGAAUGAACGUGACCCAGAGGACUUGGAGUGCAAGUCAAGAGGCAGCCGAGGCUGCCACAAGGGUGGAGGGCGCGCCCACCCCCUGUAGGGCGCGCCCCCUAUCUCGUGGGCCCCUCAGGCGGCCACCGACCUACUUCUUCCUCCUAUAUAUACCCACGUACCCCGAGAACAUCAGAACAAGCCAUGAAAACCUAAUUCCACCACCGCAACAUUCUGCAUCCGCGAGAUCCCAUCUUGGAGCCUUCGUCGGUGCUCCGCCAGAGGGGGAAUCGACCAUGGAGGGCUUCUACAUCAACACCAUAGCCCCUCCGAUGAGUUGUAAGUAGUUUACCAUAGACCUUCAGGUCCAUAGUUAUUAGCUAGAUGGCUUCUUCUCUCUUUUUGGAUCUCAAUACCAUGUUUACCCCGAUCUUCUUGGAGAUCUAUUCGAUGUAACUCUUUUUGCGGUGUGUUUGUCGAGAUCCAAUGAAUUGUGGGUUUAUGAUCAAGUUUAUCUAUGAGAAAUAUUUGAAUCUCCUCUGAAUUCUUUUAUGUAUGAUAUAGUUAUCUUUGCAAGUCUCUUCGAGUUAUCAGUUUGGUUUGGCCUACUAGAUUGAUCUUUCUUGCAAUGGGAGAAGUGCUUAGCUUUGGGUUCAAUCUUGCGGUGUCCUUUCCCAGUGACAACAGGGGCAGCAAGGCACGUGUUGUAUUGUUGCCAUCGAGGAUAAAAAGAUGGGGUUUAUGUCAUAUUGCAUGAGUUUAUCCCUCUACAUCAUGUCAUCUUUCUUAAUGCGUUACUUUGUUCUUAUGAACUUAAUACUCUAGAUGCAUGCUGGAUAGCGGUCGAUGUUGUAAAGCCCAGGUAAUUAAGCUACAGUAAUCCCACGCUAAUGGUGCCACGUCACCACAGUUAUUGUUGUUAACCGUGCGAUGAUUCAAAACCAUUUCAAAAUUUAAAUUUAAAUUAAUGUCAACAAUAAAAGUUUUCAAAAUUUAAAACAAAAUUGUUCGGGAGGUGCCAUAUUUUGCAUAAGUAAAUAUGGUGUAAUAAACACAUUUUUAUAAAAUGCCUAGAUAAUUUAAAAUAAUUUAAAACAAAAAAGAAAUUACAAAAUAGAAAGAAACAAACAACCAAAAUAAAUAAAUAAAUGGACCCCCCCACUGGGCCUCGACCCAGCCGGCCCAAUCGGCCCAACCAUCCCGCACCCCCAUAACCUUCCCCACUCCUCCAGCUCGCCCACCGACACCCACACUCCCCCACCCCCGAAAUAUCCCCCCUCUCCCCCGAUUGGAUCGUGAUCGAGGGGGAGCCGCUCACCGCCGCGUCCCGAUGCCGUCUCGCCGCGAGGCCGCACCGCCAUCGCCGUCACCAUUCACCGGAGGAGCCUUGCCAGAGCUCNNNNNNNNNNNNNNNNNNNNNNNNNNNNNNNNNNNNNNNNNNNNNNNNNNNNNNNNNNNNNNNNNNNNNNNNNNNNNNNNNNNNNNNNNNNNNNNNNNNNCUUCCUACCAAACUUACGGCAAGGUUUACAUCAGGUCUAGUACACAGCAUGGCAUACAUAAUAGAUCCUAUGGCUGAGGCAUAGGGGAUGACACUCAUCUCUUCUUUAUCUUUUGCCGUGGUCGGGCAUUGAACCGAGCUCAAUAUCACACCUUGCAAUACAGGCAAGAACCCUUUCUUGGACUGAUCCAUUUUGAACUUCUUCAAAAUCUUAUCAAGGUAUGUGCUUUGUGAAAGACCUAUGAGGCGUCUCGAUCUAUCCCUAUAGAUUUUGAUGCCUAAUAUGUAAGCAGCUUCUCCAAGGUCCUUCAUUGAAAAACACUUAUUCAAGUAGGCCUUAAUGCUGUCCAAGAAUUCUAUAUCAUUUCCCAUCAAAAGUAUGUCAUCUACAUAUAAUAUGAGAAAUGCUACAGAGCUCCCACUCACUUUCUUGUAAACGCAGGCUUCUCCAUAAGUCUGCAUAAACCCAAACACUUUGAUCAUCUCAUCAAAGCGAAUGUUCCAACUCCGAGAUGCUUGCACCAGCCCAUAAAUGGAUCGCUAGAGCUUUCAUACUUUGUUAGCAUUCUUAGGAUCGACAAAACCUUCCGGCUGCAUCAUAUACAGCUCUUCCUUAAGAUAACCGUUAAGGAAUGCCGUUUUGACGUCCAUCUGCCAUAUCUCAUAAUCAUAGUAUGCGGCAAUUGCUAACAUGAUUCGGACGGACUUAAGCUUCGCUACGGGAGAGAAAGUCUCGUCGUAGUCAAUCCCUUGAACUUGUCAAUAACCCUUAGCGACAAGUCGAGCUUUAUAGAUGGUGACAUUACCAUCCGCAUCCGUCUUCUUCUUAAAGAUCCAUUUGUUUUCUAUCGAUCGCCGAUCAUCGGGCAAGUCAGUCAAAGUCCAUACUUUGUUUUCAUACAUGGAUUCUAUCUCCGAUUGCAUGGCUUCAAGCCAUUUGUUGGAAUCUGGGCCCGCCAUCGCUUCUUCAUAGUUCGAAGGUUCACCGUUGUCUAACAACAUGAUUUCCAGGACAGGGUUGCCAUACCACUCUGGUGUGGAACGUGUCCUUGUGGACCUACAAAGUUCAGUAGCAACUUGAUCCGAAGUACCUUGAUCAUCAUCAUUAAUUUCCUCUCCAGUCGGUGUAGGCACCACAGGAACAUUUUCCUGAGCUACACUAGUUUCAGGUUCAAGAGGUAGUACUUCAUCGAGUUCUACUUUCCUCCCACUUACUACUUUCGAGAGAAACUCUUUUUCCAGAAAGGAUCCGUUCUUGGCAACAAAGAUCUUGCCCUUGGAUCUUAAGUAGAAGGUAUACCCAAUAGUUUCCUUGGGGUAUCCUAUGAAGACGCAUUUUUCCGAUUUGGGUUCGAGCUUUUUAGGUUGAAGCUUCUUGACAUAAGCAUCGCAUCCCCAAACUUUUAGAAAUGACAGCUUAGGUUUCUUCCCAAACCAUAAUUCAUACGGUGUCGUCUCAACGGAUUUAGACGGUGCCCUAUUUAAAGUGAAUGUAGCUGUCUUUAGAGCGUAUCCCCAAAAUGAUAGCGGUAAAUCGGUAAGAGACAUCAUAUAUCACACCAUAUCCAAUAGAGUGCGAUUACGACGUUUGGACACACCGUUACGCUGAGGUGUUCCAGGUGGCGUGAGUUGUGAAAUGAUUCCACAUUUUCUUAAGUGUGUACCAAAUUCGUGACUUAAAUAUUCUCCUCCACGAUCCGAUCGUAAGAAUUUUAUCUUUCGGUCACGUUGAUUCUCUACUUCAUUCUGAAAUUCCUUGAACUUUUCAAAGGUCUCAGACUUGUGUUUCAUCAAGUAGACAUACCCAUAUCUACUUAAGUCAUCAGUGAGAGUGAGAACAUAACGAUAUCCUCCGCGAGCCUCAACGCUCAUUGGACCACACACAUCAGUAUGUAUGAUUUCCAAUAAGUUGGUUGCUCGCUCCAUAGUUCCGGAGAACGGAGUCUUGGUCAUUUUGCCCAUGAGGCAUGGUUCGCAUGUGUCAAAUGAUUCAUAAUCGAGAGACUCUAAAAGUCCAUCAGCAUGGAGCUUCUUCAUGCGCUUGACACCAAUGUGACCAAGGCGGCAGUGCCACAAGUAUGUGGAACUAUCGUUAUCCACUUUACAUCUUUUGGUAUUCACACUAUGAAUAUGUGUAACAUUACGUUCGAGAUUCAUUAACGAUAAACCAUUGACCAUCGGGGCAUGACCAUAAAACAUAUCUCUCAUAUAAAUAGAACAACCAUUAUUCUCGGAUUUAAAUGAGUAGCCAUCUCGCAUCAAACGAGAUCCAGAUACAAUGUUCAUGCUCAAACUUGGCACUAAAUAACAAUUAUUGAGGUUUAAAACUAAUCCCGUAGGUAAAUGUAGAGGUAGCAAGGACUUCAGUCCAUCUGUCGGCUAGCAAGUCUUGGUCAGCUCUAAGCUGCUGCUGUUUUUUCUUGAGGAUGCUCGCCGUGGCCAUAAGCCUGCGUUUGAAACGCUCUUGUUCAACAGGAUCCUCAGGCACGACAAAUUCGUCGUCGUCAAGGCUUGCCUCGUCUUCGAAGGGAGGCAUGUAAUUAUCGUCCUCUACCUCUCUGUCUGCCGCUCUCUCAUGAGGGCUGGCUUCUCCAUCCUCCUGUGCUGAAUCCUGCUGGAGGGGGUUGUCUUCGGCACUGUCCGGGGUGUUACUAUCUCCCGUGCCGGAAUCGCCGUUUUUGCUUUGGCGGGAUUUAGAGCGGCGCCUCUGACGCCGGCGCUUAGGCUGUUUCUUGGAGGGGUCAUCCUCCGUUGUUCCAUCGCCAUUCCCUUCUUUUGGGGUGUCCACUAUAUAUAUGUCGUAUGACGAGGUGGCUUUCCAGUGCCCUAUAGGCGCUGGUUCUUGGUCGUCUCCUGCAUCGGCGUCCAUACCAUCGAUGUCUUCGGAGUCGAAGUCGAGCAUGUCGAUUAAAUCAUCGACAGUGGCUACGAAGUGGGUGGUGGGUGGGCUUUGAAUUUCUUCGUCGUCUGCAUCCCAAUCUUGCUGACCAUAGUCCGGCCAGGGCUCUCCUGAUAAAGAGAGAGACUUUAGUGAAUUCAGGAUGUCGCCGAAGGGCGAGUGCUGAAAGAUGUCCGCGGUGGCGAACUCCAUGAUCGGCGCCGAAUCGGGAUCGAUCAGCAGGGGCGCGGAAGGUUCGGAGUCCGGAAAGGAGUCCGGCACCUUGGAGUCACGAGCUUCGCAAAGGACAAGGCUGGUGUUCGUCUCGAUCGCCAUAGAGAUUGCAGCUCCCGAGGCAGUGUCCAGCCACCCAUCCUCGAUUGGGCAGUCGGCUCCGAGCUAAGGGUCGGAGCGGACACUGGGGCGGUCUCCUGGGCACUGUUCGGCGACAGAGCUAGAUCAUGCCCAUCGUGACAGUGCAGCGCGCUUGGCUGUGGCUCGAACCCGUCGAAGAUCAAGUCUCCGCGGAUGUCAGCCGUGUAGUUCAAACUUGCAAACCUGACCUGAUGGCCAGGGGCCUAGCUUUCGAUCUGCUCCAGAUGACCAAGCGAAUUGGCCCGCAGUGCAAAGCCGCCAAAUACGAAGAUCUAUCGGGGGUGAAAAGUCUCACCCUGGACCGCAUUGUUGUUGAUGAUCGGAGGAGCCAUCGGGCCUAAAGAUGAUGACACAGGGGAACUCUCAAUGAAAGCACCAAUGUCGGUGUCAAAACCGGCGGAUCUCGGGUAGGGGGUCCCGAACUGUGCGUCUAGGCGGAUGGUAACAGGAGACAAGGGACACGAUGUUUUUACCCAGGUUCGGGCCCUCUNNNNNNNNNNNNNNNNNNNNNNNNNNNNNNNNNNNNNNNNNNNNNNNNNNNNNNNNNNNNNNNNNNNNNNNNNNNNNNNNNNNNNNNNNNNNNNNNNNNNAUCACACCCGUGCAGCUGCUCCUUCCGCUGGCAUCCUGCCAAGAACCUGCCGCUAGUCCACUCCUCUUUGUUUGUUGGCUCGAAGCCAUCAAGACACUUGCACAUUGGGACUGGUGCCGCCGUCUCAUCGCAGUAGCCAUACGGGCCACAGUAACCAUGGAGGUUGCAUUCAACAGCUGGCCACUUCAUAAGGACAACCCACGCCGACAAGUUGCUACUCCAGCUCUUGAGGUAAUACUCACCUGAGUAGGUCAGCACUGACCUUGUGAGUGGGGCGCCCUCAGAGAGGCUAUAUGUGCCAUAGAUCUCAUCACCGUUGUCGACCACGGCGAUGUACAUGAUAAGAUCACUAAAACUCAUUGUCCCUGCUAGCUGUUUUUGGCUGACGCUAGUCACUUGGAUCCCCGUCCAGGGAUUGCCACGGGUCACCAAGCUCUCCCCGUCCCACAGGAAUACUUGGAGGGGUGUGUCUGGGUCGCCACCGUAGGAGAAGCGCCCUGGAGAGGGAUCGUUGGGGCCCUUCCAGGAAACCAGACGAUCCCCAGUACCGUUUGUGCUGUAUUUGAUCCGCAUCUUCAUCCCCGGGAGGAGCGUGUCUGUGCGGUGGUCGAAGCUCUGCCACACUGUGGUGCCGUUUGACAAGCGAAUGAUGAGGUUGCCGGUGUUCAGAAGCACCGCCGUCGGGGUAGAUGAGCCCGGGGAAAUAGUUGUCACGUUGGCCCUCGUCCAAAGGAUACGGACACUAUUGUUAGCUUCGGAGAUAAUGAGAUUGGAGGUGUUGGUGAGGGAGAGCAUGGGUGCAAAGGAAGUGAUGUUGGUGACUGGGGUUUCACGGUUCGCAACCCACACAACUGUGAACUCAGAGAUGUUGUUGUACCAUAUACCAAGGUACAGCUUGGCUGGAGUGGAGUUGGAGGGGUUGAAGAAGCCCAAGGAGAACGUGCCACCAUCGGAGAUGAUGGUGUUGCCGGGAUACAGCGACUUGCCAGGGACAAGCCGGUCGUCCGAGCCGCACAACGGCAGGAAUAAAAUGAUCAGGGCCACGGUGCAGAGAGCCCGAGAAUCCAUCAAUCGACAAUGCAAAAAUCUUCGUUACUAAGCAGUAACUAGCUGUAGGCUAUAUAUAGUUGCUGCCAAAUGGAGAUAGCACUUGCAUCGAACCUUGGUCUACAAGUAAAUAUGUUUUCACGAACACAGGAAAGCAGCUUCCACGAAAGUUCUAUCGCAGAAGCAAACGAUUGAAUAAUGGAAAGUUGAGGGAUUCAAGAGUUGGUUUCAAAGUCUGAGUGCGUAGUUUAUAAUUCAGCUGUCCACACUGAAAUUUGGAUGCCACCAUCACUGCUGACUAGAUAGCCAUGUUUUUUCUACUUUUUCUACAUUAUGUUUUUGAAAUGACUAAAAGACGCACACAUAAUACUUACGUAGUCGCAGACACAUACUUAAGAGAAGAGUCAUGUAGUUUCAAAAUUAACAAAGUUACAAUAUGGAUGUAUUGCUAGCAACAAGGAAAUCACCCACCACGAAAAGAAAAAUUUGCAUUAGUUAGUCAUACAGAUCGAGUCAAACAUAACGUUCGAUCAGUCUCGGUGGUGGCUGAAAAAUAUAAUUCACCUCCUAACCUUCUAACCAAUGAUUGAUUUUUGACUAGUAGCUAUUGACCGAGACAUUGACCUAUACUGACCCGGCCACGAUCAUAUAUGGUCCAGCUCCGACGCGGCUAUUGGGUCCCAGUAUUUGAAGUUGUUGGUCAAACCUACAGGCAGAUGCGUGCAGUACCAACAGAAAAUGUAGUACUUCCAUUCUCAGACUGAAUUUUCUACAGUUUUAAUGUGCAGACUGAAUAUUCUCUUCCUCGUCAUGUAACAGCUGAAAAACAAAAAGAACCUGUAUAGUUUAAAAAGAAAAACUUUGCAGAUGGGUGAUGGAGCUACAAGCCUACAAAUGGAUUGUACCACCAUAAGACCUACUUAUGAAACAAUUUUGAGCUAUUUCAUGAAACUUUUGUUAUUAAGUGUUCUUUCAUGGAAUGUAUUUUCUAGUAUGGAAGACGGAUAGCUGACCUAUCUUCCCUCUAGAAGAGUAAUAAUCAGAAUGUUCAUUGAAUUUUGAUUUUUACAUGUUCUACCUACCUAUCAGUUAGCUACUUAUUUUGAUCUUCGCCAACUACCAUAGUUGAUUUCUGCUCACGACACGAUGGUUUCUCCUUUGGGACACGUUUGCUGAGAAGGGUGUGAUGAUGGUGUUUAUGCUUAUUUUAUCAUCAUCUUAGACUAGCAGUUGCAGAUGAACGCAUGCUUUUCAGUUUUCACACCCAUCAAUAUGUUUAUCUAAACUCGAAACGUUGAAUGUGACGCCCAAAUUUCGUCGGACUGCAUCAUUCUAUCCUACAAUUCUAUCUUCAAUAAACCACAACUUAAUUUCCAUUAUGAGAGCGAGAGAGAACAUUGGGAUCAAUGCAUGGUCAUGUUUUUUAUUUAAUAAUCCCUCCGUUGCUUUAUAUUAUGUGUAUUUAGUUUCUGAUAAAAUUUCACAAUGUAAGGUGUAUUUGUUCUAAUUCCUUGUAAUUCCAUUCUUGGCCCUCUAGAAAAAGGAAAAUAUCUCUCACCUGAUUGCAUGUAUCUCUCCCUGUAUAGAAAAAGGAAACUAUCUCUCUCAUGAUUAUGUGUAUCUAUUUCUUUUGCCUAAAUGAUUUACUUGCCCCUAAUGAACGAAAUUAACAAGGGUGAUUUUGUCCUAAAUUUCAUAUAAUAAUGUGCCUUGGUCACUACCAAAAAUAAGACACCUUACAUAAAUGAAUGGAGUAUAAAUGUAAGUACUUUACUGUGCAAAAUGACAUAGCUAGCAAUACCUACAGAAAAGGAAUGAAAACAUUGGAAGAUAACGACCUCCAACUAACUGAUACAUUGCCAUUUUGUUUCUUUAACGAAAUGUUUUUAAUUACGUAUAAGACUAAUCAUAAUCAUUCUACCGCCCUUAUAUAUCCGUAAGAGUAAGAUUGUUCAUGGAGUUUUGUAUGCCUACCCCGGUUUCUAAAUUUCCUUUUUUACCAUGCAAAACAUGCGCUCUGCUGAUUUCAUUAAGAUAGGAAAAAGAAAUAGAAUACAGAAGUUAUUUACAAGGGAUUUUUUUGAAAAGAUUUAGAAGGGACUAGCUAUAGAAAACUACAUGUUGGACAUUACCUAUGCUGCUCAAGGUCACUGUUGGGGAACGUAGUAAUUUCAAAAAAAAUCUUACGUCACACACAGGAUCAUGGUGAUGCAUAGCAACGAGAGGGGAGAGUAUGUCUACAUAACCUCGUAGAUCGAAAGUGGAAGCGUUAUAUCAACACGGUUGAUGUAGUCGUACGUCUUCACGAUCCGACCGAUCCAAGUACCGAAAGCACGGCACCUCCGAGUUCUGCACAUGUUCGGCUCGGUUACGUCCUCGCCUUCUCGAUCCAGCAAGAGGGGCGAAGUAGUAGAUGAGUUCCGGCAGCACGACGGCGUGGUGACGGUGUUGGUGAAUAACAAUCUCCGCAGGGCUUCGCCUAAGCACUACGAAAACUAUGACCGAGGAUAAACUAGAGGGGAUGGGGUAGCCGGCACAUGGCUUGGUGUUUCUUGAUGUGUCUUGGGUGCUACCCUACCCCUCUAUUUAUAUGUUGAGCCUUGGGGUCGAAACUUGGAGUAAAAGCCUCCACAAAAUCGGUUUCACCCGAAAGGCAAGAGUCCUUCUCGGACUCCAGGGCCAGACGCCAGGGUCCNNNNNNNNNNNNNNNNNNNNNNNNNNNNNNNNNNNNNNNNNNNNNNNNNNNNNNNNNNNNNNNNNNNNNNNNNNNNNNNNNNNNNNNNNNNNNNNNNNNNGUAAAAGACAUAAAGUAAAAGAUAGGCCCUUCACAGAUGGAAGAAGAGGUUGUCAUGUUCUUUUAGGGUUGGAUGCACAAAAUCUUAAUGCAAAAGAACAUCACUUUAUAUUGCCACUUGUGAUAUGAAACUUUAUUAUGCAGUCCAUCGCUUUUAUUACUUACAUAUCACACGAUCGUAUAAAGCUUAUGUUCUCCGCACUAAUAAGUCAUACAUAUUUAGAGAGGAAUUUUUAUUGCUUGCAACAUGACAACUUACUUGAAGGAUCUUACUCAAUCCAUAGGUAGGUAUGGUGGACUCUCAUGGCAAAAACUGGGUUUAAGGAUAUUUGGAAGAACAAGUAGUAUCUCUACUUGGUGCAAGGAAUUUUGGCUAGCAUGAGGGGGAAAGGCAAGCUCAACAUGUUUGAAUGAUCCAUGACCAUAUACUUUAAUUGAGAUGUGAGAAAACAUAAACCAUUACGUUGUCUUCCUUAUCCAACAUUAACUCUUUAGCAUGUCAUACUUUAAUGAGUGCUCACAAUUAUAAAAGAUGUCCAAGAUAGUAUAUUUAUAUGUGAAAACCUCUCUUUCUUUAUUACUUCCUAUUAAUUGCAACGAUGACCAAAACUAUGUUUAUCAACUUUCAACAACUUUUAAGUCUCAUACUCUUUAUAUGUGAAGUCAUUACUAUCCAUAAGAUCAAUAUGAACUCUUUUAUUCUCUUUUUUAUUCUUUCUAUUUUAUCAAAAUCAUAGCAAGAUAGGAAAGCCUUGACUCAACACUAAUCUUUAUUCUAUAGCUCACGGACUCGAUUACAUAAAGGGAUCACAAAGCAAAAUUCAAAACUAAUUCAUACCAAAACUUCAUUCUACUAGGUCAAGAUAUUACAAAAAGGAUCGAACUAAGAAAAACGGUAAAGACAGGAGUGUGAUGGUGAUAUGAUACUGGGGCACCUCCCCCAAGCUUGGCAGUUGCCAAGGGGAGUGCCCAUACCCAUGUGAUUAUGUCCUCGAAGGUGAUGAAGGUGGAGUUGUUGAUGAUGUAGGCUUGUCGUCCGUCUUCCAAGGCAUAGGCUCACCAUCAUAGAACGAGUCUCCGAGAUCCUCAAAUCUGCAGCCAAACUCAUCCUCUUGAAUCUAUAUUCAUACUCACAGUUUUGGUUUUGCGGGUCAUGGAUCUGGGCUUGGAGAUGCUCGAUUUUUUCAUGAAGCUUGAAGAUGGUCUCCCCAAUGUUCUUGGCGUCCAGCUUGUGGUUGUUGGUGAAUUCCACGAUCAUCAUCUAGUUGGUGUUAGGUCCACGCUCCACCAUCCCUUGGCACUUGAAAACUUGUUGUUCCAUAGCUUCCAGCUUUGUCUCCACGCUUCCGGUACGCCUUGGUCCCUCCACUUCGCGGAUGUGCAGCACCCCCUCAAGAUAGGGGUUGAUAACUGUCGGUGUCCAAACCGGCGGAUCUCGGGUAGGGGGGUCCCGAACUGUGCGUCUAGGCGGAUGGUAACAGGAGACAAGGGACACGAUGUUUUACCCAGGUUCGGGCCCUCUCGAUGGAGGUAAAACCCUACGUCCUGCUUGAUUGAUAUUGAUAUUGUGGAUGUUUACAAGAGUGGAUCUACCACGAGAUCAAGGAGGCUAAACCCUAGAAGCUAGCCUAUGGUAUGAUUGUAAGGGUUGUUGUUGUUGUUGUUGUUGUUGUUGUUGUUGUUGUCCUAUGGACUAGAGCCAUCCGUUUUAUAUAGACACCGGAGAGGGCUAGGGUUACAUAGAGUCGGUUACAAUGGUAGGAGAUCUAUGUAUCCGUAUCGCCAAGCUUGCCUUCCACGCCAAGGAAAGUCCCAUCCGGACACGGGACGAAGUCUUCAAUCUUGUAUCUUCAUAGUCUUGGAGUCCGGUAGAUGAUGAUAGUCCGGUCGAUGAUAGUUCGGCUGAUGAUGGUAGUCCGGCUAUCCGGACACCCCCUAAUCUAGGACUCCCUUAGUAGCCCCUGAACCAGGCUUCAAUGACGAUAAGUCCGGCACGUAUAUUGCUUGGCAUUGCAAGGCGGGUUCCUCCUCCGAAUGAUAGAAGAUUGUGAACACCAGGAUAGUGUCCGGCUCUGCAAAAUAAAUUCCACAUUCCACCAUAGAGAGAAUAAUAUAUACACAAGUUCAAUCUGCUGACGUUUUUUGUGGCAUGACGUCACGCCACUACCAAGCCAUUACUUGAAUCGUUUUUUACUCUACCACCUCAGCGCAUUUAGCGAAGUGGUUUCCUUGGCACGUCUUGUCGAAGCAGAGAUCGUGUUCCCCCUUAAUCCGGGAUUCUCAUCAAUACGGACGUGGGUAACCCAACCGCGCCAUUGAUGGUGACGCUUGGGGGAUAAGCGAGUUUUACCAAGCUAGUGGGGGACGCGUAGACUUCGCCCGCCCAUAUAAGGGAUAAGGAUUCACCUUUUCACCUACGCCUUCUUCCUCCUUUGCUUAUCCAUCUCCGCGCACUCGAGCUCCAGCGCCCAAGGCCGCACAUCUCGUCUCAACCUUCCCCACUUAUAUCCGGAGUGGGAGGCAAGUGGAUGACCUCCUCCGUCACGGAGGAGCACAUCGAAAGACUGCGCAGCGCCGGCCACCUGUCCGGCGACAUCGCGCACCGGCUGCCCGACGAGGGGCAGCUCAUCCCCACCCCCAGGCCGCAUGAGAGGGUCAUUUUUCUUCCCCACUUCCUCCGCGGAAUGGGGUUUUCCACUUCAACCCUUUGUCCGGGGGCUCAUGUUCUACUACGGCCUGGAUUUCCAUGAUCUGGCACCGAACUUCAUCCUCAACAUCUCGGCGUUUAUCGUCAUGUGCGAGUCCUUCCUCUGCAUCCAGCCCCACUUCGGCUUGUGGCUCAAGACCUUCAAUGUCAAGCCGAAGGUAGUGAAGGGCACUCAUCCGGAGUGCGGAGGCGCCAUGUUGGGCAAGAUGCCCAAUUUCCUUUGGUUCGAAGGGGCCUUCGUGGAAUCCGUCAAGGGGUGGCAAUCGGGGUGGUUCUAUAUCACCGAGCCGCGCGACCCUAAGUGGGCGGAGGCCCCCGAGUUCAGAUCUGGUAUCCCCAUGCAGCUCACCUCCUGGAAAGAGAAGGGCUUGCUGUGGGGUAGCUCGGAGGAGCUGACGGGACUCCAAGCCUGUAUCCAGAAGCUGGUGAAGAAGCUUAGGCUGGUUAACAUGGUCCAAGUCAUGCUCGUCCGCCGGAUUCUCCCAUGCCAAGAGCGGGCAUUCAAUCUGUGGGAGUUCAAUCCGGAACAGCACCAGGCGCUGAGCAGGCUCUUUGACACGACGUACGAAGGCGCCUGGAGGGUGCUUUUUAAGGGCGCCGAAGCCCCCGCAUCCGCGACUGAAGAUCGCGGAUUUCGCUCGCAACGCCAAGCCGACGAGGUAAGUGAUUCUACCCCUUUACGGGACACUUGCUUUUCAUAGUUUGACUCUAUGCGGGUUUUAAUUUCCCCUUUUCCUUUGACAGGACUGGAUGUGGAAGGCGGAGCAGAUUAUCUGCCUGGCUCCCAUGCCAGAAAACCCAGUAGACGCCCAUCUAGCGAAGCUGCUGGUUCCGGCACCGCACAUGGUGCCGGAGAAGAAGGCCAAGAAGGAGGCCACGGGUGCUCGAAAGAGUUCCCGUUUUUAGGUGUCCGACGACUCCGGGGCGGACUCCUCCCCCGAAAACGAGGAGGAGAAAGAGGACUCUCUCCCAGAGGAGGGAGAGAGGAAGAGGAAGGCUUCCCCAACAGGGGAGGCCGAAGGGUCCAAGAGGGGAANNNNNNNNNNNNNNNNNNNNNNNNNNNNNNNNNNNNNNNNNNNNNNNNNNNNNNNNNNNNNNNNNNNNNNNNNNNNNNNNNNNNNNNNNNNNNNNNNNNNAAUGAUGGUAAAUGUCACCAUUAAGAAAGCUCGACUUGUCGUUAAGAUGUUUUCCGACAAGUUCAAGGAGUUGACUACGAUGAGAUUUUCUCACUCGUAGCGAUGCUAAGAGUCUGUUGGAAUUAUAUUAGCGAUUACUGCAUUAUUUAUGAAAUCUUGCAGAUAGGAUGUCAAAACAUUGUUUCCUCGACGAUUUUAAUGAGGAAAGGUUGUAUGUGAUACAACCGGAAGGUUUUGUCAAUCCCGAAAGAUGCUAAUAAGUAUGCAAAGCUCCAGCAAUCCUUCUAAGGACUGGAGUGAGCAUCUCGGAGUUGGAAUGUAUGCUUUGAUGAUGAUCAAAGAUUUUGGGUUUGUACAAAGUUUAUGAGAAACUUGUAUUUCCAAAGAAGUGAGUGGGAGCACUAUAGAAUUUCUGAUGAGUAUAUGUUGUUGACAUAUUGAUGAUCAGAGAUGAUGUAGAAUUUCUAGAAAGCAUAUAGGGUUAUUUUGAAAGUGUUUUUCAAUGGAAAACCUGGAUUAAGCUACUUGAACAUUGAGCAUCAAGAUCUAUAAGGAUAGAUCAAAACGCUUAAUAGUACUUUCAAAUGAGCACAUACCUUGACAUGAUCUUGAAGGUGUUCAAGAUGGACCAGUCAAAGAAGGAGUUCUUGCCUGAGUUGUAAGGUACGAAGUCAAGACUUAAAGCUCGACCAUGGCAGAAUAGAGAGAAAGGACGAAGGUCGUCCCCUAUGCUUAAGAUGUAGGCUCUUCAGUAUGCUGUGCUGUGUACCGCACCUGAAGUGUGCCUUGCCAUGAGUCAGUCAAGGGGUACAAGAGUGAUCCAAGAAUGGAUCACAGGACAGCGGUCAAAGUUAUCCUUAGUAACUAGUGGACUAAGGAAUUUUCUCAAUUAUGGAGGUGGUAAAAGAGUUCGUCGUAAAGGGUUACGUCGAUGCAAGCUAAACACCUAUCCGGAUAGCUCUGAGUAGAGAUACCGGAUACGUACAAUGGGGCAACAAUUUAGAAUAGUUGCAAGUAGAACAUUUAUUUGGAAUAGCUCCAUAUAGAGCGUGGUAGCUGCAUCUAGGAGAUGACAUAAAGAUUUGUAAAGCACACACGAAUCUGAAAGGUUCAGACCCAUUGACUAAAACCUCUCUCACAAGCAACAUGAUCAAACAUAAAACUCAUUGAGUGUUAAUCACAUAGUGAUGUGAACUAGACUACUGACUCUAGUAAACUCUUGGGUAUUAGUCACAUGGCGAUGUGACCUGUGAGUGUUAAUCACAUGGCGAUGUGAACUAGAUUAUUGACUCUAGUGCAAGUGGGAGACUGUUGGAAAUAUGCCCUAGAGGCAAUAAUAAAAGUAUUAUUAUUAUAUUUCCUUGUUCAUGAUAAUUGUCUUUUAUUCAUGCUAUAACUGUAUUAUCCGGAAAUCGUAAUACACGUGUGAAUACAUAGACCACAAUAUGUCCCUAGUGAGCCUCUAGUUGACUAGCUCGUUGUGAUCAACAGAUAGUCAUGGUUUCCUGGCUAUGGACAUUGGAUGUCGUUGAUAACGGGAUCACAUCAUUAGGAGAAUGAUGUGAUGGACAAGACCCAAUCCUAAGACUAGCACAAAUAUCGUGUAGUUCGUUUGCUAGAGCUUUGCCAAUGUCAAGUAUCUCUUCCUUUGACCAUGAGAUCGUGUAAUUCCUGGAUGCCGUAGGAGUGCUUUGGGUGUAUCAAACGUCACAACGUAACUGGGUGACUAUAAAGGUGCACUACAGGUAUCUCCGAAAGUAUCUAUUGUUUUAUGCGGAUCGAGACUGGGAUUUGUCACUCCGUGUAAACGGAGAGGUAUCUCUGGGCCCACUCGGUAGGACAUCAUCAUAUGCGCAAUGUGACCAAGGAGUUGAUCACGGGAUGAUGUGUUACGGAACGAGUAAAGUGACUUGCCGAUAACGAGAUUGAACAAGGUAUUGGAUACCGACGAUCGAAUCUCGGGCAAGUAAAAUACCGCUAGACAAAGGGAAUUGAAUACGGGAUCGAUUGAGUCCUUGACAUCGUGGUUCAUCCGAUGAGAUCAUCGUGGAACAUGUGGGAGCCAUCAUGGGUAUCCAGAUCCCGCUGUUGGUUAUUGACCGGAGAACGUCUCGGUCAUGUCUGCAUGUCUCCCGAACCCGUAGGGUCUACACACUUAAGGUUCGAUGACGCUAGGGUUAUAAAGGAAGCUUGUAUGUGGUUACCGAAUGUUGUUCGGAGUCCCGGAUGAGAUCCCGGACGUCACGGGGAGUUCCGGAAUGGUCCGGAGGUAAAGAUUUAUAUAUAGGAAGUCCUGUUUCGGCCAUCGGGACAAGUUUCGGGGUCAUCGGUAUUGUACCGGGACCACCGGAAGGGUCCCGGGGGCCCACCGGGUGGGGCCACCUGCCCCGGGGGGCCACAUGGGCUGUAGGGGGUGCGCCUUGGCCUACAUGGGCCAAGGGCACCAGCCCCAAGAGGCCCAUGCGCCUGGGGAAACCCUAAAGGAAGAGUCCCAGCAGGGGAAGGCACCUCCUAGGUGCCUUGGGGGGGGGGGAGGACUCCUCCCCUGGCCGCCGCCUCCUUGGAGAUUGGAUCUCCUAGGGGCUGGCGCACCCCCCCCCCUUGGGAUCCCUAUAUAUAGUGGGGUAGGAGGGCCUCCCAAACACACCUUAUGCCUUUGGUGCAGCCCCUCCCUCUCUCCCAAGUUACUCUCCUCUUCUCCCAUGGUGUUUGGCGAAGCCCUGCGGGAUUGCCACGCUCCUCCACCACCACCACGCCGUUGUGCUGCUGUUGGAUGGAUUCUUCCUCAACCUCUCCCUCUCUCCUUGCUGGAUCAAGGCGUGGGAGACGUCACCGGGCUGUACGUGUGUUGAACGCGGAGGUGCCGUCCGUUCGGCACUUGAUCAUCGGUGAUCUGAAUCACGACGAGUACGACUCCAUCAACCCCGUUCACUUGAACGCUUCCGCUUAGCGAUCUACAAGGGUAUGUAGAUGCAAACUCUCCUCUCCUUUCUACUCGUUGCUGGUCUCUCCAUAGAUAGAUCUUGGUGUUACGUAGGAAAAUUUUUGAAUUUCUGCUACGUUCCCCAACAUGAGUGUCAUCCCCUAUGCCUCAGCCAUAGGUUCUAUUAUGUAUGCCAUGCUGUGUACCAGACCUGAUGUAAACCUUGCCGUAAGUUUGGUAGGAAGGUACCAAAGUAAUCCCGGCAAGGAACACUGGACAGCGGUCAAGAAUAUCCUAAAGUACCUGAAAAGGACUAAGGAAAUGUUUCUCGUUUAUGGAGGUGACGAAGAGCUCAUCGUAAAGGGUUACGUCGACGCUAGCUUCGACACAGAUCUGGAUGACUCUAAGUCACAAACCGGAUACGUGUAUAUUUUGAAUGGUGGGGCAGUAAGCUGGUGCAGUUGCAAGCAAAGCAUCGUGGCGGGAUCUACAUGUGAAGCGGAGUACAUGGCAGCCUCGGAGGCAGCACAUGAAGCAAUAUGGGUGAAGGAGUUCAUCACCGACCUAGGAGUCAUACCCAAUGCGUCGGGGCCGAUCAAGCUCUUCUGUGACAACACUGGAGCUAUUGCACUUGCCAAGGAGCCCAGGUUUCACAAGAAGACAAGGCACAUCAAGCGUCGCUUCAACUCCAUUCGUGAAAAUGUUCAAGAUGGAGACAUAGAGAUUUGUAAAGUACAUACGGACCUGAAUGUAGCAGAUCCGUUGACUAAACCUCUCCCUAGAGCAAAACAUGAUCAACACCAGAAUUCCAUGGGUGUUNNNNNNNNNNNNNNNNNNNNNNNNNNNNNNNNNNNNNNNNNNNNNNNNNNNNNNNNNNNNNNNNNNNNNNNNNNNNNNNNNNNNNNNNNNNNNNNNNNNNGCUAGGGCGGGGAUCCCCAAGCAAAUGAGGCGUAAUUUUGACACUAUGGCCAUCCUUCUUCAUUGGAGGAUCUGGAAGGAAAGAAAUGCAAGGAUCUUCGAUAAUGCGGCGAGCACUCCUGACAGGGUUCGGGACCUUGUCUUGGAAGAUAUACACAUAUGGAGAUCAGCCGGCUGUAUCAGCGACUUGGCGACAUAAGCCUAGUCUGUUCUGUAUCUCAUUGGCCACUACUCGUGCGGCGAGAACGAGGGUCGAGCCUAUCUGGAAGCUGGCGAAGGAUAAUCAGUUCUCUGCCUAGAUGUAGUCCUGAUAACGGACUGAUUAUAAUGCUCUCUGUCUCCCCUGCGUUGACGAGCUUGUGUUCUUUUGGGUUUCAGCUCUAGUUCUCCUAGGCUGUUUCCCAUGCUGUAUUCUUUUCCUUCAAUCUAAUAAAGUACGGCCAUUGGCCCUUCGGUACAGUUUCUUCAUCCUCUUUGUGCCAUGGCUGUCCACCUCUUCGUCCUCACCAGUCCGGUCGCAACGUUUCCCUAGCACGCCUCCCACUGCGGAGCACACACAGCUCGAUGCGGCGUCGCCAUCAGACAGCACCUCUUCAACCACUCCAAACAGCGGGUCAAAGUCAGCGAAUCCCUCGACCACGCCUCUAGCUAUGCGGCCAUAGGUGUACCCGGCAGCAGCCUUUCCAUUUGCAGGAUUUUCUUCCAUCGUUUUGCAUUCAGGCAGCUGGUCAUAAUAAAAACACCAAUAAAUAUUAUUGUGACUAAUUUUUUCUGAAGAUCGACCGAACAGAUACCUUAUAUGACAGAACAUCAUGACGAGAGAGUAGAGACUCUGCUUCCACGCCGCACCCUACAUCAAGAUAGCACUGACACUACUAGGAAAAGGCCUACUAAUGGCGCACCGGUUUUGCCUACUAAUGGCACACUACCGGUGUGCCAUUAGUAUCACGCCACUAUUAUUUUUACUUAGUAUCUGGUAUACUAAUGGCGUACCAUGCAGUGCGCCAUUAGUUUUGCCCACAGUGCACCACUAGAGUCUGCUAUACUAAUGGCGCACCACAUGGUAGUGCGCCAUUAGUAACAAUUUUUUUAAUUUUUUUUCUUAAUCUCAGGUCACUAUUUCACAUAUGAGAUAUCGAACACAUAUAUAUACAACAAGCAUCCAUAUAACAAUCAUAGCCAAUACACAAGUUUCAUCAUCUAUACAUACAUAGCCAACACAUAGUUCCAUCGUUACAUAUUAGAAAAGUUUCACAUUGUUCAUCCAACACCGUUAUCCAUCAAUUCACAAAAGUUUCACAUUGAUACAAAAUAAAAACACAAAUGGAAAAGAAGCACUCCAUCCAUGCAAGCUUCCGUGAAUUAAAUCAAAUCUGCAAAAUGAUAAACAAGAAGUUAGAAGAAGAAGAAGAAGAAGACUAGAAGAAUACUAGAAGAAGAAGAACACUAGAAUAAGAAUAAGAAGAAUUUUCGAAAAAAGAAGAAUAAGAAGAAGACUAUAAGCUUACUAUGUAAACUUGAUCAUUUUGUGCUAACAUAAGUAAUUUUGGAGCUAACCUAUAGGAAACUAAGCAUAUAAGCUCUAAGUUAGCAUAUUAGAGCCAACUUAGGUAAAAUGAAGCUAACCUAUGUCAUUUUGGAAAAGAAGAAGAAUAAGAAGGAGACUAUAAGCUUAUUAUGUAAACUUGAUCAUUUUGUGCUACCAUAAGUUAUUUUGGAGCUAACCUAUAGGAAACUAAGCGUAUAAGCUCUAAGUUAGUAUAUUAGAGCCAACUUAGGUAAAAUGAAGCUAACCUAUGUCAUUUUGGAAAAGAAGAAUAAGAAAAAGACUAUAAGCUUAUUAUGUAAACUUGAUCAUUUUGUGCUAACAUAAGUUAUUUUGGAGCUAACCUAUAGGAAACUAAGCAUAUAAGCUCUAAGUUAGCAUAUUAGAGCCAACUUAGGUAAAAUGAAGCUAACCUAUAGGAAACUAAGCAUAUUAGAGAUAACAUAGGUAACUAAGUAUAUAUAUAUAUCAUUUUGGAGAUCUGACAUACCUGACAAAGUUCAGUUCUCAUGCAUUGUUCUUCUCCUUCUCCUUCCUCAGCCUGAUGCGCCAAGAGUGGCGAGGCAGUGGAGGCAGUGGGAUGUAGUCUUCUACCACAAUUGGCGUGGUCAUGUCGCCCAGCUGUGGGAUCGUCGGCGCCACCACCGGUGCGUGGUCAUUGUCAGGCACCACCACCAUCGCGAGACCACCUUCAGGCACGACCAUCGCUAGGUCAUCCUCAGCCACCUCCAUCUCUUGCCCAUGGUCAGCCACCACCAUCUCUUGACCAUUGAGGGAGUCCUGGACUAGGGGGUGUCCGGAUAGCCGAACUAUCAUCAUCGGCCGGACUCCAAGACUAUGAAGAUACAAGAUUGAAGACUUCGUCCCGUGUUCGGAUGGGACUUUCCUUGGCGUGGAAGGCAAGCUUGGCGAUACGGAUAUGUAGAUAUCCUACCAUUGUAAUCGACUCUGUGUAACCCUAGCCCUCUCCGGUGUCUAUAUAAACCGGAUGGCUUUAGUCCGUAGGACGAACAACAAUCAUACCAUAGGCUAGCUUCUAGGGUUUAGCCUCCUUGAUCUCGUGGUAGAUCUACUCUUGUAACACACAUCAUCAAUAUUAAUCAAGCAGGACGUAGGGUUUUACCUCCAUCAAGAGGGCCCGAACCUGGGUAAAACAUCGUGUCCCUUGUCUCCUGUUACCAUCCGCCUAGACGCACAGUUCGGGACCCCCUACCCGAGAUCUGCCGGUUUUGACACCGACAUUGGUGCUUUCAUUGAGAGAUCCUCUGUGUCGUCGCAAUCAGGAAGGAUGCCUUUUCCCGUCUUUAAAGACGGCACCGUCAUCAAGGGAGCUUUGGCCGCCGGCCAAACUAUCCGGCUAGGUGGUUUUCUUAUGACCGCCUGUUCGGCCACCGCUCUGACGAUGACCUCUCAGGUCAUCAAAAGCGAUCUUCACGUCAGCUCGGAAUUCGUCGAGCAGCUAGAUCCGAUGGAGCUCUCCUCCGUAAACGAGCUCUUGGAUCGCAUCGCCGCCCUGGGAGUCGCUACAGACUACGAUCAGAUAGGGCUUAAAACCGAUCUGAGAGAAAUUAACUCUCCCCAGGCUACCCACCACGUUGUUGUGGUAGAGGAACAAUGCGGCGACCCUUCUUCUAUGUUAAAAACCAGCUAUGUCCGGAUUCCCGAUCCCUCCAUGCCGGAUUCCCGCGGAGGGACGGACGUCAAUCAAAUACUGAACCUAAAGUCAGGCAUCGGACUAGAUUUGUUGGAAAGCAUCCAACAAACCAAGCUUCCAAAUCCGGAAACUUCUUAGCCUUUGAGCCUCAGAUCGGGCGGGGUUCCGAACUUAAUUCCACCCGCCCACCCAAACAUAAGCGAUCUAUCUCAAAUAUGGCAAGAGCCCGAUGAAACAGUACAUCAUUGCUGGCCCAGAUUCCUCCUGGUUAUGAACAGGAUAAAGGACUGCCGUGAAGAAAGCGCGAUUUCAAUUUUCUGCAACAAUUGCACGGACAAGGGAAUCAUAAACACCAUAAGUCGUCCCGAAGUUACACGCUUCGCCGACCUAGGGACCAUUGUACAAAAAUACUGGGCGAUGGAGAGUGCCUGGAAAACCGAAACCAGGUUUUGGGACAAUCCGGCCCUGAAUAUAACCCCAGUCCGAAAUAAAAGGGUGCGUCAUGCUCAAGCACCGGGAUUAAAAACCAAAAAGCAAAAAAAANNNNNNNNNNNNNNNNNNNNNNNNNNNNNNNNNNNNNNNNNNNNNNNNNNNNNNNNNNNNNNNNNNNNNNNNNNNNNNNNNNNNNNNNNNNNNNNNNNNNGAGAGCAGGAGCGAGAACAUGGGAUUGUAUCGAUAUGAUCAAAUGGUUGGUUGCUUGCCUGAUGGUUCGAUGCACGGAUACGGUUCUUCGUUAGGGUAAUCACGGUACUCCUCGGGGACAGAUCCUGUCGCAAAGGACAUCGAUACACAAGCAUCACCAAACAAUGUGCAACAAUAUGAUGCAUGCAUGAAACAUGGCAAUAUGAGUGUGUUGGGCUAAUGCAACUAAAACCAGAAGUGUUUGAACAAAUUUGAAUCAAGGAUUCAAAUUUCAAAUUCAAAUAUGGCCUUUUAAAGUGCUUUUCCUUGUUCUGAUUAAAACAUCAAUUUAACUUGUUUGAUCAUGCAUGAAAAUAGUACAGAUGGAUAGAUUGGAUUUUUCUGAUCAUUUUUCAUAUAUAAUUUGUCCAAUUUGGAGUUACAGAAUAAAAGUUAUGAAUUUUUGAAGUUUAAAUAAUAUUCUGGAAUUUCCUGAUUUAAUUUAAAUCCAGAAAUUCAAUUACUGCGUCAGCAUGACAUCAGCAUGACGUCAGUGGUCAACUGUGGCUGGCUGAGGUCAAACCUGACGUGUGGGGGCCACACGUCAGUGACAGGGGGGGUUAAACAGGAUUAAAUUAAUCCUAAUUAGGGGUUAGUGGCGCUGGGACCCACUGUCAGUGUCAGGGGGGGUUAACUAACAGUAGUUAGCGCUAACCUAACCACCUGGCCGACAGGGCCCACGCGUCAGUGACCCUGGGGGGUCAAACCCCAGGUCGGGCAAGUCAAACCCCACCGGCGACAUGACGCCGGCGAGGUCCGAGACGGCAGCGAUAGUGCUUUUUGCCAUUCCGGCAACCAAAUGGACGGCGGAAGGCACCUACGUGUUGCUGAGGUUGAGCCGCGUCUAUUGGUGGUGGUGGUUGGGCUCGGGGUGGCCGGAGUUGACGGCGGCGAGCUCGGCUGUGGCGGCCGGAGUUCGGGUGCGGUCGGGAUCAGCGUUGCAGGGGGUUUGGGGAAGCGUUGGUGCGUGCUGCGUGCUCCUAGUGAGGUGGGGAGCACGAUGGUGUGCUCGGUUGGGUGCUACGGCGACCGUGGCCACGACGGCGACAUCGCCGGCGGCGUGGAGGUCUCGGCCAAGGUGGGGCUAGGGCCUAGAGGUCGAAAGAGACCAGGGGAGAAGGGGGAAAUGAUCCGGGGGCUCACCGCGGAGCUGCAGGGAUGGUUAGCGGGCUCGGGGACGCGCUGGUGACGGUGAAUUCGACGGCGACGACGGUCGGAGCCCGAAGAGGGGAACGGCGACGUGGCGGCGAUGCAGGGCUUCCGGGGAGCUGUGGAGCGGUGGGGAGGAAGAGGGAGUCGAGGCGGAGCUCCUGAGCUAGUCGGGGGAGCGAGGGGUGGUCGGAGACGGUGGCUAAGGCGAACGGCGGCGACGGUGGUGUUCGGCCGGGCGAGAGAGAGAGCGAGGGAGAGCCGGGGGNNNNNNNNNNGGCAGGCAGGGAGAGAGGUGGCGUGGCGCGGUGGCCGUGCGCGCGCGCCGGCCACACGCCUGGCCGACUGGCGCCAGGAGGACGACGGCGGUGGUGGGCUGGGCUGGCUAGCUGGGCCGGCCAGCUGGUUGGGCCGCACAGGUAAGUUUUUCCCUUUUAGUUUUCUGUUUCUGUUUUUAUUUAAUAUAUCUGCAACUUUGUUGAAUGAAAUAAAAUACCUAGGCAACUCCAAAAAUCACCAAACUAUUUCUGGCCCAUAGUUGGAUUAUUUCCAACAUGAAACAUUUUAGUUUGGAGAUAUUUGAGCAUUUAAAUAUUUUAUAUUAUUUUAAAUGCCCAAAUUCAAAUAUUUAUGAUUUAAUUCAAAAACCUUAGGAUGGCCUAGGAAAAUGUGCACCACUUUUGGCAGAGGUUCUGAACCAAGGCAAAAAUGAUGGGCAUUUUAGAAGGGCAUUUCAGGUUCAUUGAAAAAUUAUUUUAGUAACCCUAGUUGGUUUCAGAGGGGACUGGGGGUUCUGUCAUCCCCAUUUCAAGUUUCUGAUGAAAGAGUAAACAUGAUGCAACACUCUAAUGCAUGACUAGCUAGGGUGUGACAUCGGGAAUGCACCAAAAAAGCUUCUCGACAGCUCUCUCCUCGGUGUAGGUGGCAUCGCCAAACUUCAUCAUCUUCUGCAGCAGAGUGUUGAGACGGAGAGCAAAGUCAUCAACGUCCUCACCUGGCUUGAAGCCCAGGUUCUCCCACUCCUUACGAAGUGCCUGUAGUGUGGACUUGCGAGCACGGUCGCUGCCGAUGCGUGCUGCGGCGAUGGCGUCCCAAGCCUCAUUGACAGUCCGCUUGUUGGAAAGCGAGAACUGCAUCUCGGGCGGGACUGCGGCGAUGAGGGCGUCCAGCGCCCGUCGAUCCUCUAGGUGGUCGACGUUGCUGUCCUGGACUGCCUCCCACAUGCGCCGCACCUGGGGCCUGACCUUCAUGAUCCCGGCCCACUCGAUGUAGUUGGUUUUAGUGAGGGUAGGCCACCCAACACUGGAACCAACAUCCCUGACCACAGUCGGGACCUCGUAGAGGCCGCGGUCCUGGUCGUUGCAGCCGCCGUCGCGGUGCGCGCCUCCACCUUGAGCGCGGGCGUGCUCGGCUGCCCACUGCGCCGUCCUCUCCUGCGCCACUUUGGCGCGAUCUGCGUCGGCGCCGUCGUCCGCAGGCGCGGAGCUGCUGGAGCUGCCGGGGCUGCCGCGGAGUGCCUUGGCAUCCGCCGUAGCCUCACGGGCUGCUUCUGCUGCUACUGCUGCUCCUACCUCCGCCCUGGCUGCUUCUACCUCCGCUCUGGCUGCUGCCAGCUCCGCUGCAGCCAGCCUCGACACCCUUGCCGCCGCAGCAGCUGCUGCUACAGCCGCUCGCUCACGCUCCUCUGCCACGGCGCGCUCGGCCUCCUGCCGGCGCCGCAUGCUCGAGGUAGCCGUGUGCUGAGAGCGACCUGCAGACAUGGCUCGCUGCAGGGGGGCUGUUGCGUGAAGAGGAGGCCGAUGAAGACGAGCUGCUGCUCGACAGUCCGGAGGGAGGAAGGUAACCAGAGGCAGACGGAGCAGCUGCUGCUACCGACUUGGGCUGCUCACAGGAAAUGCUCAGGGUACAGGUUAACGAGGCUCUGAUACCACUUGUUAGACCUUUCAGUCUGAGCAUUGAUAGUUGUGGAUGACACUAGAAGAGUUGGGACAAUUUUCGUUGGUUUAUUUCUCACACAAUGCCAUGCCAACCUGAGGGGUUGGGGAUACAUAUUUAUAGGCUGCUAGCCAGCCAAGGCAUAUGCUAAGAUGCUGCUAAGAUGCCAGUCUAAGAUGCUAGUCUAAGAUGCUAACUGACAGUCCUUGAUGGUCAAGAACAGAACUCUAUCCUAACAGCCAGUCCUUGAUGGUUCAGGACUUUAUCCUCCUAACUGCCACAAGGACCAUGUGCUGCAGCCCCACAAAGACCCUAGUACAUAAACUUAUCCAUCAACCUCCACCACCGCCCCGCUGGCCGCCACGAACAGCGUCCCUCCACCGCCGGUGCCGAUUACCUCCGCCGCCCCGGUUGCCACCAUCUUCACCCUCGAGGAAGUCACCGGCGCGCUCCGCGAUCUCGCCACCGCGGUCCAGGAGAUCCGCCUCUACCUGGCCGGCCCCCACGAGCCGCCGCCGGCCGCGCCACCCGCCGCCGCCACCGGGCCGCUGCUCCUACCGUGGCAGCUGCCCCUCCCGGCGGCCUCCGCCGCCCUCGCCAGCCCGUUGCAGCCCCAGCUNNNNNNNNNNNNNNNNNNNNNNNNNNNNNNNNNNNNNNNNNNNNNNNNNNNNNNNNNNNNNNNNNNNNNNNNNNNNNNNNNNNNNNNNNNNNNNNNNNNNGGUGAUAGAACAAUCUCAUAUCAUAAUCCUUAAUGAGCUCCAACCAUCUCCUUUGCCUGAGAUUUAACUCCUUCUGUGGGAAGUUGUACUUCAAGCUCUUGUGAUCAGUGUACACCUCACAAUGGUUUCCGAUGAGAAAAUGUCUCCAUGUCUUUAAUGCAUGCACUAUGGCUGCUAACUCCAAAUCAUGUGUAGCAUAGUUCAACUCAUGGGGUUUAAGCUGUCGUGAGGCAUAAGAAACAACUCUUCCCUCCUGCAUAAGCACCGCUCCAAGUCCUCGACGAGAAGCAUCGCAAUAUACUUCAUAAUCCUUGCGCUCAUCUGGCAGAAUCAACACCGGUGAUGUAACCAAACAUUUCUUCAACUCCUGGAAACUGGCCUUACAUUCCUCAGUCCAUUUGAAUUUGAUGUCCUUUUUCAACAACUCUGUCAUGGGUUUUGCGAUCUUCGAGAAAUUCUCAAUGAACCUCCGGUAGUAUCCUGCGAGUCCAAGAAAACUCCGGAUAUCUCCAACUGAUGUGGGUGCUUCCCAAUUUGUCACAGUGACAACUUUGGUGGGGUCUACUGCUAUUCCUUCUCCGGAUAUAACAUGUCCAAGGAAUCCAACUUCCUUCAACCAAAACUCGCACUUGCUGAACUUGGCAUAUAAUUGAUGCUCUCUGAGCUUCCCAAGUACCAAACGCAAAUGUUCCUUAUGCUCUUCUUCAUUCUACGAGUAGACCAAAAUAUCAUCAAUGAACACCACAAUGAACUUAUCCAGAAACUCCAUGAACACCUUGUUCAUCAUGUUCAUAAAAUAGGCAGGUGCGUUAGUCAGACCAAAUGACAUAACGGUAUACUCAUAUAGCCCGUACCUUGUGGUAAAAGCUGUCUUAGGUAUAUCCUGCUCUCGAAUCUUCAGCUGGUGGUAUCCUGAUCGCAGAUCGAUCUUGGAAAAUACUUUAGCUCCUUGCAACUGGUAAAACAAAUCAUUGAUCAUCGGCAGUGGGUACUUGUUCUUGAUUGUCACUUCAUUCAAUCCUCGAUAAUCAAUAGCCAUCCUUAAUGAUCCAUCCUUCUUCUCCACUAGAAGCACUGGUGACCCCCAAGAUGUUCUAUCACUUUUAGCUAGCACAGAGGCUAGAGAUGAGAUUAGUGCACUUGUUGAUACUCCUACUAGAAUAGAGGCUAGACAUGAGACUAGAUGUGAGGAAGCAACGUCUACUUCUUUACACUCGAAGAAGAAAGAAGCACGCAAGAUCGAGCCUCCGCAGAUCAACAAUGAAUGCAUCGAGAAGGCACUAAUCCAACUUAUAGGAGUAGUAAAAUUUAUUCUUGUGGUUCUUGUUUUCUUUGGUCUUGCUUUUCUAGUCAAAAUUAUCGUUGGAGUUCGUGCAAAACGAAGGUCCGUUUGGGGUCGUGCGUUGGAGUUUGCCUUACAAGUGGGACCGCAGUUAAGGAAACCGACUAUCGGCAAACCCCCACCUCGCCCGCCGCGCGAUGGCUGAAGUUAGAGAAAUGACGAGGUUGAAGAGAUUGCUCUAGCAUGGACUCCAAGAAAUAAUAUGGUGUCAGAUGGAUGUCGUGGUGGUGGCGUGUGUCGUACUCCUGGACGUGAAUGCUUGUUCUGGCCCAUGCCACCCUACUACUCCUACUACUUACUCCUACUAUAUAGUACUAGUAUCGAGGAUUCGAGGUGCUGGUUACGUACAGCAAACACAUUAACAUAUGGCUACAGUAAAAACACCUGCCCGACGCGUGAAGCAUGUGAAGCUAGUACAAAUAGUGUACAACUAUUGUUGAUUGGCCUCAUCCGAUAACCUGUUGCAAUGCACGUACAAUUAUGUAUUCAGAAAAAUUUUUUCCUCGUCGCACCACUCACUCAGAGAAGUGACUCGAAAGCCAUUCCUAAAUUUAGUAAGUUUAUCACAGGCAUAUCAUUUUAUUACAUACAAUAGGUCAUCAACCCACAUCGACAACGAGGAUACAUUAUAAAUACUAAAGUUUUCACCAUACAAAAAAUAACAAGCAAUAAAAUGAACUUCAACUCAACCAUUCCUCGGUGUUGGAAAUGCUUGCUUUGAACCACAAGUGAUUCUCUGGGACGGGCCAUCCAUUAUCGAUCUGGAGACCAACGCAGGACUGAUCAUCCAGGCUGAAGCGGCCUACUAUAUCAGUACCAGGGUAGGGAACCACCCAAUUGUCCGAGGUAUAGACACAGCUGCUUCUCAUAAAUGGUACUAGUAACAUUGUGUCAACAGCAGUUGGGUCACCUUUCACCAUCAUCGGAUAGUUUUGUCCAAGGAAGAGCGAGUUUUCUCCAAGACUAUCAAUUCUGUACCAGGGAGAAGGAGUUGGCGCUAGCACACUAGUAUCCAUCCCGAAUACCAUGCAAUGGGUGUUGGAAUAGGUCCGGAGAGUGCGACCAUGGGAGACUACACCUGCUUCCUUAGCAGUAACAUCAUCAGUGGGCUGUAUACACACAAGAAGAGGUGAUCCAUCGGAAUUAGUUGCCAGGCGCCACAGAGUAUAUGGGCGCUACUCGUCCUCAUGCUUGUGAUCAUCACCAUCGUCAUCUCCCCCUUGGUUAUAAAAUUUUUCAAGUAUAGGUGGUGGGAUGUUCACAAGACCUUGGAAACACAAGAAGAAGCUUAAUUAGUAAAGGGAAACUUGCUAACCCGCAUGCAUGUGGAUGAAACAAUUAUAAUUACGCUGGAAGACAAACGUACCGAAACUACGAGGAUCCCAUGCAAAACAGUGCCACGAGUGGUGGCAGCAAACACAAGGCCCUCGUAUUGAAUUGCAUCACAGUACUCAUCCAUGUACAGAAACUGAUUUUUGAGCAAUAUCCAUCGAGUCAAACCACCAAGGACGGCAACAAGCUUGUUGAAGAUAGAAUUCCAAGAGCGGUUGGGAACUUGACAAAUUGCUAUCUUCCGUAGAAGAUAAUCACCAUGAUCGUAUUUGAACGUGCGUACAAUACCGGUGUGCUCAACCUCUGGGCAGUCUGCUGAGAUUUUUGGAAGUGGAACCCGGUCACGAGUGUACACAUUCACAAGUUCCCACUCGCAGUUGGACCCAAUGUAAACAACCCAAUCUCCAUUUGCGCCUGCCCAAGCCUUGCCCUCAAGCGAUGGCAUCUUAACAUCAUACGUAUCAUUAUCAAGCGGCAUCAACUUGCACAGGCUGAGGCCUCCGUCGUGCCGGCGCCAGUCAUCAGGGUCACGGCGAAGAAGAUAGGGGAGAUCAAACCGCUCCUUGACUCUUGGGUUCCUUGUAAUGAUGUUAUUAGUGGUCUUCACUGGGAUGAAAUGAGCUACCUUGGUCAAACGAUCGACUACAACCCAUAUCGAGUCAUAGCCUGAACGAGUCCUGGGCAAUCCUGUGAUAAAAUCCAUGCCUAUCUUAUCCCACUUCAAUUCGGGUAUCGACAAUGGUUGUAGCAAUCCUGCUGGCUUCUGAUGCUCUGCCUUCACUCUUUGACAUACAUCACAAACUGCUACAAACUCCGCAAUAUCCUUCUUCAUUCCGGUCCACCAAAAACUAUCCUUCAAAUCCAGAUACAUUUUGGUAUAUCCUGGGUGAAUCAAAUACGGCGAAUCAUGGGCCUCCUGCAGAAUCAACUUCCUGAUCUCUGGGUCAUUAGGCACAUAUACGCGGACCUCAAACCAUAAGGUAUCAUGCUCAUCCUCACGAGAUCCCUUAGCUUUUCCUUUGCUCAUCUUCUCCUUUAUCUCGGCAAUCUCCUUGUCGGUCUUCUGANNNNNNNNNNNNNNNNNNNNNNNNNNNNNNNNNNNNNNNNNNNNNNNNNNNNNNNNNNNNNNNNNNNNNNNNNNNNNNNNNNNNNNNNNNNNNNNNNNNNUUUUUCUUUUAAAAUUUCACUUGUUUAAUUAACUACAUUCAAAGAACUUUCUACAGUUUUUUUAGAGAAGGACAACCUAUGAUUUGCUAGCUAGCUAGUUAGGUAUUUUAACACAACAUUAAUAGCAAGGAGAAGGAGAUGAACUGUUCACAGCCAGGCAGGCAGGUCUCGCUGGCUUUUUCCUGUAUCAUUGGCUACUCCUACUUCCUUCUCUGACAAAGACCUGUUCUGAAUCUGUAAUACUGAUUCAUAGUGAUGAUGGUGGAUCGACUAUAGACCUUUACUAAUCCAUGUACAACAAAAAUUACGACGUACAAGGUUAAAAAUCCAAGGGUCAAACCCUAGUCAAUCGAUCCGGCAAAUUCUACACGAAUCUGGCAUGACAUCCAGUGCGAUUAACAGGAGUUUCAAUUAUAAUUAGCCUCCACGAAGCUGCAUGGAGGAGGAUGUAAUCGUGUUUUGUUUCCUUGUCUGAAACUUCACUUUCCAUCAAUCUGAAAAUAAGUGGUAGAGGGUAAAGGAAUGAAAAAAAACAUAUGUAGAGGUUUUGCAACAGCUAAAGCCACACACACAAAAACAUUAGUAUGCUAGCUGGUCCAUGGCAUUGACAAGUCAAUUGAUUCGAUGCAACCAUAUGUAUGAAUAAUAUGGCCAAGGAUAAGAGAAGUAAAAAAUAUAAAUAUACUGAUAGGCUCUUCUUUUGUUCACGUGUGCAUGUUGCAUGAGCCAAGUGUAUCGGCAUUAUGGCUUGUGUUUGCUACAUGACGGCGAUAGGCCAGUUCCCAUUCAGUCAGGCAUGAUAUGUCCUAAAUUCAUUUAUUCACGUAUCGUGUAGAAGGAGAACUUAUUUCAUUUAUGUUUUGUAGGUUCCUUGCUUACAAGAAAAUAGAAAAAAAGACACUUAUAUAAUUACCAGACAAAAUCAACUGUAUAUUGCUCUAUCUUUCCUCUUUGUUCUGUAUCAGUAUCAACAAUCAUAGUACUAAUAGCUUCCUAUACUGGUGGUAAUAAAUUCAAUAAAAGAAACCUAGAAACUAUAUGAACAACUUGAAACAAUAUGUACAAACUUAGAUUAACCAACGAAUGAAAUACAAAAGAAGUGUUCAUGUCUACGUGGAGUGAAUCAAUCAAGCCACGCAAAGCCCUAAUACUUUGUUUUCUAUUAGUAACUCAUAUGACAAUACAACCGCUCCAUAUGAAAAGGUAAUACGAUGAGUCAUCUAUGCUUAUCCAUCUUACAUAUAUAUUGUACAAAAAAUAUAAAGUUAGUUCAGAAAAAAUUGUGUAUAGAACAAUCUUCGCAUUAAUAGUGUGAUCUAUCUCAAUGACACACACAAAAUUACAAACUUUGUUCCCUUAAGUAUGCCAAUCUGGAUACGCCUAACAACAUAUAGAACAUGACAAACUAACUCGGAGCAAGGGACAAAAUCUAGAUCAAUGUUUGAAGUGUAAAGUGAAUACGAUGAGUCAUUUGUCGUUAUCAAGCAUUCCAUACACCUAGAUGAUAUGUGCAAGAACAAUCAACUAUGAAGAACAAUCCAAAAUCACACUAGUAAGUAGUGCAAUGAAACACAACAUACCAAAUUAUUAGGUAAUCGAUAAGCUUAAGAGCAGUUUUUCAAGAAGCGAGUGUAAAGAUUACAAACUUAGUUCCCUUAAGUUAUGCCAAUCUGGAUAUACCUAACAACAUGCAGAACAGCACAAGCUAAAUCAGAAAGACGGACAAAAUCUAGAUCAAUAUUUGAAGUGUAAAGUGAAUACGAUGAGUCAUUAUGCGUUAUCAAGCAUUUGAUACACCCAGAUGAUAUGAGAAAGAACAAUCAACUAUGAUGAACAAUCCAAAGUCACGCUAGUAAGUAGUGCCAUCAAACACAACAUACAAAAUUAUUAGGUCGAUAAGCUUAAGAGCACUUUUUCAAGAAACGAGUGUGAAGAUCAAAAACAAAUGUGCGAUGCCAGCUAUAAAUACGACUACACCAUGAGGGUCUCUUCCAUCAUCUAACCUUCAAGGACCUAGAGUUGAAACACCAAAGCCAAGUGAGCAAUAGUAAACACAAAUCAAACAUGAAGACCUUCAUCAUAUUUGUCCUCCUUGCCAUGGCGAUGAACAUCGCCAGUGCCAGUAGGCUGCUAAGCCCUAGAGGCAAGGAAUUGCAUACUCCACAAGAACAAUUCCCCCAACAACAACAAUUCCCCCAACCACAACAAUUCCCCCAACAACAACAAUUAACGCAACAACAAUUCCCCCGGCCACAACAAUCCCCUGAACAACAAUAAUUCCCCCAACAACAAUUCCCCCAGCAACCACCACAACAAUUCCCCCAACAACAAUUUCCAAUACCAUACCCACCCCAGCAAUCACAAGAACCUUCCCCAUACCAACAAUAUCCACAACAAGAACCAUCUGGGAGCGACGUUAUAAGUAUCAGUGGCCUAUGAAAUGAAGAGAUGUAAUACUAGACGGGUGAAUCAUCGUUGUUAGUCAAUGGAGCAUAAUGUAACGAUGAUAAAUAAAGUGAUGUGCACCAUCAUGUGUAACCCCGACCUGUACUAGUCCAAACAUGGGAAUAAAAGACAAAUAAGUUCUUUUCUGAAGCACAUUGCUCGCAAUUGUUACAUUCAUGCCCUAUUUUGAUUUCCAUCCCUAACUACAAUCUCAAUGUUAUGUGACGUCUACUUAUUUAGGAAGUGUAGUAUUAUAUGAACAUAACAUAAUUAACAUGUACGAAACUUGUUUCAAAUUGAAGUACUAUUAAUUCGGGAGUAAGGACUAAUUACAAUUUAACAUUUCAAUGGAGAGUGCUACUUGUAGACUGUGUUGUUAAUUCCCCAAGGAGGAGAGGAUGAUGAAGUAUAGUACAAAUAAGUAUUUCACUAAGUUAAGAAUCAAGGUUAUCAAUCCAGUAGGUGAACCACACAAAACCUUGUUAACAGCACCUGCACACACAAAAGCAAACACUGACACCUAACGCAAAUAAGAGGCUUGUCAAUCCUCGUAGACGUUAUUUGCAAUGAUUAAUUCUCGUAGUGAUAGAUGGACAUGAGUUGUCAUUUGAUAACGUGAUCACAUCAUUAGGAGAAUGAUGUGAUUUACAAGACCCAAACUAUGAAUGUAGCAUAUGAUCUUGUCAAGUUUAUUGCUAUCGUUUUCUGCAUGUCAAUUAUAUGUUCCUAUGACCAUGAGAUCAUGCAAGUCACUGACACCGGAGGAGUGCCUUGUGCGUAUCAAACAUCACAACGUAACUGGGUGACUAUAAAGAUGCUCUACAGGUGUCUCCAAGGGUGUCUAUUGAGUUGGCAUGGAUCGAGACUGGGAUUUGUCACUCCGUAUGAUGGAGAGGUAUCUCAGGGCCCACUCGGUAAUACAACAUCACAAUAAGCUUGCAAUCAAUGUGACUAAGAAGUUAGCCACGGGAUCUUGUAUUACGAAAUAGAGAGACUUGCCGGUAACGAGAUUGCACUAGGUAUGGAGAUACCAAUGAUCGAAUCUCAGGCAAGUAACAUACCAAUGGAAAAAGGGAACUUCAUACGGGAUUGCCUGAAACCUUGACAUCGAGGUUCGACUGAUAAAGAUCUUCGUAGAAUAUGUAGGAACCAACAUGGGCAUCCAGGUCAUGUUAUUGGUCAUUGACCGUAGAGGUGUAUCGGUCAUGUGUGCAUAGUUCUCGAACCCGCAGGGUCUACACACUUAACGUUUGUUGACGAUAUAAGUAUAGUUGGGUCAUAUGGUGGUUACCGAAGNNNNNNNNNNNNNNNNNNNNNNNNNNNNNNNNNNNNNNNNNNNNNNNNNNNNNNNNNNNNNNNNNNNNNNNNNNNNNNNNNNNNNNNNNNNNNNNNNNNNGUCCUCUUCAGGUACUUCAGGAUAUUCUUGACCGCUGUCCAGUGUUCCAUGCCGGGAUUACUUUGGUACCUUCCUACCAAACUUACGGCAAGGUUUACAUCAGGUCUGGUACACAGCAUGGCAUACAUAAUAGACCCUAUGGCCGAGGCAUAGGGGAUGACACUCAUCUUUUCUCUAUCUUCUGCCGUGGUCGGGCAUUGAGCCGUGCUCAAUUGCACACCUUGCAAUACAGGCAAGAACCCCUUCUUGGACUGAUCCAUAUUGAACUUCUUCAAUAUCUUGUCAAGGUAUGUACUCUGUGAAAGACCAAUGAGGCGUCUUGAUCUAUCUCUAUAGAUCUUGAUGCCUAAUAUAUAAGCAGCUUCUCCAAGGUCCUUCAUUGAAAAACACUUAUUCAAAUAUGCCUUUAUACUUUCCAAGAAUUCUAUAUCAUUUCCCAUCAAUAAUAUGUCAUCCACAUAUAAUAUGAGAAAUGCUACAGAGCUCCCACUCACUUUCUUGUAAACACAGGCUUCUCCAUAAGUCUGUGUAAACCCAAACGCUUUGAUCAUCUCAUCAAAGCGAAUGUUCCAACUCCGAGAUGCUUGCACCAGCCCAUAGAUUGAGCGCUGGAGCUUGCAUACUUUGUUAGCAUUCUUAGGAUCGACAAAACCUUCCGGCUGCAUCAUAUACAACUCUUCCUUAAGGAAGCCAUUAAGGAAUGUCGUUUUGACGUCCAUCUGCCAUAUCUCAUAAUCAUAGUAUGCGGCAAUUUCUAACAUGAUUUGGACGAACUUCAGCUUCGCUACGGGUGAUAAAGUCUCAUCGUAGUCAACCCCUUGAACUUGUCGAUAACCCUUAGCGACAAGUCGAGCUUUGUAGAUGGUCACAUUACCAUCCGCGUCCGUCUUUUUCUUAAAGAUCCAUUUGUUUUCUAUGGCUCGCCGAUCAUCGGGCAAGUCAGUCAAAGUCCAUACUUCAUUUUCAUACAUGGAUCCUAUCUCGGAUUUCAUGGCUUCUAGCCAUUUGUCGGAAUCCGGGCCCGCCAUCGCUUCUUCAUAGUUCGAAGGUUCACCGUUGUCUAAUAACAUGAUUUCCAGGACAGGGUUGCCGUACCACUCUGGUGCGGAACGUGUCCUUGUGGACCUACGAAGUUCAGUAACUUGAUCCGAAGCUUCAUGAUCAUCAUCAUUAACUUCCUCCCCAGUCGGUGUAGGCACCACAGGAACAUUUUCCCGCGCUGCGCUACUUUCCGGUUCGGAAGAGGUGACUAUCACCUCAUCAAGUUCCACUUUCCUCCCACUCAAUUCUUUCGAGAGAAACUCCUUCUCCAGAAAGGACCCGUUCUUGGCAACGAAGAUCUUGCCUUCGGAUCUGAGGUAGAAGGUAUACCCAAUGGUUUCCUUAGGGUAUCCUAUGAAGACGCAUUUCUCCGACUUGGGUUCGAGCUUUUCAGGUUGAAGUUUCUUGACAUAAGCAUCGCAUCCCCAAACCUUUAGAAACGACAGCUUAGGUUUCUUCCCAAACCAUAAUUCAUAUGGUGUCGUCUCAACGGAUUUCGGCGGAGCCCUAUUUAAAGUGAAUGCGGCAGUCUCUAAAGCAUAGCCCCAAAAUGAGAGCGGUAAAUCGGUAAGAGACAUCAUAGGUCGCACCAUAUCCAAUAGAGUGCGAUUACGACGUUCGAACACACCAUUUCGCUGAGGUGUUCCAGGCGGCGUGAGCUGUGAAACUAUUCCACAUUUUCUUAAAUGUGCACCAAAUUCGUGACUUAAAGAUUCUCCACCACGAUCUGAUCGUAAGAAUUUUAUUCUCCUGUCACGUUGAUUCUCAACCUCACUCUAAAAUUCCUUGAACUUUUCAAAGGUUUCAGACUUGUGUUUCAUUAGGUAGACAUACCCAUAUCUACUUAAAUCAUCAGUGAGAGUGAGAACAUAACGAUAUCCUCCGCGAGCCUCAACACUCAUUGGACCGCACACAUCGGUAUGUAUGAUUUCCAAUAAGUUGGUUGCUCGCUCCAUUGUUCCGGAGAACGGAGUCUUGGUCAUCUUACCCAUGAGGCAUGGUUCGCACGUGUCAAAUGAUUCGUAAUCAAGAGACUCCAAAAGUCGAUCUGCAUGGAGCUUCUUCAUGCGCUUGACACCAGUGUGACCAAGGAGGCAGUGCCACAGAUAUGUGGGACUAUCGUUAUCAACUUUACAUCUUUUGGUAUUCACACUAUGAACAUGUGUAACAUCACGUUCGAGAUUCAUCAAGAAUAAACCAUUGACCAGCGGGGCAUGACCAUAAAACAUAUCUCUCAAAUAAAUAGAACAACCAUUAUUCUCGGAUUUAAAUGAGUAGCCAUCUCGAAUUAAAUGAGAUCCAGAUACAAUGUUCAUGCUCAAAGCUGGCACUAAAUAACAAUUAUUGAGGUUUAAAACUAAUCCCGUGGGUAGAUGCAGAGGUAGCGUGCUGACGGCGAUCACAUCGACCUUGGAACCAUUCCCGCUCGUCCUUCGCCAGUCUCCGUUUAUUCCGUAGUUCCUGUUUUGAGUUACAAAUAUGAGCAACCGCACUGGUAUCAAAUACCCAGGAGCUACUACGAGUACUGGUAAGGUACACAUCAAUUACAUGUAUAUCACAUAUACCUUUGGUGUUGCCGGCCUUCUUUUCCGCUAAGUAUUUGGGGCAGUUCCGCUUCCAGUGACCACUUCCCUUGCAAUAAAAGCACUCAGUUUCAGGCUUGGGUCCAUUCUUUGACUUCUUCCUAGUAACUGGUUUACCGGGUGCGGCAACUCCCUUACCGUCCUUCUUGAAGUUCUUCUUACCCUUGCCCUUCUUGAAGUUAGUGGUUUUAUUCACCAUCAACACUUGAUGUUCUUUUCUGAUUUCCACCUCCGCUGAUUUCAGCAUCGAAUAUACCUCAGGAAUGGUCUUUUCCAUCCCCUGCAUAUUGUAGUUCAUCACAAAGCUCUUGAAGCUUGGUGGAAGCGACUGAAGGAUUCUGUCAAUGACCGCGUCAUCCGGGAGAUUAACUCCCGGCUGAGUCAAGCGGUUGUGCAACCCAGACAUUCUGAGUAUGUGCUCACUUACAGAACUAUUUUCCUCCAUUUUACAGCUGAAGAACUUGUCGGGGACUUCAUAUCUCUCGACCCGGGCAUGAGCUUGGAAAACCAAUUUCAGCUCCUCGAACAUCUCAUAUGCUCCAUGUUUCUCAAAACGCUUUUGGAGACCCAGUUCUAAGCUGUAAAGCAUGCCGCACUGAACGAGGGAGUAAUCAUCAGCACGCUGCUGCUAAGCGUUCAUAACGUCUUGGUUUUGUGGGAUUGGUGCUUCACCUAGCGGUGCUUCUAGGACAUAAUCUUUCUUGGCUACUAUGAGGAUGAUCCUCAGGUUCCGGACCCAGUCCGUAUAGUUGCUGCCAUCAUCUUUCAGCUUGGUUUUCUCUAGGAACGCGUUGAAAUUGAGGACAACGUUGGCCAUUUGAUCUACAAGACAUAGUGUAAAGAUUUUAGACUAAGUUCAUGAUAAUUAAGUUCAUAUAAUCAAAUUAUUUAAUGAACUCCCACUCAGAUAGACAUCCCUCUAGUCAUCUAAGUGAUACAUGAUCCGAAUUUAACUAGGCCGUGUCCGAUCAUCACGUGAGACGGACUAGUCAAGAUCGGUGAACAUCUCCAUGUUGAUCGUAUCUUCUAUACGACUCAUGCUCGACCUUUCGGUCCUCCGUGUUCCGAGGCCAUGUCUGUACAUGCUAGGCUUGUCAAGUCAACCUAAGUGUAUUGCNNNNNNNNNNNNNNNNNNNNNNNNNNNNNNNNNNNNNNNNNNNNNNNNNNNNNNNNNNNNNNNNNNNNNNNNNNNNNNNNNNNNNNNNNNNNNNNNNNNNCAUCUGACGUUGGUGCGGAGGGAUACUACACUGCCGCCUACUCCACCGUCACCCGAGAGCCUUUCCACCAUCAGCGCCUGGUUCUGCAUGCUGAUGGGCUGGACCGAGCUAACAGAGCUCUUCGCCACGAGUUGUACACCACUCGUCAGCACCUUUACAGGGCUCUGACGCGGUUGCACCCCUUUGUCCGGUCUGGACAGCUGCCGCGUUCUGCGAUCUACCCAGCCAGGACCGUGAUGCCCCACGGUGUCGGAUGGCCAGAGGUGGGAGGCUACGCUCCCGCACUUGGUCCUCUUCUGCCACCUGAGCGUCGGGUUCUACACCAGAGUAUCCGCGGCCCCCAGGCCACUGACGUGGAGGACUAUCCGUUGCCUCACUACCAGCUGUCAGGUUACAGCUACCUUCACAGUACCUCCUGGGACUGAUGUAGUCUUGCUCAUUAGUUUUAGAUGCACUCGCGAGCCUGCGUGCCGCCUAUGAUGACUUAGUCUAUGUACGGAACUCUAUGUCCGACCCCUUUUGUAAGUUAUGCCGACUAUCUAUGUGGUAUCUGUCGUGCUCCUUCCAUUAUGCAUGUUUCAUCAUGAAUGACUCUUGUCUAUGCAAAUUCUCAAUACUGAACUACCCCUGUUAUAUAUUAGCAGGAUGGUUAGACCAGCUGGUCGUGGUCGUGGUGGCAAUUUCCCACCACCGCCUGAGUACAUGGCUGGUAUGAUCCAACAACUUGAGAUGAAUCGCCAGUUCAUGGAAAACAUGAUGGCUCAGUUUCCUCGCCCCAAUAUGAACCAGCAUCCAAACACAACCACUCUGCAGGAUUUCAUACGCCUCAACCCAAGUGUGUACCGCAGCUCAACCCAGCCGCUGGAUGCUGAUGACUGGCUCCGUGACAUCACCUAUGAGAUGGAGUCUGCUGAUGUAGCCCCUGCCAGCUAUGUCACUUUUGCUUCCUUCUUCCUGAAGGGACCCGCAGCUCAAUGGUGGGACAGCCACAGGCGUACUCUGCCAGUUGGAACAAUCAUCACCUGGCCAGACUUUCAGGCUGCCUUCCGUGCCCGCUUCAUUCCUCAGGGAAUCAUGGACAGGAAGAAGCGUGAGUUUCGCAACCUCACCCAAGGCAACAAGACUGUUGAAGCUUAUCAGCGGGAGUUUCUGGACUUAUCCCGCUAUGCUGAAGAAGACGUUGCAACCGAUGCUCGCAGACAGGAGAAGUUCCGUGAAGGCCUUCAAGCUGACAUCAAGCUCACACUUCUAGUGCACGACUUUGCUGAUUUCGCCACCUUGGUGAAUAAGGCCAUCAAUGUUGAGACUGGUCUUCAAGAACACCAUAGCUCUCAAAGGCGCAACCGUGACACGGGCUCAUCUUCGGGCCCGCCCUCGCAGAAGCGUAAGAUAUGGAUCCCGAACAGCAUGUACCGUCCAAAUGCACCAGCUCCAAGGCAGUCGUACGCUGCACCUCGUCCGCCUACUGCUCCAACUAGGCUGCCAAGGCUUCCAGCUCCGCCACCCCAAGCUCCUGUUCCCACUCCCAAUAAUGGCCUGUGCUACAAGUGUGGUCAACCAGGUCACCGUGCUAGGGAUUGCAUUCAGAAUCAGAAUCAACUGGCCCUUCCAGCCGCUGGCCGUGGAAACAACCAGGCCCGCAACAACAAUGCCAAGUCUUAUGGCCGUGUUCAUGCCAACCACAUUGAUCUGAAUGAAGCUCGAGACCAGCCUGCUACUGUGAUGGGUACACUCCUCGUAAAUUCAGUACCAGCAUCUGUUUUAUUUGAUACAGGAGCAUCGCAUUCAUUCAUGUCAGAAGAUUUUGCAUUCAUGCAUGGCAUUAAAAGUGAAGACAUGAACGCUUCUCUAUUAGUGCACACCCCUGCGGGCCAAUGUCGAACCUCCAUGAUUUGCAACGACGUCCCUGUAGAAAUUGAAGGACUGGAAUUCCUUGUCUCUCCCAUCGUACUGAAGUCCUGUAGCAUUGAUCUCAUUCUGGGAAUGGAUUGGUUAAAGGCGCAUACUGCUUCUAUCGUUUGCGCCACUAAGACCGUCCAUCUGCUACACCCUUCUGAUGAAAUAAUUAGCUAUGAUGCUCAUCUGGUUCGGAAUGCCGAGGCCAGGCUUUAUGCCUUAAACGCAUUGAACGUUGCACCACUCAAGGGCAUUGAAAACAUUCCCGUCGUGCGUGAAUUCCUAGACGUCUUUCCUGAAGAACUCCCAGGGAUUCCCCCUGCUAGAGCUGUCGAAUUCGUCAUCGACUUGAAACCAGGCACCACUCCUAUAGCCAAGAGACCCUACAAGAUGCCGCCGCAUGAACUCCUUGAGCUUAAGGAGGAAAUCGAUAAAUCUCUUCAAAGUGGUUUCAUUCGCCCAAGUUGCUCUCCUUGGGGAGCACCUUCUCUCUUUGUCAAGAAGAAAGAUGGGACAAACCGAUUGGUCCAAGACUACCGUCCUAUAAAUCAAGCUACCAUUCAGAAUAAGUAUCCUCUUCCUCGGAUCAAUGAUCUGUAUGAUCAGUUGGAUGGUUCAUCGGUGUUCUCUAAACUCGACUUGAGGUUGGGUUACCACCAGAUCCGUGUUCGUGAGGAAGAUAUCCCCAAGACCGCCUUUGUGACUCGUUAUGGUUCAUACGAGUACACCGUCAUGUCUUUCGGCUUAACCAAUGCUCCAGCCACCUUCUCUCGCCUGAUGAACUAUAUAUUCAUGGAUUACCUCGACAAGUUCGUCGUGGUUUAUCUGGAUGAUAUUCUAGUAUUUUCCAAGAACGAAGAGGAACAUGCUGAACAUCUUCGCCUCGUGCUGGAAAAGCUACGAGAGCAUCAACUUUAUGCCAAGUUCUCCAAAUGUGAAUUCUGGCUUCCCGAAGUAACCUAUCUUGGGCAUGUCAUCUCUAAGGAUGGUAUUGCCGUCAACCCUGAACGAGUUCAGGCUAUUCUCGAUUGGACUCCUCCGAAGAACGUUAAGCAAGUCAGAAGUUUUCUCGGUCUCGCCAGCUACUGCCGUCGAUUCGUCAAGAACUUCUCCAAGAUUGCCAGGCCUCUGACUAACCUAUUGCAUAAGGGCGUCAAGUUCCAAUGGACAGAUAAAUGUCAGGAAAGUUUCCAGGCACUCAAGGACAAGUUGACUUCUGCCCCAGUACUAGCUCCUCCUGAUACUAUGAAGGACUUCGUCAUUUACUGCGACGCUUCCCGUCAAGGACUAGGCUGUGUCCUAAUGCAAGAGCGCACAGUGGUUGCUUAUGCCUCUCGGCAAUUGCGCCCUCACGAGGAGAACUACCCAGUUCACGACCUCGAACUUGCUGCUGUCAUUCAUGCGCUAAAACAGUGGCGACAUUACCUACUCGGUAAUCGCUGCGAGAUCUUCACUGACCACCAAAGUCUGAAGUAUCUGUUUACUCAGCCAGACCUGAACCUCCGUCAACAGAGAUGGAUGGAGACUGUUGCAGACUUUGAUUUGGGUAUUUCCUAUACACCAGGCAAGGCUAAUGUAAUGGCUGAUGCCUUGAGCCGCAAGUCUUACUGCAACCACCUCCAGGUUCACAAAGUCCAGCCCUCACUUGUUGAAGAAUUCAGAAAGCUAAACCUCCAUAUUGUACCUCCGGGUGCACUCGCUCCCCCUCCUCCGGAGUUCCGCAAGAUGAAUCUCCGUGUUGUUUCCCAGGGUUCCCUCUAUACCCUGGCUGUUGAACCCGAUCUCGUGGGCACCAUAAAGACAAUGCAGGGAUUUGACUCUGAAGUCUACAAGAUUAAGCAAGANNNNNNNNNNNNNNNNNNNNNNNNNNNNNNNNNNNNNNNNNNNNNNNNNNNNNNNNNNNNNNNNNNNNNNNNNNNNNNNNNNNNNNNNNNNNNNNNNNNNUUGGGCUUCCGCUUGAAGGUUGCCGAGUACACGUCGUGUAGCAACGAUAAGUGGUGGGAGCGUGUGUGACGAAGUACACCCCUGCAGGGUAUGAAACUAUUCGAAUAGCCGCGUCCGCGGUAAAGGACUACUUGGUCGCUUAUGCAGUUCAUAGACAAGUAAAUGGAUACUAUUACAAGCCUCAAGAUAAGUGUGAGUACCGCGGAUGGCUCUCUCGUGGGAUGACGAGGGAGGAUCCACGGUGGAGUAUUGAGAUGGUGAUUAGUGGACUCGUGUGCGAAAACUAUUUCACAAGUGGUGUCUCGUAGGAUAGCUUAGCCAAGAGUCAAAGCUGGCUUGCUGCAAUAACUCCACUACCUUCUUGAGAAUGAACAUGUAUAGUAGGAUCUGUUGUAAGACUUGCUGAGUACCUUUGUACUCAUGUUGCUUCAAUUACUGUUUUCAGACGACAACACCGCCCCUUCCGAUGGGUUCUACGUAGAACUCGACAACGACGAGUGACUUUCCACCCAGGUGGUGAUCUAGGCUUGUGAAGGGCCUACGUAGAUAGACAGGCUUCGUCAAGCCUUCUUUCUUUCUAGCGUCUGUACCCAGACAGUUUGCUUCCGCAUGUGCUUGUAUGAUUGUAUGACUUGAGUGUCGGGUCAUGUGACCCCUAUCUGUAUGAACAAGUUAUGUAAGGCUCUCCGGAGCCCUUUAAAUAAAGUACUUUGAGUUGUAGAGUUUUGUUGUGAUGCCAUGUUGUAUUUGCACAUAUCGAGCAUAUUGUGUGUAUGAUUGAAAUGCUUGGUAUGUGUGGGAUCCUACAAUCUAGUUGUUUAUCCUUGGCAGCCUCUCUUAAUGGGAAAUGUUGUCUAGUGCCUCUUUGAGCCAUAGUAGUCCGCUACAGCCCGGUUCACCGGAGUCCUGCUAGCCCAGCACUACUGCUCUGGACACUUGACUGGCCGGCAUGUGAUUCAUAUCGUUCCUGUGUCUGUCCCUUCGGGGAAAUGUCAUGCGGUGACAUCUGGAGUCCUGCCUAGCCUGCUACAGCCCGGGUUCCCGGAGUCCUGUUAGCCCAGUGCUACAGCCCGGAUUCACACGAUGCUGACCGACACGUUCGAUAUUGAUUCAUGUAUGCCUGUCCCCAUACGUUAGUGCCGCUUUGGGUUCACGACUAGCCAUGUCCGCCCGGGUUCUCUGUCAUAUGGAUGCUAGCGACAUUGUCAUAUACGUGAGCCAAAAGGCGCAAACGGUCCCGGGCCAUGGUAAGGCGACACCCGUGGGAGUAUCGUGCGUGAGGCCGCAAUGUGAUAUGAGGUGUUACAGGCUAGAUCGGUGUGACUUGGAAUCGGGGUCCUGACAGCGUUGGCAUCAGAGCCGGACUGCCUGUAGGUGCGCUAAGCCAAACUGGUCGAUGUCGAGUCUAGAAAUGCUGUAGUUAUAUGUAGGGGAAUUGAUUGUGGGAGGGAACGUAAGGAGCUUUUACUCCUUACCUUAUGCCCUCUGAUCUGAGUCAUUCUCUUCUCAUUCUACGUGGGUUAAGGACUAGGCUCUCUUCUGUCUAUCAGGUUCACGUGUUACUAAUCCGUAGUAACUUAUAGGAUUGUUGGUUCCAUGCUUCGGUUCAGUUUCUACUACACUUGGUAUGCUGUCAGUUGAACCAGAACCUUGAUAUGAUGUUGUUGAGUGGUAUUGCAAAACUGUUGCAAAUGUCUCAAAUCCUUUUCCAAGCAUUUACAGCCGUUAUGCUGUCAGAUCUAUCAGAUCUCACUCUCGUAAGUGACCGUGAAGGGAUUGCAACCCCUUUAUCGUGUUGGUUGCGAGUUUCUUAUUUGUUUGUGUAGGUGCGUGGGACUUGUGCAUGAUCUCCUACUGGAUUGAUACCUAGGUUCUCAAAAACUAAGGGAAAUACUUACGCUACUUUACUGCAUCAACCCUUUCCUCUUCAAGGGAAAACCAACGCAGUGCUCAAGAGGUAGGAAGGCGCUCGGGCACCACAUGGAGGCAUUCUUCAUCGCACGCGUCCCUCAUGAGGGCACAAGGCAUGGAGUGCGUGGUGCUCAGGAGUUCAUCACCAAGGCGACCGAGGAGCUUCAAGAGGCAAGAGCCAUGCGCGGCGUCCGUAGCCCAGCACCUGGCGCAGCUCCUUGUCCUGGCGAGGACGACGAGCUGCGCGUAAGCGUCAACAUCCCAGGGCUCAACAGGGCCGCAUCCCAAGAGCGCUUCUGGCCUUCGCGCGUUGGUCGGUGCGAGGGUCCACCUCACAGCUAAGUUCGCAUGCCAUUGGGCUUGGCAAUCGCGGCUGUUACCUUCCAACGUUGCCUGCGGAGCGUACUGGCGGCUCAGGAGGCCAGGCAUCAGGCGGUCCAGGCAGAGAUGGCGACGGUCCUUCAUGAGCCUCCCAAGCCCCAGUGCCUCACGAGGCUCAGGACCCAGGCGGCUCGUGAGGAGAGGCUUCUUCGACAUGCGUCUUUGGCUGCUCCAACCUCUCUCCAGCAACGGUGCCAGGUGACUCUUUCCGGUUCAUUCAGUUGGGGGUGCCCCUCGGGCUGCGUUAUCCCCAAGUCGCACGGGCCUGUCCCUGCGACAUGUAUCCUUUGCAUCUUUAAUCUACUCUAUUGGGGGCGCCCCUCGGGCUGCAUUAUCCCCAGGCUGCAUGGGUACCUCCCUGCGGCAUGUAUCGUUCUCGCAUUAACCAGAACUAGCUUGCCUCCUCCCAUGAGUUACUUUAUGAUUAUCGCCUACUUGCCUGUUGCCCUUCGCGGCCUCCCACGUUGCUGACCGGUCUCCUGCUCAUCCCGCAUCGGGGGCUCCACAUGCUGGCACGGCGCUUGUGCUCGGGUCCGUCCCUGCAACGCUGACAAACCUGAGUGAUCGAGCCCUGGCUCGCGGCCUGCCCUAUGCACGUAACCUCACCGGAUCCUUAGUGCCUUCAUCUUCUUGCGAAAAGAUCAGCGGCAGGACAGCAAACGCGAUUAUGAGCCGUAUUCUCCUCUCGAACUAACCCGCAGGAAUCUCUGGAGUUUAGCUACGGGUGGCCCCGCCGGCUACCCUCCUUUCGUACGAUUCGCUUGCGCGUUAAAGGGGGGCUCCUGAGCAUCGCGCCUCAGGAGCUCCUACUGACUCUCUAGCCCUCACCCCCUGGCCUUGACAACGGCAUCAUGACCUGGCAUGCCAGUGGCGGCUGAGCUUCGCUCGAGGGUCGGGACCCGAGGACGCAGAGCACUUAGAUGAGCGAGGAAGGAGGAAGCCGGCGUGAGCCUCGCCUGGUAACACCGUCGCUCAAGCACAAGUCAGACGCUGCACAGGGAACCACCUCGGGCUCGAUAAGAUAAGUCACAUAUUCGUGUUAGCGCUACGCUGCAGUUGGGAAUUUUCGACUCUCGCAACCUUGCUCCGGCAAUGCUGCCUUCCUUUUUAGCCUUCAGGAAGCUACUUGCACGCCAAAGGGGACCUCUUGAGCAUCACGCCUCAGGAGCUCUUACCGGACCUUGGUCCGCUCACCUCCUGGCCUUGAUCACGGCAUCGCAACCUGGCAUACCAGCGAUGGCUGAAGCUUGCCUGGGGACUGGGACAUGCCGACGUAGAGCGCUAAGCUGCCGCGAGGACAAAAAGGGGGGACAGUGCCGAAGCAAGACAUGCAACCACAAUAUUAUAGUAGGAAUAAUGAACAUCGGAGCAAAAGCAUUACAGUUUCUUUACACACACCCACGGGGUUCGUCUCGAUUCAUCGCAGGGAACAAAAGAAGGAAAAACCCNNNNNNNNNNNNNNNNNNNNNNNNNNNNNNNNNNNNNNNNNNNNNNNNNNNNNNNNNNNNNNNNNNNNNNNNNNNNNNNNNNNNNNNNNNNNNNNNNNNNUCUGCUUCGCUGGGUCUAGGUAUCUGCUUAUCUUCCCCGCGUAACCGUAAGGAAGUUUUACUCCUAGGAGGCAGGUGAAAAACUGCUCGAUCUCCUCCUGACUUAGAGUGAAGCACGCGGGAGGGUAGUCAUUUCCGGUCUUCUUGGCCUUUUUGCCUUUGCGACGACUUUCUGUGUCCUGCUUCGCCUCAUCAUCAUCAUCAUCAUCAUCAUAUAUAGCGUGAAGCUCCUGCCUGAUGCCCAUUGAUUUCAAGUCUGCCCUUGCUUUCGGCCCAUCUUUGGUCCUCUCUGGCAUGUUGAGCAGGGUACCAAGAAGACUCUCGCACACGUUCUUCGUGAUAUGCAUGACAUCAAGGCUGUGAGGCACACGGUGGAUCUUCCAGUACGGCAAGUCCCAGAAAACAGACCUCGUUUUCCAUACCUUCAGCAGCGGCUCUGGCGCCUUUCGCUUCUUUCCCGGCUCCGGCGCCUUUUGCUUCUUUCCCGGCAGUGGGCAGUCUUUCCAAUUUUUCAACAGCUUGUCUAUUUCCUCGCCGCUCCUCGUACACGGGCGUUUUCGGGGUUCGGUUUCACCAUCGAACAGAUCCUUGCGUUUCCUCCACGGGUCAUCGUCGCGAAGCCACCUUCGAUGUCCCAUGAACACGGUUUUCGAAGACUCGGGAUCUCUAUCUAGCUGGCGAUACGUUGUGUCAUCCAUGCACCUUACGCAUCCAGAAAAUCCAUGGACUACCUGCCCCGCAAGAUAUCCGUAACCGAGAUAGUCGUGCACCGUCGUGAGCAGUGCGGCUCUCAUAGGGAAAUAUUCUUUCUCUGCGGCGUCCCACGUAUUGGCUGGCGUUUUCCACAGCGUGUCAAGCUCCUCUUUCAGCAGCCCCAGAUACAGAUUGAUGUCGUUCCCUGGUUGUUUCGGCCCUUCAAUUAGCAUACUCAUGUGAAUGUACUUCCUCUUCAUGCACAACCAGGGGGGAAGGUUGUACAUCCACACAAACACAGGCCAGGUGCUAUGUGUGCUUCUCUGGCUGCCAAACGGAUUGACUCCAUCGGUGCUCGCGCCCAGCACGAUGUUCCUUGGAUCGUUCCCAAAUUCUGGGUAUUCGAAGUUCAAAGCUUGCCACUGGCUCGCAUCCUUAGGGUGACUCAGCAUCUUGUCUUUUUUAUCUAUCUCCGGAUCAUUUGUGUCAUCUUCUCGCUUCUUCUCCUCCCUAUCCGCGUGCCAACGCAGGAGCUUUGCUACCUUAGGAUCCGCGAAAUACCGCUGCAGACGAGGAGUGAUCGGAAAGUACCACACCACUUUUCGAGGAGCUAUCUUCCUCUUCUUGUAUCGAGUGACACCGCACACCGGACAUAUGGUAGACUCCGCGUGCUCGUCCCGAUAAAUGAUGCAACUGUUCAUGCACACAUGGUAUUUCACGUGCGGUAAAUCCAGAGGACACACGAUUUUCUUCGCCUCCUCCAAACUGGUCGGGCACUUGUUCCCCUUGGGAAGACGUUCGUGCCAGAAUGACAUGUUCUAGUCGAAGCAUGCGUCGGUCAUUUUGUGUUUUACCUUCAUCUCCAGAGCCAUGAGCGUUACUUUCAGGCGGGUAUCCUCGGGCCUGCAUCCUUCAUACAAUGGAGUAACCGCGUCUAACUCAAGUUGAUCCAUCUUGGCUUUCUCUCGGGCGGCAGCUCUUGCGUUAUCCGUCUGCUUGAGAAGCAGCUCUUGAAUAUGAGGGUCCUGCACCCAGCCCAUCGAUGGUCCAGCGUCGUCUGCUCCGCCGGCAUCAUCAUCAUGUCCUGCAUCUUCUACAUGAUGACUGUGUACAGCAUCACCGUCGUGAUCAUCUCCUGGGGAUUCUUCGUCUUCUCGCCCCCCCGAGCCGCGGUGGUUGUCUUGCUGCCCUUCCUCAUUUCUUGCCCGGCCCCCAUGGAUGACUUCAUAGUCAUCUUCAUCACCUUGCCACCGAUAGCCAUCCAUGAAACCACGCAAGAGCAGGUGGUCCCUCACCUGCCCGGAAUCCGGAUCCACAAUAAGGCUAUUCAGCUUGCAUCUUCGACACGGACAUCUUAUCUCCGUCUCGUUCUUUUGAAGCAUCUCGGCCUUCGCGGACCUCAAAAACCUAUUCACGAUGCCUUCGAUCAUCGUGCGGACCAUGGUCGCCUGCGGGGUAGAGCAAAACGAUAUUUUAGAACCAAGAAAAAAUUUGGCAUGACUUUCCCUAAAAAUAGGACCAAAAAGAAUGCUUAAUGCCAAAAUUCUCGCCGAAACGGAAAUGAAUCAACAUUCCGGCAAAAUAUUGGCAACUAUCGCAUUUCAAAUACCGGUACACCUCCAAACACAAACACAUAUGCAACACCACAAACAUAUGCAACACCACGAACAUACAUAUAUCUAGCUAGGCCAUAAAAAAUGCAUGUGCACAUUGUUGUAGGGAGAACAACAUAAAUAUAGCUUCCCCCCUUACUUACCCAUCAAAACAAGGUAACUUAACCACUUAAUUUGAAUGAAUCUAUGGUGGAAAUGAGGUGAAAAAGAGGAGGCACCCGAGACAAGGAGGAGGCGGUGGAGAGAAUGAAGUGGGGAGAAAGUGAGUGUGGGAGGAGAGGCUGUCCAAAAUAUCUUGUUGCUGCCCACUUACUAAUGCCGCACCAGCAACAAAUGCGCCAUUAGUAAUCCAGGUUACUAAUGGUGCACCCUCUGGUGGUGCGCCAUUAGUAGUUUUGCAAAAAAAAACACACUAAUGGCGCACACUGCCACGGUGCGCCAUUACUAGUUUGAACUAGUAAUGGCGCACCGCGUGCGAGUGCACCAUUAGUACUUUUGCAAACAAAGGAAUAAAAACAAUAAUAAAAAAAUAACAUUAGUGGCGCACCUUCUGGCUGGUGCGCCAUUACUAGUUACAACUAGUAAUGGCGCACCACCAGUGGAUGCGUCAUUAGUAUGUUUGGACAGGCGCACUAAUUCAAAAAAAAAUUUGGUACUAAUGGCGCACCGUGGGCAGGGUGCGCCAUUAGUAGUUUCAACACUAAUGGCGCAUCAGAAGGUGGUCCACAUGUCUGGUGCACCAUUAGUGUCAAUUCCAUCUAUAGCCCUUUUCCUAGUAGUGCAAAGCUCUCUCCUCGCCGGCCAGGAAAAACAGAGCAGUGGGAGUGCUCUGCUCGCGGGCGAGGGGUAUAUAUAGGUAAUUAAUUGGUCCCGGUUGGUGGCACGAACCGGGACUAAAGGGCAGCCUUUGGUCCCGGUUCAAGCCACCAACCAGGACCAAUGGUGGUGGCCAAGAGCGAGGCACAUUGGUCCCGGUUCGUCCCACCAACCGGGACCAAAAGGUCCAGACGAACCGGGACCAACGGCCCACGUGGCCCGGCCGUCCCCCGGGGCUCACGAACCGGGUCCAAUGCCCCCAUGGGUCCCGGUUCUGGAUUGAACCGGGACUAAUGGGCUGACCUGGCCUGGACCAUUGCCCCCUUUUCUACUAGUGCUGGAAGACACACUGUUGAGAUAUAGAUAUUGCAUGUGUAUUUCUUGUACAACAAGCCCUCCUCCUUCCUUGUAUAGUUGAGGACGUGGCCCUCCUAUGUACCUGUAUAUACGUGCAUAUUGCACCCGAUGAAUAUAUCGUGAGCUGCAUAAUUCUCUACAUGGUAUCAGCCUUAGUCCGAUCCCUCCUACCCUAGUGCGUCGCCGUUGCUUCCAAGCCGCCGCCGCUUCACAAGCUACGCCCGCGUCACCGAGUUCUAGCCGCCACCGUAGCCUCCCCCACNNNNNNNNNNNNNNNNNNNNNNNNNNNNNNNNNNNNNNNNNNNNNNNNNNNNNNNNNNNNNNNNNNNNNNNNNNNNNNNNNNNNNNNNNNNNNNNNNNNNCUUUUAAGAAAUGAUAGCUUAGGUUUCUCUAAACCAUAGUUCAUACGGUGUCAUCUCAUCAGAAUUACGUGGUGCCCUAUUUAAAGUGAAUGUGGUUGUCUCUAAUGCCCAACCCAUAAAACUAUUGUGGUAAUUCAAUGAGAGACAUCAUGGUAUGCAUCAUAUCCAAUAGGGUGCAGUUAUGAUGUUCGGACACACCAUCACACUAUGGUGUUCCAGGCUGUAUUAGUUGUGAAACAAUUUCCACAAUGUCUUAAUUCUGUGCCAAACUCAUAAUUCAGAUAUUCAUCUCUAUGAUCAUAUCAUAGAUCUUUUAUCCUCUUGUCACGACGAUCUUUCAACUUCACCCUGAAAUUACUUGAACCGUUCAAUAAUUCAGACUCGUGAUUCAUCAAGUAAAUAUACUCAACAUCUACUCAAAUCGUCUAUGAAGUAAGAACAUAACGACAUCCACUACACGCCUCAGCACUCAUUGGACUGCACACAUCAAAAUGUAUUACUUCCAACAAGUUGCUUUCUAGUUCCAUUUUACUGAAACCGAGGCUUUCAGUCAUCUUGCCCAUGUGGUAUGAUUUGCAUGUCUCAAGUGAUUCAAGAUCAAGUGAGUCCAAACGGUCCAUUUGCAUGGAGUUUCUUCAUGCAUAAACACCAAUAGACAUGGUUCGCAUGUCUCAAACUUUUCAAAAACGAGUGAGCCCAAAGAUCCAUCAACAUGGAGCUUCUUCAUGUGUUUUAUACCGAUAUGACUUAAGUGGCAGUGCCACAGGUAGGUGGUACUAUCAUUACUAUCUUAUACCUUUUGGCAUGAACAUGUGUAUCACUACGAUCGAGAUUCAAUAAACUAUUCAUUUUAGGUGCAAGACCAUUGAAGGUAUUAUUCAAAUAAAUAGAGUAACUAUUAUUCUCUUUAAAUGAAUAACCGUAUUGCGAUAGACAUAAUCCAAUCAUGUCUAUGCUCAACGCAAACACCAAUCUCGAUGGUAGAGGGAGCGUGCGAUGCUUGAUCAUAUCAACAUUGGAAACACUUCCAACACAUAUCGUCAGCUCACCUUUAGCUAGUCUCCGUUCAUUCCGUAGCCUUUUGUUUCGAGUUACUAACACUUAGCAACCGAACCGGUAUCUAAUACCCUGGUGCUACUAGGACUACUAGUAAAGUACACAUCAACACAAUGUAUAUCCAAUAUACUUCUAUCGACCUUGCCAGCCUUCUCAUCUACCAAGUAUCUAGGGUAAUUCUGCUCCAGUGGCUGUUCCCCUCAUUACAGAAGCACUUAGUCUCGGGUUUGGGUUCAACCUUGGGUUUCUUCACUAGAGCAGCAGGUGUUUUGCCGUUUCAUGAAGCAUCCCUUUUGCCCUUGCCCUCCUUGAAACUAGUGGUUUCACAAACCAUCAACAAUUGAUGCUCCUUCUUGAUUUCUACUUUCGCGGUGUCAAACAUCGCAAAUAUUUCAAGGAUCAUCAUAUAUGUCCCAGAUACAUUAUAGUUCAUCACAAAGCUCUAGCAGCUUGGUGGCAAUGACUUUGGAGAAACAUCACUAUCUCAUAUGGAAGAUCAACUCCCACUCGAUUCAAAUGAUUGUUGUACUCAGACAAUCUGAGCACAAGCUCAACAAUUGAGCUUUUCUCCCUUAGUUUGCAGGCUAAGAAAAUCGUCGGAGGUCUUAUACCUCUUGACGUGGGAACGAGCCUGAAAUCCCAAUUUCAGCCCUCGAAACAUCUCAUAUGUUUCGCGACGUUUCAAAACGUCUUCGGUGCCUCAACUCUAAACCGUUUAACUAGACUAUCACGUAGUUAUCAAAACGUGUAUGUCAGAUGUUCGCAACAUCCAUAGACAAUGUUCGAGGUUUAGCACACUGAGCGGUGCAUUAAGGACAUAAGCCUUCUAUGAAGCAAUGAGGACAAUCCUCAGUUUACGGACCUAGUCCGCAUAAUUGCUACUAUUAACUUUCAACUAAUUUUUCUCUAGGAACAUAUCUAAACAGUAGAACUAAAGCGCGAGCUACGACAUAAUUUGCGAAGACCUUUUGACUAUGUUCAGGAUAAUUAAGUUCAUCUUAUGAACUCCCACUCAGAUAGACAUCCCUCCAAUCAUCUAAGUGAUUACAUGAUCCGAGUCAACUAGGCCGUGUCCGAUCAUCACGUGAGACGGACUAGUCAUCAUCGGUGAACAUCUUCAUGUUGAUCGUAUCUACCAUACGACUCAUGCUCGACCUUUCGGUCUCUUGUGUUCCGAGGCCAUGUCUAUACAUGCUAGGCUCGUCAAGUUAACCCUAAGUGUUUUGCAUGUGUAAAAUUGUCUUACACCCGUUGUAUGUGAACGUAAGGAUCUAUCACACCCGAUCAUCACGUGGUGCUUCGAAACGACGAACUUUAGCAACGGUGCAUAGUUAGGGGAGAACACAUUCUUGAAAUUGUAAUGAGGUAUCAUCUUAUUUAUUACCGUCAUUCUAAGCAGAUAAGAUGUAUAAACAUGAUAAACAUCACAUGCAAUCAAAUAAUAGUGAUAUGAUAUGGCCAAUAUCAUAUAGCUCCUUUGAUCUCCAUCUUGGGGCUCCAUGAUCAUCUUGUCACCGACAUGACACCAUGAUCUCCAUCAUCAUGAUCUCUAUCAUCGUGUCUUCAUGACGUUGUCUCGUCAACUAUUACUUCUACUACUAUAGCUAACGGUUAGCAAUAAAGUAAAGUAAUUACAUGACGUUUAUGUUGACACGCAGGUCAUAAAUAAAUUAAGACAACUCCUAUGGCUCCUGCCGGUUGUCAUACUCAUCGACAUGCAAGUCGUGAUUCCUAUUACAAGAACAUGAUCAAUCUCAUACAUCACAUAUAUCAUUCAUCACAUCCUUUUGGCCAUAUCACAUCACAUAGCAUACCCUGCAAAAACAAGUUAGACGUCCUCUAAUUGUUGUUUGCAUGUUUUACGUGGCUGCUAUGGGUUUCUAGCAAGAACGUUUCUUACCUACGCAAAACCACAACGUGAUAUGCCAAUUGCUAUUUACCCUUCAUAAGGACCCUUUUCAUCGAAUCCGACCCGACUAAAGCGGGAGAGACAGACACCCGCCAGCCACCUUAUGCAAGUAGUGCAUGUUUGUCGGUGGAACCGGUCUCACGUAAGCAUACAUGUAAGGUUGGUCCGGGCCGCUUCAUCCCACAAUACCGUCGAAUCAAGAUAAGGCUAGUAAUGGCAAGCAUAUUGAACAAAGUCAACGCCCACAACUUCUUUGUGUUCUACUCGUGCAUAGAAUCUACGCAUAGACCUAGCUCAUGAUGCCACUGUUGGGGAACGUAGCAGAAAUUCAAAAUUUUCCUACGUGUCACCAAGAUCUAUCUAUGGAGAAACCAGCAACGAGGGGAAGGAGAGUGCAUCUACAUACCCUUGUAGAUCGCUAAGCGGAAGCGUUCAAGUGAACGGGGUUGAUGGAGUCGUACUCGUCGUGAUCCAAAUCACCGAUGACCAAGUGCCGAACGCACGGCACCUCCGCGUUCAACACACGUACAGCCUGGUGACGUCUCCCAUGCCUUGAUCCAGCAAGGAGAGAGGGAGAGGUUGAGGAAGACUCCAUCCAGCAGCAGCACAACGGCGUGGUGGUGGUGGAGGAGCGUGGCAAUCCUGCAGGGCUUCGCCAAGCACCACGGGAGAGGAGAAGGACUUGGGAGAGGGGAGGGAUGAACCAAAGGCAAAGGUAUGGCUGCCCUCCCACCCCCACACAUAUAUAUAGGGGCAAGGGAGAGGGGGGGGGGGNNNNNNNNNNNNNNNNNNNNNNNNNNNNNNNNNNNNNNNNNNNNNNNNNNNNNNNNNNNNNNNNNNNNNNNNNNNNNNNNNNNNNNNNNNNNNNNNNNNNCGACCCCCCCUCGUGUUGAAGUUAUCGGGAGAGGGGUAUAUCGACGACGACAGACCCGAUAAAACAUAAGAAAACGAAGAAGAAACAAAAAGAGGAGAAGAAGAAAAGGAAUAGAGGAGAAGAUCGAAGAAAAAAAGAAGAAAAAAAAAGAGGAGAAGAAGAAAGGAAUAGAGGAGAGAAGAAGAAUUUUCUAUUUUUUUCUUCUUCUCUUCUUUUUCUUCUUUUUUCCUCUUCUUAUUUAUUUCUCCUCUUCUUCCUCUCCUCUUCUUCUCCUUUCUUCCUCUUCUUAUUUUCCUUUUUCCUCUCAUUCAUAAAAAAAUGUUCAAAUAGAAAAUUUCGAAAAAAAAGUAAAGGUUUUGCCUAAUGCAUUGUUCAUAUGAAUAUACAAACAUUUGCAUAUUCUACAAUAAUUAAUAUCACCAAAAAAAUCUAUGAACAGAAAAAAAAUCCUAACUUUUCUAAAAAUCUAUCUUUUGCAUAUAUACAUGAACAUAUACACAGAGAACAUAUAUACACAGAGAACAUAUAUACAUGAACAUACAUAUAUAUACACAGAGAACAUAUAUACAUGAACAUACAUAUAUACAUUUUAUAAAAAUGCAAUAAAAAGACAGGGAGGAAGGGGGCAGUGCCGGACCUGACCAAGGCGACGGCGGCGCGACAGGGCAGGGGCAGAGGCGACGACGGCGUGGUCGGGGCAGGGGCAGAGGCGUCGGCGGCGAAGGGCGGGGCAGGGCGACGGGGACGGGCCAGGGCGGCGCGCGUCGGGGCAGGGGNNNNNNNNNNNNNNNNNNNNNNNNNNNNNNNNNNNNNNNNNNNNNNNNNNNNNNNNNNNNNNNNNNNNNNNNNNNNNNNNNNNNNNNNNNNNNNNNNNNNNNNNNNNNNNNNNNNNNNNNNNNNNNNNNNNNNNNNNNNNNNNNNNNNNNNNNNNNNNNNNNNNNNNNNNNNNNNNNNNNNNNNNNNNNNNNNNNNNNNNNNNNNNNNNNNNNNNNNNNNNNNNNNNNNNNNNNNNNNNNNNNNNNNNNNNNNNNNNNNNNNNNNNNNNNNNNNNNNNNNNNNNNNNNNNNNNNNNNNNNNNNNNNNNNNNNNNNNNNNNNNNNNNNNNNNNNNNNNNNNNNNNNNNNNNNNNNNNNNNNNNNNNNNNNNNNNNNNNNNNNNNNNNNNNNNNNNNNNNNNNNNNNNNNNNNNNNNNNNNNNNNNNNNNNNNNNNNNNNNNNNNNNNNNNNNNNNNNNNNNNNNNNNNNNNNNNNNNNNNNNNNNNNNNNNNNNNNNNNNNNNNNNNNNNNNNNNNNNNNNNNNNNNNNNNNNNNNNNNNNNNNNNNNNNNNNNNNNNNNNNNNNNNNNNNNNNNNNNNNNNNNNNNNNNNNNNNNNNNNNNNNNNNNNNNNNNNNNNNNNNNNNNNNNNNNNNNNNNNNNNNNNNNNNNNNNNNNNNNNNNNNNNNNNNNNNNNNNNNNNNNNNNNNNNNNNNNNNNNNNNNNNNNNNNNNNNNNNNNNNNNNNNNNNNNNNNNNNNNNNNNNNNNNNNNNNNNNNNNNNNNNNNNNNNNNNNNNNNNNNNNNNNNNNNNNNNNNNNNNNNNNNNNNNNNNNNNNNNNNNNNNNNNNNNNNNNNNNNNNNNNNNNNNNNNNNNNNNNNNNNNNNNNNNNNNNNNNNNNNNNNNNNNNNNNNNNNNNNNNNNNNNNNNNNNNNNNNNNNNNNNNNNNNNNNNNNNNNNNNNNNNNNNNNNNNNNNNNNNNNNNNNNNNNNNNNNNNNNNNNNNNNNNNNNNNNNNNNNNNNNNNNNNNNNNNNNNNNNNNNNNNNNNNNNNNNNNNNNNNNNNNNNNNNNNNNNNNNNNNNNNNNNNNNNNNNNNNNNNNNNNNNNNNNNNNNNNNNNNNNNNNNNNNNNNNNNNNNNNNNNNNNNNNNNNNNNNNNNNNNNNNNNNNNNNNNNNNNNNNNNNNNNNNNNNNNNNNNNNNNNNNNNNNNNNNNNNNNNNNNNNNNNNNNNNNNNNNNNNNNNNNNNNNNNNNNNNNNNNNNNNNNNNNNNNNNNNNNNNNNNNNNNNNNNNNNNNNNNNNNNNNNNNNNNNNNNNNNNNNNNNNNNNNNNNNNNNNNNNNNNNNNNNNNNNNNNNNNNNNNNNNNNNNNNNNNNNNNNNNNNNNNNNNNNNNNNNNNNNNNNNNNNNNNNNNNNNNNNNNNNNNNNNNNNNNNNNNNNNNNNNNNNNNNNNNNNNNNNNNNNNNNNNNNNNNNNNNNNNNNNNNNNNNNNNNNNNNNNNNNNNNNNNNNNNNNNNNNNNNNNNNNNNNNNNNNNNNNNNNNNNNNNNNNNNNNNNNNNNNNNNNNNNNNNNNNNNNNNNNNNNNNNNNNNNNNNNNNNNNNNNNNNNNNNNNNNNNNNNNNNNNNNNNNNNNNNNNNNNNNNNNNNNNNNNNNNNNNNNNNNNNNNNNNNNAAAAGUUCUUUAUGAAAAUUCUUUUUGCUGUAUUUAGUUUUUUUGUUUUCUUUUUUGCUUUAUUUAUUUUGUUUUGUUUCUACUUACAACAAAAAACUUAUUUAUUUUAUUUUAUUUUGUUUCUAAUUAGUUAUUUAUUUUACUUUAUGAUAAUUCUUUUUGCUAUUAAAGUUUCUAUCAAAAAAAGUUCUUUAUGAAAAUUCUUUUUGCUUUUAAUGAUUUUGAACAGAAAAUACUUCGAUAAUUUUAGUUGCAUCAAUUUUAUAUGAUUUUAGUUUCAAUAAUACUAGAGAUUUCUUAUAAUGUUUUGAACAAAAAAUACUUUGUUAAUUUUAGUUUCAUAAAUUUUAUUAAAGUUUAUUUUAUUUUGUCGGAACACAAGAAGUCCGGAGUUGUAAUAAGUUAUUAAAAAUAAAAAAGAGGCGCAAUGCUCGUUGAUUUGCUUCAAGCCUUUCGGAAUAGUGUAGACUGCACUGCACAUAGCUCCAUGCAGUCUACCUUAUUCCUCAAGGCUUGAAGCUAAGCAACGUGAGCAUUGCGCCUCUUCUUCAUCGUCUCUACACUCAGGGCUUAUAAACCGCUCCUAGUGCCUCUCAGCUAGCGAGGUGGGACUAAAAAACUGCUUAGUAAGAAACUCUAGUACCGGUUCGUGCCACGAACCGGUACUAAAGGUGCUCAUGGGGCCACAGCCUCAUUAGUACCGGUUCGUGGCACGAACCGGGACCAAUUCCACCCUUACGGGCCUAACCCCUCUGUACAUGCUUGUGGGCCUACUGGGCCUUCUGCGGGCCUGAAUCCUGGCCCAUGGAUGGGUUUCUAAUCGUAUUCAGGCCGUGGUGGCCCAGUAGGUGGCAUAAUUUUUUAUUUUUGGCCUGUUAUUUUUCAUGCAUUUACUAAUUAUUUUGAGCUAUAAGACCCUAAAAUUGAAAAGCAUUUCAAAUGAACUCUGAAAAGGUUGAAAGUUGGCAUGGUAUCAUCAUUUCAUCCACAUAGCAUGUGCAAGAAAGUUGAGAGGGUUACGGCAAAAACUAGAUGCACUUCUUGUACAAAACGGACAAUGGUAUCAUACUCGUCUGUUACAAAGUUGGCAUGGUAUCAUCAUAAUAGUUGCGGGAGAAAGUCUUCACUUUUUCUUCGCUUGUGUCAUUUGCUUAUUGCGCCGUAACCAUGGAUAAUCUUCAUCGUUUAUCAGGAUGCUUGGGUCAGCCUUGACUUUGAAGGGAGGAAUUUCAUGAAACUUUUCAUAAUCUUCAGACAUGUCAGUCUUGCCCUCCACUCCCACAAUGUCCCUUUUUCCUGAAAGAACUAUGUGGNNNNNNNNNNNNNNNNNNNNNNNNNNNNNNNNNNNNNNNNNNNNNNNNNNNNNNNNNNNNNNNNNNNNNNNNNNNNNNNNNNNNNNNNNNNNNNNNNNNNACGGACCGUCCGGUCUGAACAGAGUCCUGGACAGACUAUGCCAAAUUCAUGGCACCCCGGAAAAACCUGCGAACCACACUCAUAGAGAGUGCUGGGUCUUCAAGCAGGUCGGCAAAUUAAAUGCCGAACACAAGGGGAGGGGCACACCAAGCAAAGACGAGGAUGAACCUCACCAGCCGAACACUGGGGUACAGGAAAAAUUCCCGCCAGAGGUUAAAAUAGUAAACAUGAUCCACGCGACUCGCACAUCCAUGAGAGGGCAUAAACGCGCGCACAUAGAAGCGCACGAUGUAGAGCCCGUCGUACCCACGCCUCACUAUUGGAUGUCCCAUCCGAUCACUUUCGAUCACAUGGACGGCCGAACUAGUAUUCGGCGCGGAGGAUCACAGGCCUUGGUGCUUGACCCACUAAUCGACGGAUACCGUCUCACCCGUGUCCUCAUGGACGGCGGCAGUGGUCUCAAUUUAAUAUACGAGGACACUAUCCGCAGAAUGGGGAUAGACCCACCCAGAAUUAAACAAAGCAACACCACCUUUGAAGGGGUGAUACCAGGCGUUGCAGCCUGCGCCAGGGGCUCCGUCGUGCUGGAAGUAACAUUCGGCUUCCCAGGCAACUCCAGAAGCAAAGAGCUGCUCUUCACUAUCGCACCCUUCCAAAGCAGCCAUCACGCAUUGCUAGGAAGAACGGCCUUCGCCCGCUUCAACGCAUUGCCGCACUAUGGCCACCUUACACUCAAGAUGCCUGGUCCCCGUGGCGUCAUCACCGUUAGCGGAAUCAUAAAGCGCCCUUCACGCGUAGAGGAAUACGCGACGGCCCUGGCGGCCGGACUAUAAGCGGCCUCCAGUUUUAGAAAACAUGAUUGGUCAUUACGACCAUAGACACGGUUAGACGAGUCCGGUAGCCCGGAUAAAUUCAAACAAGACACUGUAUAUAUAAUCCCAUAAGGGAAACUAGGGGUUGUCUAUAUUUAAUACAGCCCCACGCUUCGCUCGACCUUAUUGGCAGGCCAACAGCUUACACUCUUAUUACUGAUCGCAUACUUACGUUGCGCCCUCCUACGAGUUUUUCUUUUUUACAGACAACGUUCGCGCGAUACCCUUCCAGGAUACGGCACAACGGAGACAAAGGCGCAGACAUGCAGCAGGGCCCGUGCAACAGGUUUCUUUUUAGAUUAAGCCCCUGUGUAAACCUUUUCUACUGCAUCUUGUUGUUUAACCAUCUCAUGGGUUCUAUACCCACAGAGGAUACUGCCGUUUUUGGCAUUUGGCCACGGCAGACUAAAUUGCACGUACCUAGAAAUAAAGGGCUUAAAAUAGGCUCUUGUCAGCCUAUCUUCUUUUACAAAAGACCGAAUACCCUCGGGAGUGUUCGGCGUCACGAGUUUGGCCGUAUAUGCAUCAGCUCCGAAUCAUGUCUUGGUCAAAAUGUUGGGUUUGCCCGGCUCCUGGGUUUGCCGCCUUACGUUCCGCUAUCAUCCGGCUAAGGCAGGCCAAAGGAGAAUUACUGCGAUUGUGCCCUGGUUAUUCUGGAUGAGCGCCUCAGUAGAGAAAGCCGAAAACUGACCGUCAUGAUACAGCGAGAGACUGUUCAACCACUCGAAGACUCACCGGAAUCCCUGAAGAUUCAUCCGCCUUAACGAAGGGCCGUUUCCCGGCCAUGUACACACGCGCCCUUAUUCAGAUGCACGUGGAGGUACCAGGGGCUACAUAGUAGCCGCACCAUUAGACUCACAUGGCUAAGUGAAAGUAUUACAACUAUAUAAUCCGGUUGCCUAGUUCGGCGUGUGAUCACCUCCUUAACGGACCAAGACAUUGGAUCAAGUGUGAUUAUGCAUAUUUUUCGCCAACACCCCCGCAUUGUCCGCGAGGGGGCUGAAACCAACGACUGCUAUCUUUCAGACUACUUGUACAUAUAAGAAUAGCCGCAAAGGGAGGACAAUCAUACUUCCGGGCAAAAGUAUAAAACAUAGCCUCAUAAUUAAACUAAAAGUGUUUUCUACAAUGAUCCGACUUAUCACUCGAAUAAAGCACUCUUCGAUUACUGCGACUCUAUCAGGCGGGCACCUUCUGUGACUUGCGCCAAGUAGUGCUCGGCCGGAUGUUGGCCUCCCGCCGGAUCCUGGCUCGCUAUUACAGUGGCCUCCAUAUCCAUCCAGUAGACUUUAACGCGAGCUAGAGCCAUCCGCGCACCCUCUAUGCACGCCGACCUUCUCAGGGCAUCAAUCCGGGACACGGCUCCAAGGAAUUGUUGCACCAAACCAAAGUAGUUAUCCGGCUUAGGCCCCUUCGACCAAAGAUGGUCUAUUACAGACCGCAUUGCAAGUCUGGACAUCCUGUGGAGCUCCGCCAUAGCAGCCACCUUCUCAUUCAGUGGCAGCGGGCGAGUGGGAGCAUUAAACUACGACCAGAAAAGCUUCUCCACUUCUUCAUCGCCUUGACCCUCGAAGAACUUGACAAUGUCAGCUGUACUAUUCACCAAGUCCGCAUAUGCGUCCGCAGGACUGAUGCGACCAGCCAGGGGAGCAUACUUCGGAUCCAAGAACCUCGUCCGCAGUAAGUACGAACCCCCAGCCACGAUUUUGUCAGCUUGUUGGAGCUCCUCCCGCAUACUUCGGAUCUCGGUCCACAUCUCCUUGGCGGCAUUACGUGCCUUGUCCAGCUCGGCCGAACUAGCCUUAUUCUCCUUUUCAAGGAGUGCGUACCGGUCGACGGCAUUUUUUAACUCUUUAGCCAUUUCGGCUAUCUUUUCCUCGCUUCGGCGACGAGCAGCCUGUUCGGCUCUCAACUCUUCGGCCGCCUUUAGGGCAGCCGCAUUGCUAGCCCGAGCUUGUUCCUUGGCUUGAGCAAGUUUCAUCCUCAGGGCCUCCACGGCAGCAGCACCAUCUGUAGUGCCAAUACAUUGCAUUAAUAUUAUGCCUCUUUGGCAUAUUCCUAUAUAUUAUAAUAAAAACCAAGCACAUACCCUGGGACUCCUCAAGCCAUUUAUUCACCAACGUGAUAUCGGCAUCGAUGGAUCCAAUUUGCCUCCUUAGCUCGGCAACUUCAACAGACUGGUCGGCUGCCGGAUCCUUGUAUACCUGCACACAUGUACGACGCAUCCAUUAGUAUAUGAUCCCCCGUUUGCCGCCUAUGGCGGGCAACCAGAGUCUCAGGGGCUACUAUCUAUAGGGAGCACACCUAGCGCAUGCUUCAUAACCAAAAAGUUGUGCAUUUUUUCACUACAUACCUCAAAGCCUUUGAGCAGGUUUGUAAAUGCCUCAUUCAAGCCGCUGGUAGCGGAUGAAAUCUUCGUGAGCACCGUGCUCAUUAAAGAGCGAUGCUCCUCCGAAAGCGCGGCUCGCUCCAGACGGCCCGUCAGUACGUCCGGCCGGACACUAAACUGCGCCGGACCCUUCUCAUCGCCCCCCGUGGGAGCCAAACACUCUGGGCUCAGGGCGGCUGACGUACUAGCCUCCGGCUUCGGCAUAUCCGGACUCCUCCGUGACGACACCUCCGUGUCGCCCGCCUCAUGAGGCGGAGAGUUGGGUGGGGUUUCACUCCAUCAUCUCCGGGUGAAGGUCCCCCGAAGACGAACUCUAUUGAGAAGAGCUGCUCGCCGUACUACAAAAAACGAAGUCCUGGUUAUGGAUCUCAGAGUAACAUCUCACCUUCGAAUUAAUGAAUGACUUACGGCUCGUUGGAGGGCUGGCCCAUUGGUGGGCAUGACGUGGUGAGGGUGCCCGUCGCGGCGGAGCCCCUUNNNNNNNNNNNNNNNNNNNNNNNNNNNNNNNNNNNNNNNNNNNNNNNNNNNNNNNNNNNNNNNNNNNNNNNNNNNNNNNNNNNNNNNNNNNNNNNNNNNNUUCAGAGCCCACCCACCACCCACUUCGUAGCCACCGUCGACGAUCUAACCGACGUGCUAAACUACGACUCCGAAGACAUCAACGGUAUGGACGACGAUGCCGGAGACGAUCAAAAACCAGCGCCUACAGGGCACUGGAAGGCCACCUCGUCACAUGACAUACAUAUGGUGGACACCCCAAAGGGAAGCGAUACCGAGGAACAACGGGACGCGGCAGAGGAUAAUCCCGCCGAUAAGCAACCAAAACGGCGACGUAGAAGCCGCCCUAAGUCCCGCCUCGAUCAAAGCAGCAUUCCUAAUGACCCAGCGAUAGAGCAGGGCAAACCAGCGGACGACGAACAUACAACCAAGCAACCAUCCGAACAGGACGACCCGGAUAAUCAACCCCUUCACGGAGCAAUCAACAGUCCGGGCACACCACCGGAGCAUAAGAACCUUCACAAAAGACUCGUCGCCACUGCAAGAAGUUUGAAGAAGGAAAAACGGAAGCGCAAAACAGCGGAAGACAUACUCAGAAUGAAGUGGAGCAAAAUACUCAAGACCGCAGACAAAUAUGGCAAUGGCCACCAAACAAAGAGCUACCCGAAGCGCAAGCUGCUGCCAGAAUUUGACGAGGAAGCCAUAGAGCCCUCACAGUCAAAAAAUAAAGAGGCCGCCUGGCCGGAUAGACGGCCAGAUGACAGGCCAAAAGCGACAAGUGGCGCCGCACACAAGCCGACUUAUGAUCCUGGGAAAACGGACGACCCAACUAGGUCCAUCUACGAGCCAAAAAAGAGGGCCCCAGGAAGUAACACAACACGACAAGUGUUCGAAGACAGCGGCACACCCAAAUACAGGGGCGCCGCACACCCGCUAUGUUUUACCGAUGAGGUGCUGGAUCAUGAAUUUCCAGCAGGGUUCAAACCCAUAAACAUAGAGGCAUACGAUGGCACAACAGACCCAGGAGUCUGGAUAGAAGAUUACAUACUACACAUACACAUGGCUAGAGGAGAUGAUCUCCACGCCAUAAAAUACCUACCCCUCAAGCUCAAAGGGCCAGCUCGGCAUUGGCUCAAAAGCCUCCCAGAAAACACUGUUGGAAGUUGGGAAGAGCUUGAGGACGCGUUUAGAGCAAAUUUUCAAGGGACUUAUGUCCGCCCUCCGGAUGCAGACGAUCUGAGUCAUAUAACCCAACAGCCCGGAGAGUCAACACGCAAAUUCUAGAACAGGUUCCUUACCAAAAAGAACCAAAUAGUCGACUGUCCGGACGCGGAAGCCUUAGCAGCUUUUAAACACAACGUCCGAGACGAAUGGCUCGCCAGACACCUCGGCCAAGAGAAGCCAAGAACAAUGGCCGCGCUAACAAGCCUCAUGACGCGCUUUUGCGCAGGAGAAGACAGCUGGCUAGCAAGAUACAGCACCAGCGACCCGAGUACAUCCGAGAUCAGAGAUGGAAACGGAAAAUCACGGCGCAGGAAAGAUCAGCGCCGGAAUAAAGAAAAACGCCCAAAGGGAACGGCGGUCAACGCCGGAUUCAAAAGCUCGCGGCCGAACAAUAAAACACUGCCUCUUAAGGACAACAGCGACGAGCUAUCAAAUUUAAACAAAAUUUUAGAUCGGAUAUGUCAAAUCCACAGUACCUCCGGAAGGCCUGUAAACCAUACCAACCAAAAUUGUUGGGUUUUUAAACAGUCCGGCAGACUCAACGCCGGACACAAGGGGCUCGAUGCGCCAAGCGAGGACGAUGACGAACCCCACCAGCAGAGCACCAGAAGUCAAAAGAGUUUCCCACAAGAAGUCAAAACAGUAAACUCACUUCAUGUGAUAGUACGGAAAACCAACACGGCACUCACUAAGACAAGUGUCGCACGGUCCACCCCAGCGGAACACUGAGAUUGGAUGUCAAAACCAAUCACUUUCGACCAUCUGGAUUAGUCCAGAAGUAUCCAGAACGCAGGAUAGACUCCCAUAAUAGACGGACUGCAAUUCACGCAGGUUUCGAUGGACGGCGGCAGUGACUUAAACCUGCUAUAUCCGGACACAAUCCGCAAAGUUGGGAUAGACCCUACUACAAUUCGGCAUAGCCGCACUUCCUUCAAAGGAGUGGCGCCAGGCCCUUACGCCAGGUGCACAGUUUCAUUAUUACUAGAAGUUGUGUUCGGGUCACCUGACAACUUCCAACGAGAAAAGCUAACCUUUCAUGUCGCCCCAUUUAAAAGUAGCUAUCAAGCAACACUGGGACGGGAAGCUUUCGUCCGCUUCAAUGCAAUACCACAUUACGUGUCUCUUACGCUUAAAAUGCCCGGUCAACGUGGCACCAUUUCAUUAAAAGGUCGCCUGAGACCCCGGACACGGCUGGACGAGUCCGGAAUAAAUAAGCUAGGGGCUACCUAGCCACACACCCCUUCACAAGGGUUUGUACAUAUAAGCCAUAAUGAGCUAGCAUAGGCUCAACUUUAUUAAUCUAUAUUUCAAUUUUUUAUGCACUUUCUCGCACGAUUUCUUUUCAAACUAAGUUCCUCUCUUUUUACAGAUGAACAGCGUGCACACCCGUCCAGGAUACAGCACAACAGAGACACAGGCGCAGACGUGCAGUAGGGACCCGUUGCAAGGACUCUUUUCAGACUAAGACCCUACGUAAACCUUUCUUACUGUCUCUUGUUGCUAUAAUCCCCUGGUUUCUCAUUAUAACCAGAGUGGAGACUGGUGUUUUGGCAUCGGCCGCGCCAGAAGAACUUGCCCGUACCUGGACACAAGGGGCUUAGGGCAUUGUUUUGCCCGCUAUUGUAAAGACCGAACACCUUCGGGAGUGUUCGGCGUCUCGAGUUAGGCCUUAUAUGCAUCAGCUCCGAAUCAUGUCUUUGGUCAAAUGUUGGGUUUGCCCGGCUCCUGUGUUUUGCUGCCUUACGUUCCGUAUCAUCGGCUAACGCGGCACCAGGAGAACUACUGCGAUUGUGCCCCAGUUCGGCUGGGCGAGCACCUCAGUAGAGAAAGCCGAAAACUGACUGUCAUGAUACAGCGAGAGACUGGUCAACCACUCGAUCGACCAUGGGAAUGUUUAGAAUUCCUCCGCUUUGACGAAGGGCCGUUUCUCGGUCAGGCACAUACGCGCCCCAAAUUUGGAGAGCGCGGUGCCCCCAGGGGCUAUGUCGUAGCCCCACCCUCAAACUCCAUGGCUAAGUGAAAGUGAUAAAGCAUUAUAGUCCGGUUGCCUCGUUUGCUAUGCUACCACCUCCUUUACAGGACCGAGACGUCGGAUUAAGUGUGAAAACACACUAUUUUUUGCGAACACCCCCGUACCUUGUGCGUGGGGGCUGAACCGACGACUGCCAUCUUUCAGGUUAUACACACGUAUACAUGAACGGCCGCAUAGGAGACAUUCUAUUACUUGAACGCACAAGUAUAAAAGGCGCUUACAUCAUAAAUAUUGUUUUACAUCAUAAAAACGUUCAUUCAAACGUAACAUUUUUUGAGCACUGCGACUCUAUUACACGAGCACCACGCAACACUUCGUCAAAAUAGUGCUCGGCGGGUAACCAGUUAUCGUCCGAACCCGGGGUCGCAACAGCGGUGGCAUCCAUCUCUGUCCAAUGUGUCUUCACACGGGCGAGUGCCAUCUGCGCACCCUCUAUGCAGGCCGACCGCUUCAUUGCCUUCAUAUGCGGCACCGCCCCAAGAAAUUGCUGCAAUAAGCCAAAGUAACUCUUCGGCUCGGGCCUAUCCGGCCAGACAUGGGUCACUAUAUCCGUCAUAGCAAGCCNNNNNNNNNNNNNNNNNNNNNNNNNNNNNNNNNNNNNNNNNNNNNNNNNNNNNNNNNNNNNNNNNNNNNNNNNNNNNNNNNNNNNNNNNNNNNNNNNNNNUGUCAGUCAUCAACACUCGCAGUUUUGCCCGAUUCUGGCCUGUUUCGUGGACUAUUACUCACUGUUUUGGGGUCCGAGAGUGAUUUCCAUGAUUAACAAACCCCGGGGUGCGUUUACAUGUUGGUCAUCAACACUCGCAGCUUCGGCCGAUUCUGGCCCGUUUCGUGGACUAUUACUGACUAUUUUGGGGUCCCGGGGUGAUUUCCACGAUUAACGAACCCCGGGUGCGUUUACGUGUAGGUCAUCAACACUCACGGUUUUUGUCGAUGCCGACCCGUUUCGUGGACUAUUACUCAACCUUUUGGGGCCCCAGAGUGAUUUCCAUGGUUGUUGAACCCCAAGGUGCGCUUACGUGUCGAUCAUCAACAAUCGCAGUUUGGGCCGAUUUUGGCCCGUUUCUUGCACUAUUACUUAGUUUUGGGGGUCCCGGAGUGAUUUCCACGAUUGACGAACUCCGGUGUGCGUUUACGUGUCGGUUAUCAAGACUCACAAGUUUGGCUGAUUCUGGUCCAUUUCAUGCACUUUUACUCACAGUUUUGGCGUCCCAGAGCAAUUUCCAGGAUUGCAAAUCCCCGGGGUGCGUUUACAUGUCCGUCGUCAACACUCAUAGUUCUGGCCAAUUCUGACGCGUUUCGUGGACUAUUGCUCACCAUUCAUGGGUCCCGAAGCGAUUUCCAUAGUUUUUGAACCCCAAGGUGCUUUUACGUGUCGGUCAUGAACACUCACAGUUUUGGCCGAUUCUAGCCCGUUUCGUGGACUAUUACUCAUAGUUUUGGGGUCCCGGUGUGAUUUCCAGGAUUAACGAACCCCGGGGUGCAUUUACGUGUCGGUCAUCAACACUCGCGGUUUUUGUCGAUUCUGACCCGUUUCAUGGAAUAUUACUCACCGUUUUGGGGUCCCAAAGUGAUUUCCAUGGUUGUUGAACCCCAAGGUGCGCUUAAGUUUAGGUCAUCAACAAUCACAGUUUGGGCUGAUUCUCGCCCGUUUCUUGGACUAUUACUUAGUUUUGGGGGUCCCGGAGUGAUUUCCACGAUUUACAAACCCUGGGGUGCGUUUACGUGUCAGUCAUCAACACUCGCAGUUUUGCCCGAUUCUGGCCUGUUUCGUGGACUAUUACUCACUGUUUUGGGGUCCNNNNNNNNNNGGUUGUUGAACCCCAAGGUGCGCUUAAGUUUAGGUCAUCAACAAUCACAGUUUGGGCUGAUUCUCGCCCGUUUCUUGGACUAUUACUUAGUUUUGGGGGUCCCGGAGUGAUUUCCACGAUUUACAAACCCUGGGGUGCGUUUACGUGUCGGUUAUCAACACUCACAGUUUUGGCCAAUUCUGACACAUUUUGUGGACUUUUACUCACUGUUUUGGGGUCCCGAAGUGAUUUCCAUAGUUGUUGAACCCCAAGGUGCGUUUACGUGUCGGUCAUCAACACUCAUAGUUUUGGCCGAUUCUGGCCAAUUUCAUGGACUAUUACCCACUGUUUUGGGAUCCCUAAGUGGUUUCCACGGUUAACGAACCGUGAGGUGCGUUUACAUGUCAGUCAUCAAUACUCACAAUUUUGCCCUAUUCUGGCCCGUUUCGUGGACCCCGGGGUGCGUUUACAUGUCGGUCAUCAACACUCGCAGCUUCGGCCGAUUCUGGCCCGUUUCGUGGACUAUUACUCACUAUUUUCGGGUCCCAGGGUGAUUUCCACGAUUAACGAACCCCGGGUGCGUUUACGUGUAGGUCAUCAAAACUCGUGGUUUUUGUCGAUGCCGACCCGUUUCGUGGACUAUUACUCAACCUUUUGGGGCCCCAGAGUGAUUUCCAUGGUUGUUGAACCCCAAGGUGCGCUUACGUGUCGAUCAUCAACAAUCGCAGUUUGGGCCGAUUUUGGCCCGUUUCUUGCACUAUUACUUAGUUUUGGGGGUCCCGGAGUGAUUUCCACGAUUGACGAACUCCGGGGUGCGUUUACGUGUCGGUUAUCAAGACUCACAAGUUUGGCUGAUUCUGGUCCAUUUCAUGCACUUUUACUCACAGUUUUGGCGUCCCAGAGCAAUUUCCAGGAUUGCAAAUCCCCGGGGUGCGUUUACGUGUUCGUCGUCAACACUCAUAGUUCUGGCCAAUUCUGACGCGUUUCGUGGACUAUUGCUCACCAUUCAUGGGUCCCGAAGCGAUUUCCAUAGUUUUUGAACCCCAAGGUGCUUUUACGUGUCGGUAAUGAACACUCACAAUUUUGGCCAAUUCUAGCCCGUUUCGUGGACUAUUACUCACAGUUUUGGGGUCCCGGUGUGAUUUCCAGGAUUAACGAACCCCAGGGUGCAUUUACGUGUCGGUCAUCAACACUCGCGGUUUUUGUCGAUUCUGACCCGUUUCAUGGAAUAUUACUCACCGUUUUGGGGUCCCAAAGUGAUUUCCAUGGUUGUUGAACCCCAAGGUGCGCUUAAGUUUAGGUCAUCAACAAUCACAGUUUGGGCAGAUUCUCGCCCGUUUCUUGGACUAUUACUUAGUUUUGGGGGUCCCGGAGUGAUUUCCACGAUUUACGAACCCUGGGGUGCGUUUACGUGUCGGUUAUCAACACUCACAGUUUUGGCCAAUUCUGACACAUUUUGUGGACUUUUACUCACUGUUUUGGAGUCCCGAAGUGAUUUCCAUAGUUGUUGAACCCCAAGGUGCGUUUACGUGUCGGUCAUCAACACUCAUAGUUUUGGCCGAUUGUGGCCAAUUUCGAGAACUAUUACCCACUGUUUUGGGAUCCCUAAGUGGUUUCCACGGUUAACGAACCGCGAGGUGCGUUUACAUGUCAGUCAUCAAUACUCACAGUUUUGCCCUAUUCUGGCCCGUUUCGUGGACCCCGGGGUGCGUUUACAUGUCGGUCAUCAACACUCGCAGCUUCGGCCGAUUCUGGCCCGUUUCGUGGACUAUUACUCACUAUUUUCGGGUGCCGGGGUGAUUUCCACGAUUAAUGAACCCCGGUGCAUUUACGUGUAGGUCAUCAACACUCACGGAUUUUGUCGAUGCUGAACCAUUUCGUGGACUAUUACUCAACCUUUUGGGGCCCCAGAGCGAUUUCCAUGGUUAUUGAACCCCAAGGUGCACUUACGUGUCGAUCAUCAACAAUCGCAGUUUGGGCCGAUUUUGGCCCGUUUCUUGCACUGUUACUUAGUUUUGGGGGUCCCGGAGUGAUUUCCACAAUUGACGAACUCCGGGGUGCGUUUACGUGUCAGUCAUGAACACUCACAAUUUUGGUCGAUUAUGGUCCGUUUCGGUUACUUUUAGUCACAGUUUUGGCGUCCCAGAGCAAUUUCCAGGAUUGCAAAUCCCCGGGGUGCGUUUACAUGUCCGUCAUCAACACUCACAAUUUUGGCCAACUCUGACGCGUUUCGUGGACUAUUACUCACCGUUCAUGGGUCCCGAAGCGAUUUCCAUAGUUAUUGAACCCCAAGGUGCAUUUACGUGUCGGUCAUGAACACUCACAGUUAUAGCCGAUUCUGGCCCGUUUCGUGGACUAUUACUCACUGCUUUGGAGUCCCGGUGUGAUUUCCAGGAUUAACGAACCCUGGGGUGCAUUUACAUGUCGGUCAUCAACACUCGCUGUUUUUGUCGAUUCUGACCCGUUUCGUGCACUAUUACUCACCGUUUUGGGGUCCCAGAGCGAUUUCCAUGGUUGUUGAACCCCAGGGUGCACAUACGUGUCGGUCAUCAACAAUCACAGUUUUGGCCGAUUCUGGCCCGUUUCGUGGACUAUUACUCACUGUUUUGGGGCCCNNNNNNNNNNNNNNNNNNNNNNNNNNNNNNNNNNNNNNNNNNNNNNNNNNNNNNNNNNNNNNNNNNNNNNNNNNNNNNNNNNNNNNNNNNNNNNNNNNNNCGCGGGGGCCCCUCCUGGGCCUCCCGGGCCGGCGGCGGCGAAGUGGGCGCGCGUCCACAUGGCGGCGCGUGAGUGGGUGCGGCGGCGGGGCGGACAACGUCCGGCGCGGGCGGACACGUCCGGCCCGGCGCGGGGAAGAGGGAUCUGUUUUUUUUAACUAGGGUUUCGGACGGGGGAAGAAGAGAUCCGAAUGGAGGGGGUAUAAAUAGGCAUAGAGGGAGCUAGGAGAGUCCAAAUGAGGUGUGGUUUUCGCCCACACGAUCGUGAUCGAACGCUCUAGGACAAGGAGCAGAGUUUGGUGGGUUUUGGGCCAAAUUUGGGGGGUGUUGGGCUGCAACACACACGAGGCCUUUUCGGUCCCUCGGUUAACCGUUGGAGUAUCAAACGAAGUCCAAAUGAUACGAAACUUGACAAGCGGUCUACCGGUAGUAAACCAAGGCCACUUGGCAAGUCUCGGACCAAUCCGGAAAUGUUUAAACCCCACACACGAAAGAAGACUAGAAAUGACCACCGGAGGAGAACGAAGCGCCGGAAUGCAAAACGGACAACGGGGAAAAUGCUCGAAUGCAUGAGAUGAACAUGUAUGCAAAUGCAAUGCACGUGAUGACAUGAUAAGAGAUGCACGAAAAAGAAAAACAACACACGGAGACAAAGACCCAACCCGAGAAAUAAAUAUAACUUAGCGCCGGAGACGGCAAGAGUUGGAUACAAAUAUGGAAAGUAUCUCUGGGGCGUUACAACACUCCACCACUACGAAAAGAUCUCGUCCCGAGAUCUAGGACUGAAAGAACUCCGGGUACUCAGAACGGAGGUGAUCCUCGCGUUCCCAGGUAGCUUCACGGUCGGAAUGGUGUGACCACUUGACUUUGAGAAAUUUGAUUGACUUGUUGCGAGUCUUGCGUUCAGUCUCUUCAAGAAUAGCAACUGGGUGCUCACGAUAAGAGAGAUCUUCUUGGAGCUCAAUGUCCUCGAAGUUGACGGUGCGGUCAGGAGUCUUGAAGCACUUUCGAAGCUGAGAGACAUGAAACACAUCAUGAACAUUUGCAAAGUUUGAAGGAAGCUCGAGUUGAUAGGCGAGGUCGCCUCUCUUGCUGACAAUCCUGAAAGGUCCCACGUAUCUAGGGGCAAGCUUCCCUUUGAUACCGAAGCGACGAGUACCUUUCAUAGGAGAGACGCGGAGGUAAACAUGAUCUCCGAUCUCGAAAGCCAGAUCACGGUGCUUACUAUCAUAGUAGCUCUUCUGGCGGGACUGGGCUGCUUUGAGGUUAUCACGAAUGACUUUGCACAUUUCUUCUGCUUCUGUGAUUAAGUCAUUACCCAGCAGCUGACGUUCACCGGUUUCAGACCAGUUGAGAGGGGUACGGCACUUCCUGCCAUACAGAAUUUCAAAGGGGGCCUUGCCCGAACUUGCUUGAAAGCUGUUGUUGUACGAGAAUUCAGCAUAAGGAAGACAAUCCUCCCACUUCAUGCCGAAGGAGAUCACACAAGCCCUGAGCAUAUCUUCAAGAAUUUGGUUGACACGCUCGACUUGACCGCUCGUUUGAGGAUGGAAAGCUGUGCUGAAGCGGAUGUUGGUGCCCAUGGCUUUCUGAAAAGAAUCCCAAAACUUGGAGGUAAAGAUGCUGCCACGGUCUGAAGAUAUCACUUGAGGAAUACCGUGCAGAGAGACAAUGCGAGAGGUAUAGAGUUCCGCCAAUUGAGCUGCAGUGAUUGACUCUUUGAUAGGCAGAAAAUGAGCCACUUUGGUGAGCUUGUCGAUGACAAGAAAUAUAGCAUCAUUGCCACGCUUGGACUUUGGAAACCCAGUCACGAAUUCCAUUUCAAUGUGGUCAAACUUCCAUUCUGGAAUGGCAAGAGGUUGGAGGAGACCAGCUGGCCUCUGGUGUUCUGCCUUCACUCUUCUGCAGACAUCACAUUCAUUCACGAAUUGAGCGAUCUCGCGCUUCAUUCGAGUCCACCAAUAAGCUUGCUUGAGGUCCUGAUACAUCUUCGUACUACCAGGGUGGAUGGAGAGGAGAGAGUUGUGAGCCUCGUUCAUGAUCACCUUACGGAGUUCACCUUUGGGCACAACAAUUCGAUCCUCGAAGAAGAGAGUGUCCUUGUCAUCAAGUCGGAAGCACUUGUACUUGAACUGACUCUUUGCAAUACCAAUCUUCACCUUCUUCACCAUAGCAUCAAGAAGUUGGGCUUGGCGAAUCUGGUCUUCUAAGGUAGGAGAGACUUGAAGGUUGGCGAGGAAACCUUGAGGAACAACUUGCAGAUUAAGUUUGCGGAAAGCUUCACAAAGCUCGGGUUGAUAAGGCUUGAGAAUCAGACUGUUGCAAUAUGCUUUUCUGCUCAAAGCGUCAGCAAUCACAUUAGCCUUGCCUGGAGUAUACUCGAUACUCGGAUUGUACUCUUGAAUCAUUUCGACCCAUCGAGUCUGCCUGAGGUUGAGAUUAGGCUGAGUGAAGAUGUACUUGAGACUCUUGUGAUCAGUGAAAAUAUCCACUUUCCUUCCCAAUAGAAGAUGUCUCCAAGUCAACAAAGCGUGCACAACUGCCGCCAACUCGAGAUCAUGAGUGGGGUAGUUCUUCUCAUUAGGUUUCAACUGGCGAGAGGUAUAAGCAACAACUUUCUUCUCUUGCAUGAGUACAACACCGAGACCUUGGAGAGAGGCAUCACAAAAGACCUCGUACGGCUUGGUUUCAUCAGGCGGAGUCAGAACUGGAGCAGUGAUCAAUUUCUCUUUCAAAGUGUUGAAAGCAAUAUCACACUCCGGAGACCAAACGUACUUGAUGUGCUUCUGAAGAAGAUUUGAGAGAGGCUUGGCGAUCUUAGAAAAGUUUUCAACGAAUCUUCUGCAAUAGCUUGCGAGACCGAGAAAACUGCGGAGUUGCUUCACGUUCUGAGGAGGUUCCCAAUUCACAAUUGCGGACACCUUCUCAGGAUUCACGGAAAUGCCCUUGGCAGAGAUGAUAUGACCAAGAUAAAGAACCUCAUCGAGCCAAAAUUCACACUUGGAGAACUUGGCGUAGAACUUAUGUUCUCUGAGCUUGUCAAGAACCAAACGCAAGUGCUUGGCAUGAUCUUCCUUGUUCUUCGAGAAAACCAGAAUGUCAUCGAGAUAGACCAAAACAAAUUCAUUGGUGUAGGGGUUGAAGAUGAAGUUCAUCAUGCGAGAGAACGUCGGAGGAGCGUUGGCGAGGCCAAAAGACAUGACGGUGUAUUCAUAUGAACCAAAGCUUGUUCUGAACGCCGUCUUGGGAAUAUCUUGCUCAUGAAUACGAAUCUGAUGAUAACCCAUACGGAGAUCAAGCUUGGAGAAUACUUGAGCACCUUUGAGUUGUUCGAACAGCUCAUUGAUGUUGGGAAGUGGGUAUUUGUUCUUGAUGGUCUUCUUGUUUACUGGACGGUAAUCAACACAAAGUCGAUUCGAUCCAUCCUUCUUCUUCACAAAAAGAACACCACAACCCCACGGAGAAGUACUAGGCCGAAUGAGACCCAAUCUUUCUUGCUCAUCGAGUUGUUUCUUCAGCUCCUUCAACUCUUCGGGGCCGAGCUUGUAGGGACGUUUGCACACAGGUUCCGUACCGGGCUCAAGUUCAAUAACGAAUUCAACCGGCCGGUUUGGAGGCAUCCCUGGAAGUUCUUCUGGAAAGACGUCUUGAUACUCACAAACAACCGGAAUCUGCGAAAUAGCAUCCAAUUCACCCUUCUCAUUGAGAGAAAACAACCGGAUGGAAUUAUCCCGAGCGGNNNNNNNNNNNNNNNNNNNNNNNNNNNNNNNNNNNNNNNNNNNNNNNNNNNNNNNNNNNNNNNNNNNNNNNNNNNNNNNNNNNNNNNNNNNNNNNNNNNNUUUUCUGGACGCCCAAAUGAAGUAAAUACAUAAAUUAUCUCGAGGAGCUGUUGACCCAGAUUUAUAUGAGUUCAUAAUAAAUCAUCAACAUUAAAACAUAGGCAUUUACAUGUCAUGGCCACAUAGUCUUUAGUUGUUCUCAAUAAAGUUAUUUUUCCGGAUCAGGAAGAAGAUGCCAUGCUUGAUGUCCCUUAAGACCGUCAUGUUGAACGUGGUACGGAGGAACAUGGCAACCAGCUUAAACAUCAUUUUAACCCAAAAAUUGAUACUAUGGAGAAAUGAGAACAAUUGGGAUGCAUAUGCGAUACUUUUAUUGUCUGAUGUCAGUGCAAUAGUUAAUCUGCCGCUGUGGUGUGUGUUUUAUUACUAGGUACCGACAGACUGAAAUACAAUGUUGUACUGAAGUCGUCGGACAAUAAACAUGGUGUAUACAACAAUGCUCUUACUUCAAUAUCAUUUUUUUCACUUUCUACUUCAAAGAAAAGCAUGAUUCUGAUACUAUGUCCAGCGUAAUUAAAUUUAUUUAUACGUAGCUACCUAUGCUCUAUUUAUGAUGCAAAAAUUAUAUCAGUUUUUAGUCAACAACAGAUUCAUACAUUAUACGAAACUCACAUGUAGGCAAGCAAUUUGGAUGUCAAUCUCGAGUCACGGAAGCUAAGAAACAAAGAAGGGAAAAAGAUAGAGAGCAGUAUGCACGGGCCAAUGAAGAACUAAAAAAGCGUCAUGAAGCGUAUUAACUAAAAAAAUACAUAAAUGGCAGGAAGAAAUAUGCAAAUAUGAAGCCACCACAGAAGGUAAAAAGGUGUGACUAGAAAAUGCAGAAAUACACAAAUAUGCAACCAGAACAAAAGAAAACUUACCUGUAAUUUUUUUCAAAGAAAAGCUGGAAUAGAGCAAAUUACAACUAACUCUGGGCGCAACACACUAAGCAAAGAUUCAGUUGCGAUGGAUCGCGUCAAGACACAAGUUAGUACAUUGGUCCAUACGACAAGGUCUUUACAGUAGCACACACUCAACAUGCCUGGACGCAGGGCGAAGUAUGCGACAUUUUUAUUAUGUUAUAUCAGUAACUCAACACAAGAGUUGUGUGUAUGAUAUUUUUAUUAUCAAUAUGAUGGUUAAUUAACUGAUGAGAUAUGUGUUGUCACUAUAUAUUAACGGUCCAAUCUACACCAUCAUAUUGAAGUCAGACAAAAUAAUAAUAUCAUGUGUGCUCUUACCCAAAAAUCCUUUGAAUUAGUAACUGAACUCUUAAAGAAUGUGCUUCAAAGUCGAGAAAAACACACUCAGUGGAAGUCCUCUGUGCACCCCUCUCUUUCUAACCACUGUCUGUCCAAUCUGUAGCACGGAUUGGCUUCGUGGGUUCACCGUCACAAUACGUUUUCUUUCCGUGAAUUUACGCUUUCAGUUUUUUUCACCUAUAUUAUUUUCUACAUCCGAGGUGGUACUAUUCAUGUGAUCGUGUGACCCGUCACGCACGACGUUAGUUCUGGUCACGUGGUACUACUCAAACACGUAGACGCUAGCUAGGAAACAAGACACGCGACGCCCAAACCGAAUCAAACUCAAACACCAACUUGCGACGUCUACGUACACAAGCACAAUUCCUGCUUCACGUAGCCAACCUGGAUCUCUCGCCGUUUUAAAUAAGAUCGAGCCAUCAUGGGCAGCCACGCAAGAGAUCACCGAUCGGGGCAUCAUCAGAAGCCACCACAGCCAAGAACAAUUAAGCAAGGAUCGAUGGCGGGACACGAGCAGGAGAAGCAGCAGGACGAUGAUGCCUCAGCACAGAGGUCGCCGUUGCCACACAAAGUCGUCAUGGAAAUCCUUGCCUACCCGCCGGCCAAGUCCGCGGGGUGCUUCUGCUGCGUCUCACGUUCGUGGCAGGCCACGCUCUCGUCGCCGUGCUUCUUCGAGCUCCACCUCCGGCGGGCAAACCACAGUCCAUCGCCGCCGGCCGGCCAAAGCUCUUCUUCAGUCCCACGGACGAGCCCUCGAACGACUACUUUUUUUACGCCUGGCAGCCCAGCGGCACGGCCCACCAAGCCCCCGCGUCCUCCUCCCCACCAACCCUAGCCAUGCCCUCGCCGCCACCUCUCCUUCCCCCGUUCGUCCUCUCCCGCCGCCGCCACCACCCCUAUCUCUCCUCCUUUCUCCUCGACGCCAUCAACGCGAGUGGGCACUCGCUGGAUCUGGUGGUCAGUGCGGGAUGCAACAGCGCAUCUGGCCGGAGGAGAACGCGGCGGCUGCAUCUCCUGGCAAUGGUAGUGGGGGCGGGUGGAUGAGGAGGCGACAUCUCGGGAGGUAGGCAAGAGGAACCAGGCGGUUCUCCUUCCAUGGCGGUACCCCGACCUGUCGGAUCUUCAUCGUCAUCAGCCCGGCGGACAGGUGUGGUGGAUCUGCCUCCUCCUCUCUCUUUCAACCCCGGUAGUGCUCUUUCAUGUACGCCGCCCUCUCCAUGACAACGGCAGCGCCAGGCCGUCAAAUCCGUCACUGUCGCCGUUCUUCUGCUCGAGGCCUUCGUCGUCCAUGUGCUUCUCCUAAAUUUCCUCUUCUGUUGACUGGUUUUAGUUUACUGUUUGUAUUAACUUUUCAGCCCAUGGCAAUUCAGUUCCAAUGACAGGAAUUUACUUUGUAUGAUCUCCUGUUUUUAUUAGCUACAAAGAUCAUUCUACCUUUCCGUCAGUGUAUACCUCCUUUGAUUCUGCAUCCGCUUGCUUUUUUUAUAAAAAGUAUGUUGCAUGUUUGCUUACAGUACAAGACAUACUUUCCUAACUUUUCUGUGUGAUAUAUCUAAAUUCUUUUGUAAUGCUAAUUUUACUAUGUUGUUAAUCUGCAGUAAGGUGUUCUAUUUUUCAACGUGCUGCAGCUACCACUUUGCCACUGCCCUGACUCCUUCCUGCAGACCAUGGAUCUGUCGUCGAUGCAGAGCGUCAACAGGGUGAAGGUUUGCCACCCUAGCAGACUCGUGUGUUGUUGCCGCCGCAAUCCUUCUCUUUGUUGGAGUCUUCCUCCUCUGGUACGUCCUCUCUCGCGACCCUCGUAGGUUCGUGGUUUCACUCCUGCAGUGGUGGAUUCCUCGUUGAUAUGUUAAUGCGGUUUGCUUGGUCUUCUUUCUUGUAGGAGAGAAAAAAAUUGGUCUCUUUGACACGCUUGGGAUCGACGGAUCGUUCAUGCCAUGGUUGGAUUUGAAUGGGGCAGUGUCUAUCCAAAAUUUGUUUGGUUGACUGGACAAUUUGUUUGUUUGGUUGUCUUAAUGUAACCCGAUUCGCAUAAUUUUGAAAACAUCAGCAAAGAUUUCAGUGGCUGGGAGUGUUUGCCAGAGUGGAAACGAAGCAUUUGCUGGAAGGAGCUCAAGAUUUCGCUAUUACCCUGCUGAUAGUUUUGUGAGGUAAUUUAGCUACACAUUUGCAUGUUUCUUUUCUGCUGUAGCAAUGCCUAUUUCAAUUUAGAAAGUAGAUAUAUGAAGUGUGAUUUAAGUGUCUAAUAGCGGAUGUUGUUAGCAGUCUAAUUUCUCCCAAGCAGCUGCUUUCAAUGGAGACUUGACAGGUCUGGUUUUACUUCACGAAGCCAUUUUCUGAAUUUUCCGAAGUUGGUUGCAGAGAGAUGGUUCCAUAGUUUCAUCAGAGCAAACUGGUUCCAUAGAGGUUUCAUUAGAGCUAACUUUGUGUUUUGUAUCGUCUUACCUCUCGCAGUUUGUAUGUUCUACAGCAUCCACAGUCAUACCCGCCGCCCCCNNNNNNNNNNNNNNNNNNNNNNNNNNNNNNNNNNNNNNNNNNNNNNNNNNNNNNNNNNNNNNNNNNNNNNNNNNNNNNNNNNNNNNNNNNNNNNNNNNNNGCAAAUGCUUCUUUGCAAAAGUCUUUUGGUCAACUUGAUAACGACAUUCCAGAUGCAGGAAUUGAAGUGGAGAUUGAACUAAGUGAUCUCCUAUUGGAUAUGUGCCCGAUAAAACAGGUAUAUUUUGUCACGUUCAAACUUUUUAGUACUCAUGCAUUUUCCUUUUUUUGGUGUGUGUGUGUGGGGGGGGGGGGUGUGAAUUUGCAUGCACAUGCAUUUUAUUCUGCUAGUCAGUAUAUUUUUAUGGUUUUUUUCUCCUGAGGCAUGCACUAACAGGUUCCAGUUGUUGAUGUUAGAGAAGAAGAUGUACACCACAUUUCUAGUUUGAUCAUGUCUUCAAAGCUGAUAAUGUUCUAGACUUUUGGCUGAUAUGCCUUAUCUUCGAAAGCUGACAAUGUUACCAGAUUCGCAGUCUGCUCAAUUCGCAAUUUGUGAUCCAUCACUUUCUACGAAUUGGAUUCGGAUUCGAGGGGGGUAUACAUCUCUGGUUCGCGAAUCUGAUAACCGAUUCAUGAAUCAGAUUACUCUGAUUCAGUAGCUCCCCAUUUGGUAGUCUGAUUAGUUACGCUUAACAAGUUCUAAAAGUGAUGAGACAUUUUCUCUUAAAUAGAAAACCAAAAUUGCUGCUAAUCUAGAAAGCCCACUUCGGUCCAAUAGCCACUUCACAUGGCCUUCCUUUCUAGGCAUUGCCUCUUGUAGAAUGUGGAGAAGGAGCGUACCAGCCGCGAGCAUGUCCUGGAGUGAGGGUCAGAUAAAUGAGAGAAAGGGAUUCUGGAUUUGAAUGAAUGAGAGAUGGAAUAGAAUAGAACAAGAGAAAAGAGAGGACAAAGAUGCAUGCAGUGUUUUGUUUUUAACUGGUUGUACAGACCCACGUGUCUUGUCUGAUACGGAGUAUUAUAUAAUGAAGAUGUACUCUUCUCUCUCAAUUACAUGCGGGGUCAAGAUUGUAUGAACCUACACGCCAUUGCCUUCUCAUCAUUCGUGCUGAUGUACACUGGUUCUAUAUAUUUUAAUACUGAAAGAUAGUCGGAGAUGACCAAUUUCACACGUUAAUUUGAUUUGAUGUUUACCUUCUCUACUCUGUUCCGAAGAUCUCUGCAUAUAUCUCUAAGCACCUGUGUGGCUGAGGAGCUCAAGCACAUGCACACAAUACAGUCUCAUAUAAGAUACAUACUUACACAUAAUAUUUACUGUGGAAGGGACAAGUUGAACUUUUUUAUUUCAAGAGGCGUUAUUAUAGUCUUGAAAUGUGAGAGACUGGGCAGUGUAUGAUUAUAAUAUUUUCAUGCUAAUUGUUAACUGUUCUUCUUGGUAUGCAGGAAAACUUGAUCCAUGAUGACCAGAAAUUGAUAUUGCUGGCAUCUCUUAGCGACUCCUUGGAAUAUUUAGCAGAUUCAGUUGAAAGGUAAACCUAUUGUUUCACUCGUUUAGCUACCUUGUUGAACUACAGUACCAUUCCACUGAUAUCCACUAGAGGGGCAAAUAGGGUAGAUUCAGUUAGUGCACUAGAACAUUGUGCGACUAUGAAGCAUCAACACAUUCCAGCUAUAGUAUACAUCUGAUUCCAGUCACACCCUAUUAAAGAAUACUUCCUUCGUCCCACAAUAUAAGUUGUUUUUGCAAGCUACAUUGUGGGACGGAGGGAGUAGUUAGCAAUCAUAUAAUACUUAAUCCUUUUUGCUGAUCUUCUUGGUUGUAUCAUCGCUUAUGAUCUGUCAUCGCGAGAAUUCCUGUGCUGCAUGCUUAUGGUUUUGCCUCCUUUGAACUUUCAGGCUUGGUGAGUCAUUUAUAAGUCCAUCCACCAUCUCAGAAAACAAAAGUGACAUACACCAAAGUCACCAUACUCGCACAUCUAGUGCAAUUCCGAAAAGCCUUGCAUCUCUUGCUAAUGAGUACAGAAGGCUAGCAACCGAUUGUGUUAGAGUCUUGAGAUUGGAAAUGCAGUUGGAGACAAUAUAUCACAUGCAGGUAAUAGUACUCAAGUUUCUGAUGGUAUUACUCUGUUGUUAUUGAUGGAUUUAUCGCAUGUCAAUAAUUUUCUUGCAAACAUUCAGGACAUGACAAAAAGAGAAUAUGUAGAAGAUCAAGACGCUGAAGAUCCUGAUGACUUCAUCAUCUCUCUUACAACUCAGGUAGGCCAGCCCACGUUAGUAUGAGUACAACUUUAGUGUUCUUUAGAGCCAACCUAUGAUUGUUUUUAUUGUAGAAUCUUAUUACAUAGGGGGGUAUUUACUGACUUAAGUAAAACAAUCUAAAGAUGAUGCUUUCAACUAACCGUUAUAUCCACAAAUGGAAAUUAGUAAGCACUUGCGAGAAGUUACCACAAUGCCAAACUGUAUAUAAAAAAGUAAAUUGCACUAGGAACCCGUGAUCAGUUUAGCCCUGCAACUUGCAAAAAGCUAAAUUCAACACCGUAAACAUGACACGGGUACGUCCAAAUUUGCCAACAGGCAAGCCAUAGGAAUGCAUAUUGUUUAUUUGUUUUUUGCCUGUAGUUAGAUCGGCAGAUAAUACGUUCUUCAAAAAUAGAACCCUAGUAUUGACAGGAAUUUGCGCUCAAAUAGUCAUUAUCGGUUGGGUGCUGAGUAGGGAUUAAUCGGUGAAUCGGCCAUUUAACUGAAUUUAUCGGUAACCCAUUUAUCUAGAGGUUAACCAGGGCCAUAUCUGCAUAUCCUAGGCUAUAUAGCAACAUGCAAUGUACUAAGGUCCCCUUUGUUUGGGCUACAGAUUCCCUAGAAUCCCCUGGCUCUAUAUUCCUGAGAAUCAGCUGUCGCUCUGGAUUCCUGAGAAUCAGAAUCUGGCUGUUUGUUUACCCAGUUAUUGGUCAGAUGUAGGAGCUAUGGAUGUUGUGAAAUGUCAGUAACGUUCUGGAGUGCUGACGGUGAUGUUUAUAUGCAGAUUAAAGCACAUGUCAUGUGUUUUGACUCGAUAAAGUGAGAUUUAGCCAAAAAAAAUACGGAUUAUUUUUUCUAGAAUUGUCAUGAUGGUAGGAAUAUACCAUCCGAUAUAUGAAAAUGACACAUAACAUCCAAAAUAAGCAACAUCCAUCAUAGUCUUAUAUACGAAAUAUAUCAUCCAAAAUAUGGACCAACCAUCAUAGGCUUGCAUACGUACACAUACCAUCAAAAAUACACACUUACCAUCAUAGUCUUGUCAACUAAUAUGUGAAACUAUACUUGAUCUGCGAGCAAUCCAUUAGCAAUCGCCUCGCGAGUUGCUUGCAUGGUCGCAUCAUCACCAACCACAAUGUUGGAAGCAUGGCCUAUGGGUUGGGGAUGUAUGGGUAACUUGGCAUUUUCAGUAAAAUAUGCUAUUUCAUCUUGAACACACCAAAUGCACGCUCAAUGACUUUGCGUAGAGAUGAAUAUGCAAAGUUAAAUUCCGACACAUGGUACUAUUGCCCUUUGUAUGUAGCUAAACAUCCAUCACAAUUGGGAUAGCUGAUGUGGAGUGGAACUCCUAAGGCCGAUCUUUCACGAUUUUGAGGGGGAUCCCAAGAACACGAAGAACACGAGAGGGAAAACACUCAAAUAGACAAAACUCAAUCACAUAUGUGCUAGAUCCACAUACACAAAGGGGAGAUACAAGAUCCAAAGUCAACACAAGAGGGUACAAAGGGUAGCUAGUUCAUCCCAAUCCUUGAAGGAGAGAGGUCUUGAAUCCUUGGAGGAUCUUCCCACAAGGGGGUCUUGAAUCCACUUGGGAGAUCUUCUCACAUGGAGGCCUUGAUCUCCAUGNNNNNNNNNNNNNNNNNNNNNNNNNNNNNNNNNNNNNNNNNNNNNNNNNNNNNNNNNNNNNNNNNNNNNNNNNNNNNNNNNNNNNNNNNNNNNNNNNNNNAAACGCUUAACUCCUCGAAGCGGGGAUACUCUGAGAUAUACUCUGUCUCCAACUUCAUACUCAAUCGCUUUGCGCUUUGAAUCGGCAUAGCUCUUCUGUCUGGACUGGGCUACCUUGAGCCUGUCUCGAAUCAACUUAACCUUCUGUUCAGACUCCUUAAUCAAAUCUGGUCCAAAGAAUUGACGGUCUCCAACUUCGUUCCAUGAUAACGGUGUCCUGCACCUCCUUCCGUAUAAAGCUUCGAAAGGGGCCAUCUUCAAACUGGUUUGGUAACUAUUGUUAUAAGAAAACUCCGCAUACGGCAAGUUUUCGUCCCAGCUUGAUCCAUAAUCUAGUGCACAAGCUCUCAGCAUAUCUUCCAAAAUCUGAUUGACUCUUUCAGUCUGUCCAUCGGUCUGUGGGUGGAAAGCUGUACUGAAUUCCAAUCUAGUUCCCAAUGUCUCGUGCAACUGGUUCCAAAAUUUCGAGGUAAACUGGGUUCCUUUAUCUGAUACGAUGCUCCUCGGAACUCCGUGUAAACACACAAUUCUGGUCAUGUAUAUCUUUGCCAACUUAGCACUGCUAUAGGUAGUCUUGACUGGAAUGAAAUGAGCUACCUUGGUUAAACGGUCGACUAUAACCCAAAUCGAGUCAUAUCCUGAACGGGUCUUUGGCAAACCUGUGAUGAAAUCCAUGCCUAGUUUAUCCCACUUCCAUUCGGGUAUCGGCAACGGUUGUAACAAUCCUGCUGGCUUCUGAUGUUCUGCCUUUACCCUCUGACAUACAUCACAAAUAGCUACAUACUCCGCAAUAUCCUUCUUCAUUCCGGUCCACCAGAAAAUGUUCUUCAAAUCCAAAUACAUCUUGGUAUUUCCUGGGUGAAUCGAAUAGGGUGAAUCAUGGGCUUCUUGUAAAAUCAACUUCCUGAUUUCUGGGUUAUUGGGCACAUAAACACAGUCUUUAAACCAUAGGGUAUCGUGUUCAUCCUCACGAAAUCCUUUAGCCUUUCCUUUGCCCAUUCUCUCCUUUAUAGAGGCAACUUCCUUAUCUGCCUUUUGGGCUUCUCUGAUUUUGUCCAUCAGUGUCGACUGAAUCUCCAAUGUUGCUACAUAGCCUCUCGGAACUAUUUCCAAACAUAGCUCUCGAAGGUCCUCGGCUAACUCAUUGGGUAUUCCUCCCAUCAUUAGGGUAUUGACGUGGCUCUUACGGCUCAAUGCGUCUGCUACGACAUUAGCCUUUCCGGGGUGAUAAUGCAAUCUCAUAUCAUAAUCCUUGAUAAGUUCUAACCAUCUCCUUUGUCUGAGAUUCAAUUCCUUCUGUGUGAAGAUGUACUUCAAACUCUUGUGAUCCGUAUAUACUUCACAAUGGUUUCCAAUGAGAAAAUGUCUCCACGUCUUCAGGGCAUGCACAACGGCUGCUAACUCCAAAUCAUGAGUGGCAUAAUUCAACUCAUGGGGCUUAAGUUGUCGUGAAGCAUACGAAACAACUCUUCCUUCCUGCAUAAGCACUGCUCCAAGUCCUCGACGUGAAGCAUCGCAAUACACCUCAUAAUCCUUAGUCUGAUCUGGCAAUAUCAAAACUAGUGAGGUAACCAAUCUUUUCUUCAACUCCUGAAAACUUGCCUCACAGUCCUCGGUCCAUAUGAAUUUGUUAUCCUUCUUCAACAAUUCAGUCAUAGGCUUAGCAAUCCUUGAGAAAUUCUCAAUGAAUCUUCGGUAGUAUCCUGCGAGUCCAAGAAAACUCCGAAUCUCUCCAACUGUCGUUGGUGCUUCCCAAUUAGUUACGGUCUCAACCUUUGUGGGGUCAACUGCUAUUCCUUCUCCGGAUAUAACAUGUCCAAGAAAUCCAACUUCCUUUAGCCAAAACUCACAUUUGCUGAACUUGGCGUAUAACUGAUGUUCUCUUAGCUUCUCCAAAACCAAUCGCAAAUGUUCCUUAUGCUCCUCUUCAUUCUUCGAGAAAAUCAAAAUGUCAUCUAUGAACACCACGACGAACUUAUCCAAAAACUCCAUAAACACUUUGUUCAUCAGGUUCAUGAAAUAGGCUGGUGCGUUAGUCAAUCCAAAUGACAUAACAGUAUACUCGUACAGUCCAUAUCUCGUGGUAAAUGCAGUCUUGGGUAUGUCUUGCUCCCGAAUCUUCAACUGAUGGUACCCUGAUCGCAAGUCGAUCUUGGAAAACACUUUGGCUCCUUGCAAACGAUCAAACAGAUCAUUUAUCAUUGGUAGUGGGUACUUGUUCUUGAUUGUUACCGCAUUCAAUUCACGAUAAUCAACAACCAUUCUCAAAGAUCCAUCCUUCUUCUCCACUAACAAAACGGGUGAUCUCUGGCGGGAAAACGAAUUCGGGGUCACGUCUCGGAGGCAUCUGAUGGGUUUAGAAAAGAAGAGAAAUUUAGAAUAGAAUGAGGUCUAAGGGGAAUCACUACCCAAAUGCACAUGAGCAAAUGCACACAAAUCACUCCAUUCAAUCAAACAAGGCUUACAACGAUCUAACUAUCGCAAGUGCGUGUACUAUAAUGUUUACAUGGGGGAAUACUGCUAAUAUGUGGUGGUCAUCUAGAAAUUUGAAUCGGUGGAAGAUUCCAUGAUGUCUGCUCCAGCUUCGUCUUCAAAGUCGGGUUCACUUGGGUCCGAAUCGGUGUCGUCGAGGAUGAUGUAGUCGUCUGGACAUGCGACGUACUUGUCUUCAUUCUUGAGCUCCAAUUUCUUCUUGAGUUCUUCGAUCUCCUGCUUAAGAUCGCAAUUGUGCCUUGCUAGAGCUACGAUCUCGUCCAUAUAAUCCUUGCGUGUAGUCUUUAGUUCUCCUUCUAGCUCGAUGAUCCUUGCCUUCGCAUUCUUCAACUCUACCAUAUCAUUGCACAUCUGGUUCUCAUGGCGUCAAAUGUGCUGGUUUAGCUCCUGGAUAAAAGCUGCAAUGGAUCUAUCCUUCUUGGGGCUGACUAACUCCCAUUGUUCAUCUCGGCGUCCGCAAAUCUGGUAGAUGGUGUCCUUGAGGUCUUCUUGAUAAACUUCUCCAAUGCGUCCCAUGGUGAUAUGAGCUGCCAUGCUCUUUCCUAGACUCCAAGUUGGUGCACUGAAAACACUAUCUAUGGGCUUCGUGAUUGGGGCGAAUGUCCUUCCUGGAACGUGAGCUUGAAUCUUCCAGCGCUCCUCUUCAGGCAGAGUGGCGUUGAAAGUCCCGGUGAAACUUGGUAGUCCAAUGUUCAGGUACUUGGUAACUUCCUUCAAGUGAAAUCCAAAUGGUGUGCCUUCAUCCGGUUGGGUGUACUUAAUCUUCGCGUCCUUCAUCCUAAAGAGUAGAAUAGAUGAGGAAUUAGAAAAUGAGAGGAGAGUAGUGAUCUAUGGCUUUAACUUAGUGGUCGUGUCCUACAGUCAGCGUGUGCUCUGAUACCAUCUCUGUAGCGACCUGACCCGAAUGGAUCACGUCUACUGUGCUACGGUGUCAUCCCUGGAUCAGUAAUGCUGACACCACACAGUACAUCGAGGUUUUAUAGCAGAGUUGCAAUCACACACUUAUUACAUCGAUGGCUGAAAAAGAACUUAUUACAAUAAAUAUGGCUUAAGGCCAUCUAAUAACGAUAACAGCGGAAGGCUUGGAAGAUAAGCGAGUCCAUCAACUCCAUCGGCAUCACUGAGUAUAGAACCACGACCUAAACGCACCUCAAUCGUCGUCUGAAAAGUCUGCAACAUUAACGUUGCAGCCCGAAAACGGGUCAGCACAUGGAAUAUGCUGGCAAUGUAACACAUAGAGAGUAANNNNNNNNNNNNNNNNNNNNNNNNNNNNNNNNNNNNNNNNNNNNNNNNNNNNNNNNNNNNNNNNNNNNNNNNNNNNNNNNNNNNNNNNNNNNNNNNNNNNUUCCUUAGACCAUGAGAUCGUGUAACUCCCGGAUACCAUAGGAGUGCUUUGGGUGUACCAAACGUCACAACGUAACUGGGUGACUAUAAAGGUGCACUACAGGUAUCUCCGAAAGUGUCUGUUGGGUUGACACGGAUCGAGACUGGGAUUUGUCACUCCGUAUGACGGAGAGGUAUCUCUGGGCCCACUCGGUAAUGCAUCAUCAUAAUGAGCUCAAAGUGACCAAGUGUUUGGUCACGGGAUCAUGCAUUACGGUACGAGUAAAGUGACUUGCCGGUAACGAGACUGAACGAGGUAUUGGGAUACCGACGAUCGAGUCUCGGGCAUGUAACGUAUCGAUUGACAAAGGGAAUAGUAUACGGGGUUGCAUGAACCCUCGACAUCGUGGUUCAUCCGAUGAGAUCAUCGAGGAGCAUGUGGGAACCAACAUGGGUAUCCAGAUCCCGCUGUUGGUUAUUGCCCGAGAGCCGUCUCGGUCAUGUCUACGUGUCUCCCGAACCCGUAGGGUCUACACACUUAAGGUUUGGUGACGCUAGGGUUGUAUGAAUAUGAGUAUGCAGUAUACCGAACGUUGUUCGGAGUCCCGGAUGAGAUCCCGGACGUCACGAGGAGUUCCGGAAUGGUCCGGAGGUAAAGAAAACUAUAUAGGAAGUGGUGUUUCGCCUAUCGGGAAAGUUUCGGGGUCACCCGAUAUUGUACCAGGACCACCAGAAGGGACCCGGGGGUCCACCGGGUGGCGCCACCCAUCCCGGAGGGCCCCAAGGGCCAAAGUGGGGAGGGGAACCAGCCCAUAGUGGGCUGGUGCGCCCCCCUUGGCCCACCCCCUGCGCCUAGGGUUGAAACCCUAGGGUGGGGGGGCCUCACUUGGCUUGGGGGGUACUCCACCCCCUUGGCCGCCGCCCCUUGGGAGAUUGGAUCUCCCAGGGCCGGCGCCCCCCUUGGGGGCCUAUAUAAAGGGAGGAGGGGAGGGGCGCAGCCGCACCCUGAAGUUCUAGCGCCUCCCUCCCCCUGCUACACCUCUUCCUCCUCCGUCACGUGCUUGGUGAAGCCCUGCCGGAGUGUUGCUGUUCCACCAUCACCACGCCAUUGUGCUGCUGCUGGAGCUUUCAUCAUCAACCUCUCCUUCCCCCUUGCUGGAUCAAGACGGAGGAGACGUCACGCUGACCGUACGUGUGUUGAACGCGGAGGUGCCAUCCGUUCGGCGCUAGGAUCUCCGGUGACAGGAUCACGACGAGAACGACUACUUCAACCCCGUUCUUUUGAACGCUUCCGCGCGAUCUACAAAGUGGUAUGUAGAUGCAAUCUCUCUCCCAUGACUCGUUUCUUAGAUGAACUCAUAGAUGGAUCUUGGUGAAACCAUAGAAUUUUUUUUAAUUUUCUGCAACGUUCCCCGUCACUUGCGACGUUGCUAAUGCCGGCCCAAAGCUCCAUGGAAGUGAUCGGGCUCGCCCGUCGCCUGAUUCUACGGCUGCUGUCGAGCUGUGCAUGGACGCCCCCGCCUGAAUCUGCUUGUCCCCAGCCCUUCUUGGUACCUCGUCGUUCGUCCUGUUUCCUCGGCAUGUGUGCUGCCGCCGAUUACCAGUUCGCUGCCUCUGCCUGGGAAAAAAAUAAUUCUGCAACAUCACCUUUGUUGCAAAAAUGUUUCUGCAACAAGAACUAUGUUGGGAAAAAUUCUGCAACAAGUUCUCUGUUGCAAAAAAAAUCUUGUUGCAAAAAAUUUCUGUAACAAGACCUUUGUUGCAAAAACAUAUCUGCAACAUUACCUCUGUUGCAAAAGUUUAUACAACACGACGUAUAUUAGAAAUGUUCCUGCAACACCGCUGUUGUUGCAAGAGAGGUGACACACAUGGAUGAGUAGAUCGGACGGCUCCCGGCAUCAAUCCAACGGACACCCAGGCAGCGGAUGUUUUAUAGUUAUUCAUCGGCUGACGCGUAGCAGCCCCCUUUAAAUAUACCUACAGUUCACCCAAACUAACCCUAAUCUUAGAGUACUAUGGUUUUAAAAAACUGCUAAACUAAGUCUAAUUCAUUUUUCUAUGGCACUCGCUCGGGUUGCAUUUAUUUAUUUCAACAUAUCUACUAAUUCAAUAACUUUAAUCUCAAUCAAGGUGUGUGGUAACGUGAACUCAUAUUUCGCCGGUUAGAAGCCAUUUUGAUCGUUAUAAGAUAUAGAGAAAAGUAUAUUUUUUGUCCCUCAACUCUUAACGAAGUCUAGAUUUGGUCCCUCAACUUCAAAACCGGACAAUUUGCACCCUCAAUUCUUGAAACCGGAUAAGUUUCGUCCCUCAACCCAACCGACUAUAUUUUGACGCUGACUCACUCCGGUUUUGACCAAGUUGUGGUGCCCACAUGGCAAGGUAAUUCUUUCCUUCCAUCUACUAUGUAUGGUAUGGACAUUUGACAAACAUUUGGCGUGCAAUGCCUGCCGCCCCGCUACCAACGACCUGCCUCCGUUGCACCAUGUCCAUCAUCACCACAAGCAGAAACUCGCACGGCGUGCGUCGGGGCGUGCUGGUGCUGCGUCGGACUCGCCGCUCUCGCUCGGCUUGGUGCACGGCUUGCCCUUUGCGUUCAAGUCCUGCGAAGUGGACGGGUCGCAGGGCUCGUCGGGGGAGCAGCGCUUCUCGAUGUCGUCUCCAUUGCUGUUGUCCUCAUUGACAGAGUGCUCGCUGCGGCAACCUGGCGAUAGUGCAGUGUUUAGCCGUGUCAACCCCUUGGCGUGGUGGCUCUGCACGUCGGCACUCUGCGUCGGGGAUGCUGAAGCUUGUAGUGCUCGUGUCCGGGUUCAGGUGCGCCUGCGCUGAAAGACACGGAUGAUGUGCAGCUGGAGGAAGUGUUCGAGCUGUGCUUGUCUGACGUGUUAGCAUGAUCAUUCGUGUCUUAGCUAGUUUAGUGGCAUGUUUAUUUUUCCUUGUGCAUGUGCAUGCCGUGGCAGCAUAACCUUCGGAUCGACCCACCACCUCCUUCGACAUAGGCAUAGUGUCGGUCUAUAGGACUCUACUAUUGCCGUUUUGUCGGUUUUUAUUUGAUGUUUUUUUGGUUGGACUUUCGGAUUUGGCUGUGUGCAUCCUAGUUAUGCAGAGGCCGGGUAUUACUCAUAAUGCUUUGUAUCCACUUGAUGCUACAUUUUGAAUUAAUAAAAUCGCACUUUAUUGAAAAAUAUGCAUGCCGUGGGCAUGAUGCAUAUCUGCAUGCAUGUGUGUACAUGUUCAGGUCGUGCGCUAGGCCACCGGAUACAAAGGCCACCACCAACUACCUAUCGCCGUGCACCCCCCUGCCCGGCCUCCGCGCAUAGGUCCUCCUCGCCGUCCUCGUGCUCACCGUGUGCUUUUGUCGCUGCCAACGACGGUGCUGUUGAUGCCCUACGUCGCCCAGAGCCUACACCAGUGAGGCACCGUCCCCCGCUCCACGAGCGCGCAGUAGUCAGAUGAA